AAUAGCUAACUCUGGGGUUGGAACUUCAAUCCAAUGCCUAUAAAUAGCCACUACUUCUCCUUCCACCAAUCUCCAAACCCAAGCAACUCUAUAAACAGUAACAACAUAUACAUGGCUAGUUACAAGCUCCGAGGAGCAUUCUUCUUUCUUUUUGUGGGUUUGGGGAUCGCCUCAGCUGCUAGAGCCCUUUUCACGUUUGAUGAGGGGAUAGUCGGUCAUGUUUCCGGUUCGGGAUAUGGUGCUGGUCAUGGUGGUGGAAGUGGGGGUGGUUAUGGAAAUGUUGCCGGGUUAAUAGGAGGAGGAGGUGGUGGUGGUUCUGGAGGUGGAGGUGACGGUGGAGGUGCUGCUGGUGAGAGGAGGAGGUGACCAUGGUGCUGGUGCUGGUGCUGGGUAUGGAAGUGGUGGUGGUGAGGGUGCUGGCGGCGCUUAUGCUGGAGGUGGUGCACAUGCUGGGGGAGGCGGCGGAGGAAGUGGAGGUGGCGGUGGAGGAGGUGCUGGUGGUGGUGCUGGAGGACAUGAAGGUGGAUAUGGAGGUGGUGAAGGUGGGGGUCAAGGAGGCGGAGCUGGAGGAGCUGCUGGGGGCUAUGGUGGGGGGGGUGGACAAGGGGGGGGCGGGGGGGGAGGGANNNNNNNNNNNNNNNNNNNNNNNNNNNNNNNNNNNNNNNNNNNNNNNNNNNNNNNNNNNNNNNNNNNNNNNNNNNNNNNNNNNNNNNNNNNNNNNNNNNNNNNNNNNNNNNNNNNNNNNNNNNNNNNNNAGUGGUUGGGGGGAGGCGGCGGGGGUAGGGAGACAGGGGGCGGAGGAGGAGGCGGUGGCGGUUAUUAAUCAUAAAGGGAUAUGUACGUACCAUCUCGAUAAAAAAAAUCAGAUGGUUGAUUAAAAUGUGCGAUGUGAGAGGACAAUGACGUCGUAAAAUCUUAAUUUAUAUGUAUGCCAAAAUAAGAUUAUGAAUAUAAAGCAAGAAAAUGAUUAAUGAUCACAUAAAUAGGGGAAAAUAUAUUAUAAAUAUUUGGAUUAAUACAUAAAUUUAGUCAAACAUAUUAAAAUAUAAUUAAAACUAUUCUAACUUAUUAAUAAUCCGAGAUUAAUUAGCCAAAUGUACCUUUUUUGGGUAAAAAGAUGGAAUUAAUUAGCCAAAUAUACUACUCCAUUUGAAAGAAGAUGAUGAGCUCCAAGGUUUGUGUUUACCCUUCUCUGCCUUGGUUUCCUCCUCUCCAGUACUACUACUGCGAUGUCAGUAGAUGAGACAAAAAACAUGGGUACAUGUAGAUUACAUUGGGUUAGGUUUAGGGAGGAUUUGGGUUAGUAUGAAGCUGAAUUGCAUUUAUUUUUUUUGUCAAGCUUACACUCCAUAUGAUUUCCUAUGGAAAAACAAACAUUUAUAGAUGGAGGUGAUUAUUGGUAUAAAAUGUCAAUUUUUGUGUAUAUUUUGAUAGUUGAUUUAUUGGUCGACUAAUUUAAUUGAGAAUAAUUUUUGAAUUAAAAUUUUAUUUAUCUUCUAACAGUUAUUACAAAUUAAAAAGUAAAUAAUUCCAUUAAUCAUUAUGUUUUUACAUGCCUUUUGGCAAAUUGAAGGGGGGAACUCUCAUUUCCAUUUGUCCUCUUUUUUAGCCAUCAUCAAACUACAAGAUCUCUGCCCCUCUCUGUAUAAUCUUUUUAUUUUUCUCCAUUAUUCUGCACAAUUUCCAAUUGAUGAUCUUGUUUUCCACCUUCAUUCGUUACAAUAUUCUCUUCAAUAUCUCCCGAUAUUUCCUCACUUAUUUCCAUCAUCUUAGAACAAUAUAUACCUGGGUUUUUUUUAUGUUGGGUUCAUUAAAUAUCUGAUGGGAUAUCCCUGAAUCAGGUAAAGAUGCAACCUUUUGCCCUUUUUGUAUUCUGGGUUUUGUUCUAAAUGUCAUUUUAAUGAUUGGGUUCUCUGUGGAAGAGGGGUUAAUAUACACAUCCAUCAAACAAAUUUUGCAUGAUUGUGGUGGCUUAGAGGAAGGUUUCAUUUGGGCCAAGAAAUUUGGUUCAUGAUUCCUCUGAGCAGAGCAAGACUAUUUAAAUUUCUGGGGAUCAAGAAAGUUUGGGUGGGUGUUAUGGGCUGCAUUUGCUCCAAAGGAGGCCAGCAAGCGAAUGGUAGUUUCAAUGUAGGGAGUAGCGAUGGCAAAACCAGCAAAGGGAAGAGCAAAAAAUCUUCCAGACGGUUAGUUUCGAAAAGAGACCAAGAUACCGAGACCGACGAGGAGUAUGAGAACGUUUGCUCCAUUAUUAACCAACAAGGUAAUGAUGUCGACCAUGAUGUCGGGUCGUCCUCUCCGUUGGCAGUCCACGAUCAUCACCACGAGGUCGACAGGAAGAGCAAAUCCAAGAUGUCGGGCGUAGGGAUUCGAAGCAAGGCGGUUGGCGAGAAAGGAGCUCAAGUUGUCGCCGGUUGGCCUUCUUGGCUCACUGCUGUUGCUGGUGAAGCCAUCAAUGGUUGGAUCCCUCGAAGGCUCGACUCCUUUGAAAAGCUAGAAAAGGUUGGUUUUACGAGUAAAGUUUUUUUUGUCACACUCUCACUGUUCACGCAUAAUGUUACAUUUUCACGUAAAUUUGUUUUUAUUUUCAUGCACAUAACAUAUUUUUCUAUUAACAAUUGUUACCUUUCUCUAUCUUACUUGCUAAUCAAAUUUAUAAGCUGCAUGAAAAUAGCUUAUGUGUGUGAAAAAUAGUGAAUCUGCGUGAAUAGGUAGCAUUUGUGCAUGAAUGGUGAGACAUAUAUUCUUCUUAAUGGUAAAAAUAUCCGGAUUGGGUGACUCCAAAUUGCAAUUCUUUAACUUAAUCUCGAAACUUGUUUUUUUUCCAGAUUGGACAAGGAACAUAUAGUAGCGUUUACAAAUCGAAAGAUCUCGAGUCGAAGAAAAUAGUCGCACUAAAGAAAGUUCGUUUUGCCAACAUGGAUCCAGAGAGUGUCAAGUUCAUGGCAAGAGAGAUAAUCAUAUUACGUAGACUAGACCAUCAGAAUGUUAUGAAGCUUGAAGGCAUCAUCACUUCAAGAAUGUCCGGUAGCUUGUACCUCGUUUUCGAGUACAUGGACCACGAUCUCUCUGGUCUCUUAUCAAGUGCAGGGUCUCAAUUCACCGAACCUCAGGUGUUCGUUUUAUUUGAAGUCGCAUUUCUCAAAAUCGAAUCAGUUACAUUGGUUCAACAUCAACUAAAUUUCAACAUGUGUGACAUGAUGAGCAGAUUAAAUGCUACAUGAAGCAGCUACUCCAGGGACUAGAACAUUGCCACAGCCGCGGAAUCAUGCACCGCGACAUGAAAGGAUCGAAUCUUCUGAUCGACUCCAACGGCAUACUCAAGAUUGCUGACUUCGGUCUUGCAACCUUCUGUAAGCCUAGUGACGACCAGCCUUUAACGAGCCGGGUCGUCACUUUAUGGUACAGACCUCCCGAGCUUUUGCUCGGAUCAACGGAGUACGGCGUGGAAGUCGAUUUAUGGAGUUCUGGUUGCAUCCUGGCUGAAUUGUUCAAUGGAAAGCCUAUCAUGCCUGGAAGAACAGAGGUGGAGCAGAUUCAUAAAAUCUUCAAACUUUGUGGAUCGCCAUCAGAUGGGUACUGGAAGAAGUCAAAAUUGUCUCAUAACACAGUCUUCAAACCACAACAGCCGUACAAACGACGUGUCGUUGAAACGUUCAAGGACAUGAUUCCCUCGUCGGCUAUGUCACUUCUUGAAGUGCUUCUUGCCGUAGAGCCUGAAGAUCGUGGGUCAGCAACUUCAGCACUUACUAGCGAGGUAACUGAACAUCGAAUCCUAGCUAAUUGGUACUUCAACUUAUACAUUGUAACUAUUUGAUCAUUUUUAUCUCUCUUUUUGAUCAGUUCUUCACCACAGAGCCUCUUCCAUGUGACCCGUCUAGCCUGCCAACUUACCCUCCCAGCAAGGAGUUUGAUGUCAAGUUCCGCGAAGACGAAGCUAAAAGGUAAAACCUCACCGUUACCAUUUGGUAUAAUACAUGUCUUGUUGCGUAUAUUUCAGUUUACAAGCGGAAUAUGAUCAAAACAUAUAAUAAGCUAAAUUUUAAUAGAAAAUUUGUGUAUCGAACAACGAAUUGACAAAUAUACUUUUGGUUGCUAACGUUAGAAAAAGCAGAGCAGGAGGCAAAGGCAGGGGAAGGGAAUCAGAAAGGAUCACAUUCACCAAAGGAACAAGACUUGUCGCAGCUCCUAACCCCAACGUGGUAUUUUUCUCCAUUCCUACACAUAAAAUUAGCUCCUCUAAUGUUAUUGAGAGCCUUUUCUAUCAAAUUAAUUCGAUAGCCAAUUCAAUGAUCCAAAAUUAUUUUUAUUAAUUUUAAUUUGACAAUUGAAAUUUUAUUAGGAAUACAAUGGAAAUUUAAAGAAUAUUUUUUCUCUUUCAACUUUUCUUUUUAUCUCUUCUUUUUAUUUUUCUCACGUAAAUUGGAUAUCAUAAUGACAUAACAAUGAUGUAAAUAUGAAGUCAACAUAAUGAGUCUAUUCAAAUGACAUAAUAAAAACGCAUAACAGACUAGUAAAGUGUAUAUAUCACCGACAUAAAAGAGUGUUAAACUGGACAUAACGAUGAUAAAUUCAACUAAUCAUAAGGUGGACGUAACAACGACAUAACGAGCCUGUAAAAUAGUUGUUUUAACGACAUAACAUGCUCGUACAAUGACCACUCAUGUGAUUUUUUUCAACUUUUUUUUGUUUCGAAACUACUUCUUCAAAUCAAUUCGUUUGACUCAUUUUCAUCUGUUGGAUGAAAAUUGCCCCAAAAGCCUCCUGGUCCAAGGGCCCACGAUCUGUCGGAUCAGAGCUCUCGGAUUAAUAGGCGCGUUGCUAGUCUUGCUUCUUUUUAUUGAUGUUCAUAACUUAUAACUUGUUACAGAAGAGAUCAAAAGCACAGGGGACCAAGGAUAGAUCAAUCAUGAACAACGAAAGGCAGAGCAAUAAAGAUGACGACGGCGAAGCUUCCAAUAAGGCCUCAACAUCAACAAAUGCAACUUCUACUUCUUCAAAGCAAACACCCAAGUCUCCGCCGUCAAAAUCUGCAGCGCAAGCGGCUCAACUGUCGAGAUUUACGAACUCAGUGGUCAUUAGAGACAACAGCUCACACUAUGAUUAUGGCGGCGGUAACUCCGACCACUGGCAGAAAGUUCGUGAUCACGCCCCUACUGGCAUGGAUGCCACCAGGGUAAGUUAGUGAAAAUCACACGUUAGAAUGACAAGGAGCUUAUAGUUAACUUCCAAUUUUUGUGUGAUGAUUAAAGGCGUUUUACGGGAAGAAAGGAAGGAUGCAUCAUUCGGGGCCAUUGAUGACGGCGGGAGGGAACAUUGACGAGAUGUUGAAAGAGCACGAACGGAGAAUUCAACACGCCGUGAGGAAAGCAAGGUCGGGGAAGAAUAAGAACUUCCAAGCUGAUGGCGGAGGUGAACAAGAUGGAUCUCAGUUAUAUCGAGUGGAAAAAUGACGAGGGAACUUAUUUUGGUCGAUCGUAAUUGAAGAGAGAUUUGUAAGAAUGUAUAUUCUUUGGAAAUUAGUGUUAUUUAAUUUGUAUGGAUUAGCAUGUACAUAAUGCUCAAAUAGCUUGAACUGAUAUGGUUGUCCGCGCGAUGCCGUGAAGAUUUAAAUUGAUAAUGAUUUAGACAUUGCAUGUUCGUUGUUCAAAAGUUAAUUGUAAAUGAGAAAGAUGAUAUAAGAUUAUAUUGAUUAGGUACUAAUAGAUUUAUUAUUAAUAAUAUAUAAAAUAUUUACAGGACAAAAUGUAUGAUAAUUAAUAUGUGCAAAAUUUACAUGACAAACGGAUUCGAGCAUGCGAUGAAUCGGUACUUAGGUACUUCUCGUUGACUUAUUCUUAGACCGAUGACUCGGUACUUAUAUCGAGUUUGGAAACAGCAAAAUCGAACAAGAAAAGGUUGGAGAACGGAGCAAAAAAGUAACGGCGGCAGGGAAUAAUGAAUAAUCCGGUUCUAGGGUUUAUGUUAACCCUGCAACCAAUCACCGGGAAACUUGGCUGGAAAAAUAAAUUGAAAAGAGGAAAAGCGAAUAAAAGGAGAGUCGCCGUAAACGCCGCCAAGGCAUGGCCACGUAGGAGCAGAGUGAAAUCCGAAGCUGGUGUCCGCCUUCCAAACCUAGAGGCUCGGAGCUUAGUACAGCUGGAGACAGGCUGUCAACAACGAAGACCCACUCACCUAUUCCCCCUAACUACGUUCCCUCUGUCUUUCUUCUUCCUCCCUUAUUUUUCCUUUGCCAUUCUCUCUCCUCUCCCCGUUGUUCUCCUGUCUUUCUCUCCCUUUUCUGUUUGCCUCCUCUUCUCCCGUCUCUUCGUAUUCGACCUAGGGUUUCGCUGAUCUCCUCCGGCGAUUCGCCGAUCCUCCAUUGACGGUUGCCGGAUCAACAUUCUCUGCUUCGUAAGCUUUCGAUUCGUUCUACUUUUUGCCUGUUUUCGUUCUUGUUUUCUCCGUUUGUUUCUAUCGAUUUUUUUAUUCAUCCUUUUCCGCUCGGUGUGGAGCUUUUGCAUGUUUGUUUGGAUUUUGUAAUUUUUUUAUUUGAUAUCUCCUUUCUGCUGCUUUUUCAUUCAACAUUCGCUGUAGAAUUUUUCUGUGUUAGUUGAUAAUGCCGUUCAUGUGUUGCUCUUUUGGUUUUUAUCUGUCUGCCUCUCGUUCUCACUCUUGGAUUUUGGCGAUUUUCCCCUUACUACAAGUUAUGUAUGUUCUUUGAACUCUGUACAAUUGUUUUGGAAUUGGGGAUGUUAGGGUUUUGUUAUUAAUGUUGGCUGAAUGCUUGAGGUUAUGGUUAACAGUCCAGGGCCAAUGGGGGUUAGGAGAAGUAGGAGAGUUCCUGGAAACGGUUAUACUUAUUUGCUCAUUGGCUACUUAUUGCCCACUCAUGUGUUGGUCAUACGAAGGGAGUUAAUGAAUUUUGUGCUGCGAAAAAGUAUGAUAUCUGAUUGGGCCUUGAUGUGCGUCAGAUCUUUUCAGCAUAUAUCUUUGCUGUAUGCUUGUGGACAAGAAUCAAUAGCUGAAUUCUGACUACACGUAUAUUGGUUUUGUUACUCAUAUAGCUUGGGGCAUUUGUGUUGAAAUUGGAUGGAUUGUCUGUGGUUAAUGUUUUGCUGUUAUUACCUGCGAUGUCCUGCUUAGUUAGUUAGUUGGCUCUGGUUAGUUUACUGAAUGGUUGCAUGUUCUGCUGUGCAGGUGUUUAGGUGGCUAAUUUACAAUUUCAGAUUUUGGAACGUUUUGUAAUCUGGGAUAGAUUGGUAAAGUUGAAGGUGAAUGACUUUACUUCUGUGGAUCUUGAGCUCUCCACAAGGGAUAGUUGCACCUGGUUUUAUAAGCAAAAUAUAAUCCUGGGAAGAAAGCGACUACCCAGCUUGAGGACUUUUUUUAUCCAUGCUGGCUGAGAGCAUGCGUGGAAUUUGUGUUUCGGGUAAUGCCCCUGACGAGAAGUACUGCCGAUGGGCUCGGUGUGGUUUAAAACUUUUUGUUGGGUUCCUCUGUUCUAUCUUGCUCUUAUUGGGGUUCUUGGACUUGUGUGCAUUGUCUACUCAAUUUACUUCCGAUCUCGCGUUCGUAAUCAGGGCUUCACCCAGCUCAGUUAUUUCAGCGGUCCUUGGAUCAUUCGAAUCACCUUCAUUAUAUUUGUCAUCUGGUGGGGUGCUGGUGAAAUUGUCCGGUUAAGUUUCUUGAGACGUGAGGGUAGGGUGCUGAAUGCACUCGACUUAAAAUGGCAGGAGAAUGUCUGCAAAGUCUACAUCAUUUCGAAUCUCGGGUUUGCCGAACCAUGUUUAUUCCUCACGCUUGUGUUUCUCCUGCGUGCGUUUCGAAUCUCGGGUUUGCCGAGCCAUGUUUAUUCCUCACGCUUGUGUUUCUCCUGCGUGCUCCCUUGCAGAGGAUGGACUCUGGGAUUUUAACUCAGAGAUGGAAUUGGAAAACAGCAGGAUACAUUCUUCUCUUUUGCCUACCAGUGUUCAUUCUUCAGCUCUUUAUUAUUCUAAUUGGUCCAGAGCUACACAAGGAAGAUAGUACCUUGAUGAAGAGCUUGCCCCACUAUUUUACCAAGGCAGCUACAACGCAGAGUAGCGCUGUUAUUGCACUCUGUACUUACCCUUUAUUGAAUACAAUCCUCCUUGGGAUUUUUGCCACCGUGCUUACAUUCUACCUGUUCUGGCUUGGAAGGCGCAUCUUGAAGUUGGUUAUCAACAAGGGGUUGCAGAAGAGACUAUAUAUACUAAUAUUCUCAGUUUCAAGCUUCCUUCCUUUGAGGAUUAUUUUACUGGGGUUAUUUUACUGGGAUUAUCAGUUUUAACAGAACCAGAGAAACCACUCUAUGAAGUGCUGGCUUUUACAGCAUUUCUUGCCCUUCUAUGUUGCGCCGGAAUCUCUAUUUGCAUGCUGGUUUACCUCCCCGUUACAGAUUCAUUGGCCUUGGGGUGUGUAAGAGAUUUGGAGGCGAGGAGGAGGAUUAGUGAAGAGCACAAUGAAAAUGUCUCCCUUAUUGCUGCUAACCAGAGCUACCCGGAGGAAGAAAGCAGUCGAAUUAGCCCUGACAGGACAUCUGAUGAAUCAACGAAGCGUGGAUCUAUAUCAUUCCGUGCUUACGGAAAGGAUGGGACAUCGACUGGAGCAUUUGUCGAGCUAAGCCUAUUUUCUCCUAGUCGAGAUGCGACUCCACCGGGGUCACCCCCACUUCUUGGUUGGCCAAUGCGACCUUGUGAACAAGCUCUUCAUGGUCAUGGACCUUAGUGAAUAUCCGAUUUUGUGGUUAAAAUAUAAUGGUUGAGGGGAAGAGUGGAAGAAGAAAGAGACUGAUUGUAAAGGGGGGGUGGGGUUGGGUUAGUUUCCAAUAAGGAUUUUUGAUUCCUGGUUUGCUUUCUAAUUCUUAGAUAUGAUGGGUUUGCCUCUCAGGUUUAAUGAAUUAUUUUUGUGAUCUCCAUUUCAUCCCUUGGUGUCUUACACAUAUUCAUUCCUGCAAUUUGCAUCUGUUAACGAUGAUGCUCUGAAUCGAUAUCAUUUCCUGAUGUUAUCCAAGUUGCAAGCAAAUGAUUGUUGGCGUUGGACCAAUUUGAUUAUUGUUAUCCAAGUCAAGGUUCAAAAAGGCGAAAGGUGCUAGGCGGGCGUUGUGGUACCGUCUAACUCGAUUAAUCGUUUUUAGGCGCGACUAGGCGAUUUCUAUGGUUGAUCACACGUUCAAAACGCCCGGAUCGACACCUAAGCCCAAUGUGCGGCGUUUUCUUAAACCUUGAUCCAUGUUAAGCUGUAACCUGAAAGGAAUGAGUUAGGUGUCGUUGGUGGGGGGUAUAGCUGUAAGGAGUUGGAGAUUUCCUCCUGGCUUGGAAGUAUUGGUUGUAAGUGUAAGGCUUAGCUGUAACUUUGUAGAUGAAUGUUGUAGUACAGCUGUUUAAUGCGCAUUUCGAGUUGGUAAGAAUCUAUUGUUUAAUCAGUUCGUUCAUCCCCUCACUCCUUCUGGCUUUUGGGUUGACAGACUUGCAGCACUAUUCUUCCCCCCCUCCACGUCGGGGGAAGCAGGUUUCAACUGCUUUUAGUUACGUCUUUUGUUCUGUGUAUCAUCUCCCUCAUACUCUCCAGCUGGCCUGUUACUUCAUAGUUAAGUCGAAAUACUCAAGACCCACAUCUUUUAGACCCGAAAAGUGACCUUUUUGCUGUAUAUUGUAUUCUCCAUCUUAUCCAGAAGAUUAUAGUUAAGUAGAAAUGCUCGACUCAGAUCUUUUAGGUCCAGAAAGUCCCUAGUCAAACGACCCCUAGUAAGUGAAAAAAGAGGAGUUGCCUUCCCCAUUAUCACUUGGAUUAUUAGAGGGGCUGACGACCCCUACUUUUCUUUUAUCGGUUAGUCUACUUUUGCUUGGCCGGCUAUCCUGAAACUGGGCCUGGGUCCAGUGGGCUCAUAAUCUGCGAACUAAGUGCAUGCAAUCAUGGGCUUGCAGGAUCCGAUCCACGGUCAAAAAUCAACCCACGGAUUUAAGGAAGAAGCUAGGAAAAGAACUAGUGGUUCUCCUAUUUCCACGCCAUUAAAAUUUAGAAAAAUGCGCCUGGAAAUUUCUAAAUGUAAUUACAGUAAACAAGCGAGGGCAAUAUUGGCAAAUACAGAAGAAAGGUCCUAAAAAAGAGGCGCCGCCACCGCCUGACGAAACGGCGUAGUUCUUUCCUAUUGUUAAAUUUAGCUUACAUCUCAGGCCCCCCUCCUUCAAAAAUCAUACCUUGAACAAACCCAAGCGUACAUCUCCCUCUCUUCGUCUCCGAUAAUCCGAGCUUUCGUUCACUGUAAUGGCGACCUUCAACGAAGCUCCUCCCGGUAAUCCCGACGCCGGAGCUAAGAUCUUCAAGACCAAGUGCGCCCAGUGCCAUACCGUCGACAAAGGCGCUGGUCACAAACAAGGUAUAACGGGAUUGUCUCUGGCUCUUGAUUUCGCUCUAUGGAUCUCUUCUGGAUCCGAUCUAUUUGAUGCCUGGGCCUCGUUCUUGUGAGAUGUUUUCUGUAACUCGAUUUGCUCUGAUCUGUUUGAUAUCUUUCGGGAUGGAUGUGUGUCUAGUGGAUUUUUUUUUUCAAUUGCAACGGAAAUUGUUCACUUUAUUAGAUCUGUGGGUGAGAUUUGAAUCCAGGAUUUGUGUUGGAUCUUUUUCUUGAUUGUUUCACAGGCGCUUUAUCGUUGUCUUGUUCAGAUUAAAAUGAUCUUUGGCUCCCUGAUAUUGGUUUUUUAGUAUUUGAUUGGCGGGUUUUUCUCAACUUGCAGGUCCUAAUUUGAAUGGACUUUUCGGAAGGCAGUCUGGAACUACCCCAGGCUACUCAUACUCUGCUGCCAAUAAGAAUAUGGCUGUGAACUGGGCAGAGAACACAUUGUACGACUACUUGCUUAACCCCAAGAAGGUAUGUCAUCAGGGCCCUAAGUUCUCGCAGUAAGAUCUUUCAUGUAUGACGUUGAUAACUUGUUACUGAUCCUUUUUACCAUCUUCCUCAUGUUGUGAUUUCGUUGUAAUCCUGUCGUUGAAUUCACUCUUUGCAUGGAAAUGAUCCUUCACUAUACAUAUGAUUGAAGUUACUGCGAUCGUAUGAAGCCUUCCACAAUUUAAUGACUAAAUGACUAAUGAUUCUACCAUUUUGUUAUACUGGAAAUUAUAAAACUUUAGUAGCUUGGUGGAUUGUGUUGUGUUGGUUGUCUUUGUUUAAUUACCUACUGGAUUUAUGGGGUUUGUGGAGUUUCUUUGUUUGCAAUGAGUACGAUCAGGGUCUCGAUUGUGAAAAGUAGAUACAUUUACUGAAGGGAUGAUCCCCGUUUGUGCAAGUAGCUAGAUGUUACUUGUACAUAUACCAACAUGUGCAACGAUGUCGUGUUUUCUCGCAGUAUAUCCCUGGAACUAAGAUGGUGUUCCCUGGACUGAAGAAGCCACAGGAGCGUGCAGACCUUAUUGCGUAUCUGAAGCAAUCCACUGCCUGAUCAUAUUGAUUUUGACACAGAUUCGUGUUGCCAUUAAAUGGUAUCUGUCCCAAAUUGGACAUGGUUUUUCUUUUUUCAAUCUUCUGAAAUUGAAGCAGUAGGCAUUCCUUAAAAUAAAGAACGCCGUUUUGGAUUUGAAAGUUCCCUAUACUAUAUUCAGUUAGGGAAGGUAUAUUGGUUGAGCUUGCGACUCAGUCAUGAGUUUUCUCUGUGAGGCCGUUUGCUGGACCUCUAAAUUGAUUUCCAGAAUAGCCAUAUAUAUAUAUACUAUUGGAUUUUUCUUGUUUCUCUUGUGUUUUCAGUUAAUAUCUCUUAACGUUCUAUUUAAAAACCGUGCUCGGUCGCUUGGAUUAGCUGAAAUGCAAGCUGAAUGUAUGUUAAUUUUCUGUUGAUAAACCUUGAGAUGAACUGAGACGAUUAUUGGGGAUGGAAAAUGCCUGCUAUUUGUCCGCAUGGUUUGUUUCGAGGAUGACGAAAUAAGAUGGAAGGGCGGACAGUUGUGUCGGUUUCGGUAUAUAACAAAUGAGAUGAAGGAUGGGCAGUUGCGUCAGUAACGUGAAUUGUGGUAUUUUGUCUGAGGCGUAUCAAAUUGUAUCGUUGCUGCACAAAUUCUGAUGUGGUGGGAAGUCCCAAGACAAGUCUGGUAAGGUUGCUGUUUGUCUCACUGUUAAGUGCAAAGUCCAAUUACCAGGAUUAGCCAGUUGGGUUCAGAGUUUUGUAAUCUGUUCCAUCUGCAAUUGUUCUGGUUGCAACGUAUCGAUUUGGUGAACCCUUUCAGAUAGCUUGCUGAGUUGAAGAGCUUUGAAGGUUCUAGUCGGCAGCAGUUGCGUUCAAGAGUUUUGUAAUCUAUUUUGACGAGCAGGAUAACUACGGCGAUUCUACGAGGAACAAACUGAUAAGUUAAAUCCAUUUGAUCGUUGGAUAACAAAUGAAAUAAUCAUAUAGUUACUGCUUGUGUACUGUACCAAAAGAACACGAGAGAGUAUCUGGUGAUAUAAAUAUAGAAGAGAAGUGAUGGAAGCAGGGGACUAGCAACAAUCUGGUUAUCUGCCAUGCCAUGGAAAAGAAACAUUACUCAAAUAUGAUACCAAAAGGACUCUUCACACUGUACCCAUCAGCCACCCAAAACAGGCUCCCUUGAACAAACCUCGCACUCGUCCCCUUCUUCGCCAUGAAUGUCACCGAAUAUUUCGCCUUCUCAUUCAACUUACUGAAAGCAAUCUCACUAGGCUUAACUUCAAUCCCCACUGCUUCUUCUGGUGCAUACACCUCCACUUUGUAAACUGAGUUCGCCUUCCCAACAUUAGUGACCGUUCUCGUGUACGUCACUGGCUGAGAACCCAACUGUACCACGAAAGACGGGUAGUUCAGCUCAGCUUCGGAUAUCGAUUCAUCAGAAAAGCAUUUGACCUUCUGCUGCACAAUGGUGGACACCUGAGCAUUGUUGUAACCCAAACCACAUAGGUAAGGAACAUAGUCUUCCGGCUGGAUGUCAUAAACCAGUCCGGGAUUGCUGGCUCCAGUCGGAUUUAUAUGACCGGAUCCCAUAUCGAACAUGUCGGCUAGAAGAUGCUGCUCAUCCGAAAUCGGCUGCCCACCGGUUUGAGUCAAAUGUGCUGUCGUCAUCAUGGCUGAUUUUACUGCAGCUGGUGACCAAUCCGGAUGAGCACUUCUGAGCAAAGCUGCAAUGCCGCUUAGAUGAGGGCAUGCCAUUGAUGUUCCUGAUAUCAUAUUGAAGUUCGAACCAUUGUUGUUGUUGGCUAACUCGUCCAGAGGAGUUGGCCAAGCAGCUAAUGUGCUUACACCAGGUCCAAUGAUGUCGGGUUUCAUGAUCCCGGGGCUCGAUUGGCUAGGACCCCUCGAUGAAAAGGAAGCAACUUGGGGAGCAUUUUGCUUGCGAAUCACGGUUCCUUUGAACGCAAUUUUUGCAACCGGCGAUGAUGUGGAGUUGAUGUAACCCUUGAUGGAAUUCCCUGCUUCAUAGCUGACGUGUGAUGCUGGUAGCUCAUGAGCAUCAGCUAAUGUUGUGAAACCAUAAUCUUUGUUAUUAACCAGGAUCAUUGCAGCUCCACCGUUUGCUUUCACUUCGAUUCCUUUAUCAAGUCUUUUGAUUUGGCCUCCGAUUUCACAGACGACUAUUUUGCCCUUGACAUAAAGAUGGCUUAAUGAUCCAGGUGCACAGAACACAGCUGAUGAGUUAUCAGCUGAGCCUGCAUAAACAAGUGGCAACAUUUUUUCGGAAUCGAAAUCCUUCGGCUGGAAAAGGGUUUGACCAUCAAACUCUUUUUUGUUGCCAAGAUAAACAGUUGAUAUCAUCUGUCUAUCAACAGUGCUAGCUCCAACGGUCAGAAUCCAUGGGGCUUCAUUAGACAGAGUUCCGGUACCCGGACCAUUGUUCCCUGCAGCACAGCUGACAAAAACUCCCUUCUUGAUCGCACCGAACGCUCCGAUCGCGAUUCCAUCGUCGAAAAAUGGAGCCGAGUCCCCACCGAGUGAGAGUGAUAGAACAUCAACACCGUCCCCAACUGCAGCAUCAAUUGCUGCCAAUAUUGCACUAUCAGGACAACCUUGUGGGCCACACACUUUGUAUAUGGCCAAGUGAGCCAUGGGUGCCAUUCCAACAGCUGUUCCGGAACCUUGCCCUAAAGCAUUGGCAUUUAACACAGCACUGCCAGCUACCGUGCUGGCAGUGUGAGUCCCGUGGCCUUCCUCAUCGGCCACGGAAUCGCUGCUCGAAACGAGGUUUCGAGCACCGAUAAGCUUGUUGUUGCAAGCUCCUUCCUUUAGCUCGCAUUUCCCUUUCCAUUUCGCGGGGGGAGGAGGCAUGCCUUUGUCACUAAAUGAAGGAUGGUUCGGUGUUACUCCAGUAUCAAGAACACCAACAAUGACUCCUUUCACAUAGUUUGAAGUGUUCCAUAACCCUGAGUUCUGAUUUAGCCCCAAGAAUUUUGGAGUGUAAGUAGUCUGAAGAGACAGGAUUCUCUCAGGACGCGCUGACACGAACCCUUGCUUCGAUUUCAUCGUCUCGAGCUCUUCCCUGGUGAGUUUCGCAGCGAAUCCUGUGGCCACUUGGUGGUAAGAGUGUACCAUCCGUGAAUCGUCAGAGCUUAGUUCAGUAACUGGCAGGAACUGCUGGUAGUACCUGUCUAGAUCCUCCGAUUCGAAUGAUUCUAUGCCAAGAGGUUUCUCCACAAAUACCAGAUAUGUAUUCAGUGCAUUUGUUCCAGGAACUACUUCUUCUGUCUGGGAGAAACAGAACAUAGAAGAAGCAACAAGUAGAAACAUAAUAUGGCCCAACAUCUUGCACUUCUUGUUCUCUUUGCCGAUGAAGAGAACAAGAGAUGCUGGGUGGGAUGGAGUGGAGAUGUUCAUGUGAUGCAAAAUAUAUAGAGUUAUGUUUUGUUUAAGGAAAUGAGAUCAUGAGAUAAUUAACCAAAGGAAUGUAUAUUUGAGAGUGGUACUGGUAGGGCUAUUCUUCAAGUUGAUAAUUGAUGGACAAAUUUGAUGAUGAUGGGGCACUGUUUACAACUGGUGUUCGGUUACAAAACAAAUUAAGGGACAAAGAUGUAUGGGAAGAGUUUUGUUGAGUGCAGAGAUCAUUUGAUUCUGUUUGUUGUCUUUUGUCUGGGUUUGUCAGGACACUUGAACUUGGAAAAGCUAACAGUACUGCAAUUGCUUUUCUAUGGAUAUAUUGAAAUAUCCAAUUUUUUGUCAUGGGGAUAUGAAUAGUUAGAGUUUCGAACUUUCGAGUUUGGCUCAGGAUAAUUUUAAGUUCGAUUCAAUGUUUGGUCGUGUCGGAGCUAGAGGGAGAGGAAGAGUUCCGACUAUCUUAUUUCUUUGUUUCGAGUACUAAAUUAUAUGUAAAGUACAGAUGAUUUUGUAAUCCGGUUUAUGAUAUUUGAAAUUCUGCUUCUGUCCACUUAUUUUUUCAAACUAAACAAAAUUAAACUUAUAACCAAUCUAUAGUUGUUAAAAAAAAUUUACAUAGAAAAAAAACUCGNNNNNNNNNNNNNNNNNNNNNNNNNNNNNNNNNNNNNNNNNNNNNNNNNNNNNNNNNNNNUAAUAUCUUUUGUUUUAACCUCUAGCUUUAUUCCUCCUUGCCUUGUUUGGAGUAUAACUACAUAACAAGAAAUUUGAACACAUACUUUCUAAUAGUCGAAUAUGAAUAUUCAAAUUUAGUCCGAAUUUUUAAAUUUAGCCCAAACUAGUUUCAAUUCCAAAUAUGUCUUUUAACGAAAUUUUAUUAAAUUUUUCGUCGAAAUUAGUGGAGAUUAAGACUGCUAAAAUAACGUAUCAGCUGACAUGUCAAAUAUAACCAUGUCAUCAUCCCUAAAUUAAAUAAAAAUGAUAAUUAAGAAAAUUAAUAAAUAACAAAAUAAUAAUAAAACGUGUUAGGUUUGAUUUUUAAUUUUAUUUUGUUGGGAAUAAUUAAAUUUUGUUUUAUAAUUAAAAUGCUGACGUGGAGGCUGAUAUGACAUUUAUUUGGCCGGUCAACUGAAUGCCAAAUGCCAUGUCAGCUCCGCCUGUCUCGUCACUAACGGUGUUAAAAAUUUUGACUGAAAAUUUAUUCAAUAGGCUAGAAUUAUCGGAAGACCGAAACUAUUGGUUAGAUAACGAUCAUCAAAAUAAUUCGAACUAGAUUUGGAAAUCCUCUCAAAGUUUAGGUUAGAUUUGGGUAUUCGGUUCUUUUUAAUUUACAUGUGUGUCAUGUCACAUGUAAAAAACGUUGAAUUUUACGUUAAUUAUUUGUGAGAGUUGGCUAGACUUUUUAUCAGGUAUAUGUGUUCAAAUCAUUUAUCAGCAAGAUUUAGCGGACCCAUUCAGAGAAUCAAACCGAGUAAGCCUAAUUGAAACAGCACAUAAUCGAACAACGGAUCAAAUCCAAAUCGAAAAGGAAACAACGCAUAUACACACACAAAACUCACAAUAGUGCUAAAGGACACAGAGAUACGAUCGUAUACGACACAGGUCCUGUUCAAAUAAGGUCGUAACGAUGAUAACUACUGCUUCUUGAAAACCUUGAUCCCUCUCCAACGAGACUCCAUGUAGUUAGACGCGUCAUCCUGAGUGUAAACUCCAAACUUGAAAUAAUGGGACCUGCCGCCGUGGCCAGGUCCCUGAUAGACGAGACUACCGUCCACAUAAAUCUUCAGCUUUCCUGCAUCAGCAUCGUGGAUCACAUUCAACCGAAACCACCUAUUGUAGAUGUCCGAAAGGAUGGGAGCACGGUACGCCGAGAGUUCCCCUCGAUAAACUCGAACCAUCAUCGUAGUUGCACGACCACUCGCUCCAAACACUUGCAUCACACACACCCCUGAUGUCCCGCUUGGCACGAACCCAUGGCCUUCGAAUUGCCACACUCCUGACGAAUAGUCAUUCCCCUGCAGCCAUUGAGAAUGCUUUAGAAUGGUCUUUUGAAUAAUUCAGAAAUUAAAUAAUAUUGGCCUGAUCAUGGGGCAAUAGGGUAAUGUAUAUCGGGUUAGACCCGUUAUGGUUACGGAUUAAUCGAAACAUUUUAUGUAUAUAAGGAAUGUUGGUCUCCUCUGUAAUUAAGUCAUCUCUCACCGAAACCUUUAAUAAGAUUCUCAUCUUCUCUCCGUGGAGUAGCCGACCUCAAGGUCGGAAAUCACAUUAAUCGUCUAUGUUGUUCUUCUAUUAUUCCUUCAAUAUUCUAGUGUUAUUCUCUUUUUAUCAUGUUAAGAACCGUUGCAUCCCAAUAACUCGAUUGGUAUUUAUAUUAUUUACUAACAUGCCCCUUCAAACGGAAGCUCUCAAAAAAGUUGAGGUUUGCACAUCUUCGAUAAAUCAUGUGCAGAGAUUGGGGGCUAUAUAUCGGAAUUCGAAACGGAGACCUCUCGGUCAUGUAAAGCUCUGAUACCAUGUCAAGAAUCGUUGCAUCCCAAUAACUCGAAUUGUUGAGAAGAAAUUCUGAUUGGUAUUUAUAUUAUUCACUAACACAAUAUGCUCUACGGCACAUGGUCUAAAAAUUUUCGUGGCCUCGAAUUUUUCGAAUUUACAGUAUUCGGUUUAACAAAUCUUAAUAGAAUUGAGGACAAUUAACCAAAUAUAAUAUCGGCUUACGUACAGUAAUACGGAUUUCAGUGCGAGGUCUGGUGUUGCUACCCUUGAAGUGUGGUUUGUCAGUGGAGUAAACCCAGAGCUUGUGGACGUCGUCUUGGUAGCUGUAACGUUGGUCCUUCUGCAGAUCGUACGGCCACUGGACCUCAAAGUUCGAAUCACUCAGCGGAACAGCAACGAACCCUUCGGUUGGAUCGACAGCACCAAAAGCUAGCCAGGGGAACAGCUGAACAAGGAUUACAAGACGGCACAACAACAAUACUCCUCCACCGGAAAUAGAAGCCAUAAUUAAUCAAUGAAAAGGAAGCAACUGUAGUAGUUUUAGAAUAGUGGAAACUCAACUCUGGCAAUUUAGGUGUGAAAGGUUUACUCUGAAUUUUGGUUCAUUAUAUAGAUAAGAGAUUCCAAAGGUGGCGGCAGCAAGGGAAUGUUUCGUUCUCUUGAAACCUACUUCGGACGUAUCUCGUUUCCUAUACAUUCUGUCUUUGUUAAGAGUCCGGGUAAGUAGCAAGGAGAUCGGUCUCCUUACGGGCAAUAAAGAGUAAUCCGAACUGUCCAUAUUGAAUGCCAGAUCUAGUAGACGAGAGGGCCAAUUUAAACCAGGGAUAAAUUUGUCUUUUCGUAAUUUUCGCACACAACUUAUACUCUUUGGUAAACGGACCACGGAUCGUCGUCAACAUGGUCGUACCCAUAGUAUCAGAGUCAACAUUCACUCCAUACCAUUAUCGAGAAAUGGCAGGAGAGCUAAGUGAUUGCAGAAGUAAGUACCAAGAUUUCAGAAUCAUCGACAUCUUCCGUAUGGAUGCUAACAUCGAGCCUCGAUUUUCCUUAAUCCUUAUACUUGAUCUUCGACGACGUCCGUCUCCUCAUUUUACAGUACACAAUCCCUCUCUGUUAAGCUUCACAAUCCUGGUUCGCUACACAUCCCUCUCUUCUUCUCCCAUCAUAUCAUCAAUAUUUACAAACACAUCAAUUAUAUUUUAAAAUUUUCAAUUCUUUUGGUGGACCAGAUUACCCCUCGUCGGUUAGAGGUACAUUGGAUUUUGAAUGUCUAAAUUAGACGGCUACGAUUUAUUUGCUGGAACUUUGCAGCCUAUUCGGGUUUCUUUUUUGUUAGUGAAGAACCGUAGUCUCAGUUGCUGAUAUUGAACCAGAACAAAUACAUAUAAAUUAGUGUUCUUUACGCAGUUAACUUUCGUUUUAAUUAACCAGUAAUGACAAGUUAAAAGUCUUAUUACUUUAUUAAACUAACUUUGAAUAUACAAGUAUGUCAAAGUUUUAGAUCAUGUGAAUACAAAUACGUCAAAGUUGUAGAUCAUGUAAAGAAUCGUUUCGUCACAAUAAUUCGAGUUGUUGGGAGAGGAUUUUGAUUGAUGUUUAUGUUAUUCGUUAACAAUCUCCAUCCCAUAAAUUGAUUAGCAAUUUUCAAUAAAGACUUUAUCACCAUAUCGACAACAUUAACAAUUAACUCAUUCAGCAAUUUCUUACCAUCUAAUUAAAAUGAACCAAUGAAAUAUCAUUAUCUAUUAUUUAUCUUCAAUUUAUUUUCAUUCAUAAAUACAUUUCUUAAAAAAUGAGUCAUCUUGUUUGUGUGGCAUUAGCAAUUGCUUAUUGGAUGCCAUUUAGAAUUAUGGUUAGCAUUGAGUUAAAAACUCUAUUUAUUAAUUAUUUUGCAGUUGGUAAUUAUUGAUCUAUAAUUAAUAGAGGGCAUGAUUAAUGAAAAAUAAUGAAAUAUUUUGCAGCAAUUAUAUAUGUUGCUGAAUUUUUAGUUAUAAUUAGACACGAGAUGUCGUUAAAUGUGUAUGAUGUUUGUUCUGGAAAAAAAAUAGUAACACAUUCGAAGACAGCAGUAACUAUGGUGAAAUAAUCUGACAACUUGGAUGCAUAGCUUUUGGACAUCAACAAAAUGAAACUACUGAUAGAGAUCAUAGUCCAACUCCGAAGUCAGAGAAGUCGAAAACUAUGGUGUAAAAUCAUACAAAUGUUAGCAAGUUCUUACACUUAUUGACUACUACAAAGGGAAACAAAAUGCAUAACUAACUUGAUGCAUUCUUAAAGUUAACAUACCACUCUGUUCCUGCGAUUUUCGUAAUCCGAACCCGGACUUUGAACUCGAGCAGAUCCGAAGUUUCCAAUCACUUUGGGACGACUGCAAUUGCACUGGUGACCGUAUACCGAGGAGCCGUCCAGAUCAAGUAUCCUUGAGAGUAAGGCUUUGCACCAUAUUUCCCAGCCUUUCUAGUGAACGUCACAGAAUAUGUUGCCUUCUGAUUCAGCCUGCUGAAAGCAAUCUUCUUGGGACUCACCUUAACAUCAACUCCUUCCGGCGCGAUCACCUUGGCAAUGUAGAUCGAGUUUGCCAGUCCGACAUUCGUCACGGUUCUCGAGUAAGUCAGAGGUGUGGAUCCCAGUUUGAUCGAGAAUGUAGGGUAGUUGAGCUGAGCUUCAGGAAUGCUCGAAUUCCCGCAACGCACUUUGCAGUUUACGAUCGUCGAAAUCUGGCUGUUCAAGUAAGCCAACCCACAUAGGUAAGGAAUGUAGUCAUUGGGGCUGAGGUCGUAAACCAGCCCCGGAUUAGCAGCUGCAUUCGGAUUGACAUGUCCUGCACCGACGGCGAACAAGUUCGCCUUUUUAAGCUGUUCGUCCAGUAUAGGCAAGUUGCCGAGAUUCGAGAGGUGGGCGGUGGUCAUCAUGGCUGAUUUGAUUGCGGCGGGGGACCAAUCAGGGUGAACACUCUUGAGCAGAGCAGCAAUGCCGCUCAAGUGAGGGCAAGACAUCGAAGUUCCAGAGAUCAUAUUGAACGGGAUGUUGUCGGUUAUAUUGUCCACCGAAACCGGCCAUGCAGCUAGGAUGUUGACUCCAGGACCAAUGAUGUCAGGUUUCAGGAUUCCUGGAGAUUCAAUGCUGGGGCCCCUGGAGGAGAAUGAAGCUACUUGCGGGGAAUUCGGGUUACCAAGUAUUGUCCCUUUGAAAAAGAUGGUAGCUUUCGGAUAUUUCGUCGAGUUAAUAUACGAUUUGAUUGCUUCACCGGCUAAAAAUCCGACGUGUGAUGCAGGGAGGACAUGGGGAUCUGCUAAUGUAUCAAACCCAUCAGCUUGAUCGUUCAUCAGAAUCAUUGCAACUCCACCUUUGUUUUUCACUUCCUGUCCCUUGGCAAUUCUGGCAAUAUUACCCCCUCUUUCACACAAGACGAUUUUGCCCCUGACGGAAUUGCUCAAUGUGUUGGGCCCACAGAAUUUUGCACCUCUUCUUUUCCUGUUUGUACCUGCAUACACAAAUUAUUAAUGAAUGAUAUAAAAUCGAGUUAUCACAUAAUAAUUUAAAUUAUUAAAAUAUAACGAUUUUCUAGUUUAAUUUAUACCUGCGUACAAAAGUGGCAGGAAUUGUUGGGAAUGAAAUUUCCUGUCCUGGAAUAGAGAUUGACCAUCAAAUCCUGCUUUGCUCCCAAGCAGAACUGUUGAUUUAAUCUUCCUAUCAAUCGUGCUGGCCCCGACGGUUAAAAUCCAUGGUGCCUCGUUGGACGCUGAUGAUUUUACCGGGCCAGCGUUUCCUGCCGAGCAGCUUACGAAAACACCCUUCUGUAUGGCUCCGAAUGCGCCAAGCGCAAUCGGAUCUUUGUAGAAGGGUUCUGUAUCACCCCCGAGCGAGAGAGAAAGCACAUCAACCCCGUCGGCUACCGCACUAUCCAUUGCUGCUAGUAUAGCAGCACCGGUACAACCGAGCUUCUCGUCGCAGACUCUGUACAUUGCAAUGUGGGCUAACGGUGCCAUCCCGACUGCUGUACCGUUCGCCUCACCGAAGGCGUUCGCCCACGGGAUCGCAUUUCCAGCUGCCGUGCUGGAAGUGUGCGUCCCGUGGCCAUCAUCAUCUGACGCAUCCGGAUUAUGCGAGACGAGAUUCCUAGCGCCGAUUAGCUUGUUGUUACAUUUGGCUCCUCGUGGUAGCUCACAUCUGCCUUUCCAUUUCGCAGGAGGAGGAGGCAUGUGGUCGUCUCUGAACGACGGGUGGUUGGGUGCUAUACCAGUGUCGAGAACUCCGAUAAUUACACCUUUACCCCCGCCGUUUUUCCAAGGGUUCCAUAACCCUUUGUUCUGUUGCAGCCCCAGGAACUCCGGAGUGCGAGUUGUGUGUAAAGAGUAAGUCUUGUCCAUGUGAACUGAGAGGAUCCCUUCCUUUUUUUCCAUUUCCUUCACUUCGUGUUCGGUCAGCCUGGCAGCAAAUCCUGUCGCGAUGUUGUGGUAGGAAUGGACCAUUAUGGUAGUGUCCUGAUCAUCAGUUAAGCUUGUUGUCAGAGUCUGAUGAUCUGGAAGGUAGGAAGUGUACCAUUUGUUCCAAGCUUCUUCAUCUUCUUGUUGAAAGGUGGAACUUUCUGGCUUCUCCAGGAACACAAUGUAAGUGUUCAACUGGCCGCGGUUGGAUAAUUCGGAGGAGAAGCAAGAUGGCAGUGAAGCAAGACUGAUCAGAAUUGCUAUAAUCAUCGUCACUGUCAUCUUGUUCUCCAUUUUCCUUUGGAUUGUGAUGUGCUGUUUGUUUGUGUGUUGCACUGGAUAUGAUGUUUGUAACGAACAUUAUAUAGUGGUGGAAGGUGUUUGUUAACUUCACUAAUCUGGAAAGUGGCCGGCAAUGCUGCGGUGCAUCCAAAGCUGAAGCCACCAGCCAAAAAUUUUGGACAUUUGUAAGGCGAUUGAACUUAAGUGUGAUGGGAAAACCAAGGGGCCGGGAGCGAGCAAGCAAGUUAGAUCAAUAUGAGCGAGUCCGAUUCUAGAGCGAACGACAUUGCUCCUUGGUGCCAAAAUUAAUAGUCAAAAUUAAUCAUGGGUAAUAUUGUUACGUUGUUUAUAAUAUUGUUAUGGUCCAACAAUAAUAUUAAAAAGUUUUCCGAUCAUUUUCCCAGCAAUUCCGACCUCUGUUGAUUAAUUUUGUUGCAGCCACAUGAUCAUCUUCGCUAGCUCUAGAUAUCUAGGGAAUAUUUUUUAUUUUUUAGAAUUUUUUCCUACGACCUGUCGUACAAUUUUAUACAGAGAGUUGUACGGAUCAUACAUUGUGUAUAAGUUUGUACAAAUCCAUACAGAAAUGUAUACACAUUUAUAUGGAUUUUGUACAAAGUAUUAUACUAAGUAUCGUACUAAGUAUCAUACUAAGUACUAUACUUAGUACAAGACUUUAUAUACACAUUUGAUUUGUAUGACCGUGUGAUGUGCUGUAUUUUUUACACACUUGUUCACAUUAUAAAAUAUAUUUUUGUGUGUCGAAAUGUAUUCAAACUUAGGAUUUUGAGUAUAUGUUUGGUUUUCUUACUCCUCGAGGCCGUAUUACAUUGUUUGGGAUGUUUUGAUGCAUUUCAGGCGAAUUACAGCGUAUAGGGACAAGUGGGAACUAAUAUGGACAAUUGAAGUUGCUUGGAGCGAAGAUUGGUUGGAAUUUAAGAGGAACACACCGUGUCCCAUAAGAACACACCGUAUCCUUUGGAACACGACCGUGUCUUUUGAUUUGCAUUCUUAGUUAAUAAUUAGUUAGGAAAACAUUCAUAUAGAUGAUCAUUCACUGUUACUUGGUCUAGUUAGUGUAAUCAAGUUGAGUAAUAGCAUUAGAAGACCCUAGGGAAAUACGAUUCCAUUAGUUCAUUCUAGUGGGUAUUUGAUUAGCGGUGUAAAAUCCGUUCUUCACUAUAAAAUGUCAAUUUUACCCCAUAUUUUCAGUCGUUAUAUUUAAGAUAUAAUAUUUGAACGAUUGAGAUUGUGCAAGCUUUCUAGAUUAGAUCCAGUUUCCAUUUCCCUAACUCCAAAUUCGGACUCGUCUACAGGUUAACAUUUUAUGGGUUGGAGUUUAGUUAAGCAUCAGCUAUAUGUUGUGUUUUUCGUAUUUUCUGAGUAGUAUCAGCCAAAUAUUUUCCAGAAAUAACAAGGGAGGUGUCCAGAAGUAAGCUCCACCAUUAUCAUAAUUAGAAUUAUUAACUAGACUUUCACUUAUAUGUUGUAGUAAAUAUCAACCACUCACAAGUUAGCUAGUAAUAAAAACAAAAUCAGUCUUGAUCAAAACUUAUUAUAUUGUUUACCUAAAGUCAUAUCUAAUUAUUCUAUUCAUUUUUUCUUUUUAAAAGUUUAAAAUUAAAGAAUUAUUGAUUCCUUGGUUGUGGAAGGAGUAUUUGUUGUUGGCAUCCAAAAAUCAAGCAAGGCAGGAAAAAUAUUGAAUUGGUGUGGAAUGAAGGAGGAAGGGAGGAGGUAUUUAUAGAUUCGUUGGAGUUAGCGGCGCACCCUCGGAUGUGUGGCGCGUUCUAGGGGCUCCAAUGGCUAUAUUGUAACGGUCAGGAAACGACCGUUACAAUAUAAAUGUUGGAGUAUCUCUAGAACGUGCCGCACGUCCUAGAGUGCGCCCAGUGUUUUAGGGGCUCAUAUUGAACAUUUUGUAUAAUUUAUGUUUCAUUUUAACCGUUUAUGUAAUUUUUUAUUUAAUCGUGCGUAAUUUUUUUACUUUAUUUAAUACUAAUUGUAACUGAAGUCAUAUCUAAUUAUUCUAUAUCAAGUAAUAUUCAGAUGGGGAAGAAACGUGCAUACACCUCCUAAUUCCUAUUUGUAUUUUUACUUAAGAUUUAAAUGAUUUAACAUUGUAUGCAUAAAUCUGUCAGAUGUAGAGUUUGCAUGGUUUCUUCAUCUUCUAUCAACUUGCUGGAUUUAUGAUAUAUUAAAAGAAAGAAAUAAAAAUUGCAUAUGAAAUAUUUGAAAUAAAAACUUAUAAGAAUAUCCCUAAUUUAUUUUCUUAUUAAUUGAUAUUCUCAUCUCAGCAAAAAUGAGCACAGAACUGAAUCUCGAUAGGAUAUGGAUUUAAUGAUUGAAAUUACCAGUUCUUCAUGUGAAAAGUAACACCUUGGUUAUACCUACUAUCUCUCUCUCUCUUUGCGACCCAUCCACCAUGGCAGCAUGGCCUACAUCACCGAUACCACCGCCAACUCAUUCUCCUCGGCUGCACUUGACGCCGCCGCCAACUCACCAUCCUCGCCUGUGCUCGUUGAUCGCUGUGUUCAAAAUCUCUCUGUAACGACAGCGAUGACGAGGAACUUUCGCUGAAGGAAGCACAGCCAAUCCUCCUUCGGAGGUUGUGAAGACUGGAUCAUCUCUGACAAUGUGCUCUCUUUUGAAGCCAGAUGGGCUAUCUCUUUGUUAGUUUUUGUGUCAAACUAUGUUUUCUGAAUUUCCUUUGGAUAUUCUUUUAUAUGCUAGUUUUUCUUGUCUUGAGCUGAUUUUUAUUUGGUUCUUUGAGUUUUACUGAAUGAGUUACGAUAUUGAAAAGAGGUACGUGCGAAAUCAAUUAAUUAAAAGGAUAAUUAUUUUUCUCGUUAUAAUUUAUUUGUAGGUUACACUUUUGAAGUUAUUAACCAUGCAGUGUUUUUUAUGAGAUAUAUAAAUAUAUGUUUAUAUGGCUACGGGAAAAGCAAUCAAAGGUUUAGCCUUUUGCAAAGUAAUCCCAAACUUAUCAUCCAUGUCCAAGCUCAAUGGGUCAACUCCAUCUUCGAGCUUCCAGUCAAAUCGAUGAACUAAUGAACCCACCAUCAUAUGCAACAUCCUCAUUGCCAGUGGCAAUCCAGGACAGAUCCUUCUUCCACCUCCGAAUGGUAUGAAUUCGAAGCUGUCCCCUCCGGCAUUAAUCUCCGAUCCCAUAAAUCUCUCCGGCAUAAAUGAGUCUGGGUUGUCCCAUAUGGCUGGAUCUCUGCCGAUAGCCCACGCAUUAACUAUAAUUUGUGCUCCUUUUGGCACAUUAAAUCCAGAAAUGACCACAUCCGAUCCUGCCUUUCUAGGAAACAGCAGAGGACCUGCUGGAUGCAACCUCAAAGUCUCUUUGAUUAUUGCUUGUAGAAAAGGUAACCUGGCAAUGUUGGAUUCAUGAAGAUGAUUGUCUUUUCCAAUGAUCUGGUCUAGUUCUGUCCUUGUUUUAGCAAAUGUGUUGGGAUUGCGAAGCAGUUCAACCAUUGACCAUUCUACUGUGGUUGCAAUGGUAUCAGUCCCAGCAACAAACAAAUCCUGAACAAUCAUAAACAGAAAUAAAUAAAAGUAUUACUCUCGAUUCGACGAUCAAACAUGCAAUGGACUCCAUUGUGAAGAAAGGUAUAUUACUCUUGAUCUGACAAUCAAAUAUGAAAGUUUUUCUUUUUUUGUCUACUUUCGCGUUUUGCCGCGGGAAACAAUAUAGUUCUAGUACGAAAAAUAUAAAAACAAAUUCAACCAAAUAAUAAAGAAAUGCAUAUACAAAAUCUAAAAAUAUAUAUGAGCAUUAAAAUUGAAUAUGGACAUGAUUGACUUGCUACUACAGUUCAUUAGUAAAUAUAAUUGUGAAAUGAGUGGUAUGACAUACUAUAAUUUGAAUUCAAUAAGUAAUAUUUUAAGAAAGUUGAAAUGUAACGAUUAACAAAAAUUUGGAAGUAUAAAUACUUGAUUUCUAAUGCAUAUUAUAUUUUUAUUAGAAACUAAUGUAUAUUUUAAAUUGGAGAGAAAAUGAAUUUAUAAAAUCUUUAUUUUAUAUUGAAGAGAAAAUAAAUGUUUAAAAUCACAGAAAAGUUAAAUUUAUAGAGUAAAUAUAAGUCUUACAUUUUUUGUUACACAUAAGUUUUACAUAGGAUUUGUUGGAGGGGAUCUUAUUUUAUUGUGCAAUAGUAACUCUCAUCCUACUAUUGCAUAAGAAAGUAGGAUUCCCUCCAAUAUUCCGUUAGUUUUUUUUAUUUAAAUAAAAUUUGGAUGGAAAAUUAACAAAAUAUUAUGUUUGUUAAAACCGUCAAAAUUUAAGAGGUUUGAUCAUUAAAAUUUAGUAAAGAAAUGGCAUGAUAAAUUAUAUAUAGAACAAAGGGUGUAAUUCUACAAUGAAGAUUUAGCGUACAUAUCACAUCAAUUGUGUUUAGCUUGAUUUGAACGUGAUUGUUAUGGUUAGCGUUAAAUAGCACAGUAUGAAACUGCAAGAAGCCAUGGAAAUAUAUGGACUCAAAGUAAGGGAGUGAAGAGUUCAAAUGAAAGCUCACCAACAAUAAGUGAUUGAUGAGAUCUAGAUCCAUUGAAGCUUCCCGACUCUCUUGAUCAACAAUGUCCAGCAGCGUAUCCAGCAUGUCAUUACUCGAUACAUACUCCUCCGACUUUCGCUUCUUCAAUCGCUCCUCGAUUAUUCUUCCGAACAGAUUCAUCACCUUCUCGGAAUGACUUCUCAUCCUCCUUUGUAUCCCCUGCAAAUCCAUUGCGCUGAGAAGAGGGAAAAAGUCUCCCAAAUUGGGCUUACCGGAUUCAGUCAUUAUACCCCUCGUGGCCUCUUCGAACUCCGCAGCAUCAAAACCACACCAUGAAGUAGUAGUACGGACCUCCUCCAUCAAAUCCAACGAAAGAACCGUCGUCGAAAUAGAGCCGAAAACUGCCCUGAAUGCCGCCCUUCCAAUAUCCACCGCCUUUCCCUCGUUGGCAUUUUGUCGAACAACUUUGAGAAACUCCAGAACCUUUUCCCACCGAAGGCCUUGGUUGGAAUCCAGCCUCUGGGAGGCGAAGAGAUGAGUGUUGCAGAUUUUCCUGAGGUUCCUCCACUUGGAUGACUCGAAAGGGAGCAACGGCAUGCCGAAUUCGUGGUGAUCGCUGGCGCAUAGUGCCUGUGUAAGCUGGCGGUUGCAGAGGAUAUGGUCGUGUUUUUGGAGAAUUUGUUUGGCUACAGCCCGAGAGGAAGCGACGAUUGUGGUUACUUGGCCAAGCUUGAGGCUCAUUAUGGGACCGUGAAUUUUGGCAAGUUGGGCUAGGGAUUUGUGUGGUUUGUCGUCCAGGUUGUGGAGGUUUCCUAUGAUCGGAAGGCGGGUAGGACCGGGCGGGAGAUUGGCCGUAGUUUGGUCGGAGAAGAAGCGGCGGAGGAUGGCCAAGGUUGUUAGGAGGCAGAACAAGCAGGUAAUGAUCUGUAACAAGUCCAUUUUAAUGUGUUCUAUUGGUUACAAUUUCAAUUUCUCAGCUUACACAGCUUUGAUAUAAAUACACAAGAAGAAUGAAAAUGAGCUUUUCUAUAUUUCCAGUUGCUAUAUUGCGGCUUGUUUGUUUGCGGCCGAUUGAAACAGAAUAUUUAUCGCUUCGAACUUUAGAGGGCAAAAAGCAUAUUGUGGGCUACUUAUAAUUUGAAAUACAUAUUUUUUUCAAUUUUUUUUAAAUAGUUAUAAUUUGAAAAAUAUAACUGGUUAUAAUUAUCACUAAUUAUUAACAAAUAACUAAUUAUAUUUAAUAAUCCUAACAAAUAACUAAUUAUAUUUAAUAAUCCUAAUUGAUUAUAGUUAUGACUAUUUAUUAACAUAUAACUAGUUAUAUUAUUAGUAAUCAUAACUAGUUAUAAUUUUUCACCGGAAUAGUAGAUGGUGACUUGCUGGAAAAGGCACCGUCGGCAACAGAAGGAUGUCGACUGAUGACCAGAGUCUCGCCGGAAAAUGGCUGGCUGGUGACCGAGGCCGGGUGACAAAGAACGAUGCUGAUGUGGCAGUGGUGUUUUUAUAANNNNNNNNNNNNNNNNNNNNNNNACAAAAACAAAAUUGUGACAAAACUUUACUAACUUCUUAUACAAAUCACUAAAUUAAUGAAAUUCGGAAAUUUAACGGUCCACGAUCCUUCUAAACAUCCUGAAACUACUAAAAUCUUGAAAGUUGAACAACUCCCACCUAUUACCAUUUCUUGCAUUGGCUUGUUUAAAUGACAGAGGUUGACAUACACACAAAGAAAGACAAUAUGCGAAGGAAAACAAACAAACAGGCUACUAACCAACGGAUAAGCUAAGAUUUAAGGAUCUAUUUGUUUGUUUGUGGUCGUUUGAAAGAGAAUAUUGCGGCUUCGGAUCAAAUUAAAUUAGGCCAAGUUCCGGCACAUUUUAAAAUCAGAAAUCAUCUCUAAUUUCAAUGAUUAAUUUUAAUCAUUAAUUUUUUAUUUAAAUAUGUUUAAGUGUGUACAUAAUUAAUUAAUAAUUAAUAUUCUCUUACUUUUUUCUAUCAAAAUGUGCCAUUAUUCAUGAAUCUCAUUAAUAAAGUUGACUUAGAUUUCUAUAGUUAAGUAUAUUUGUCACGUAUCGAAAGACAAUCCACCAUAGGUAAAGUUGUAUAGAGACAAUCGUUUUAUAGAGAAAUAGACCAAGUUUGGUGUUGUUAUCAGUAGUUUAGGUGUUGAUGGACCAAGUUAAUACUAAUUCCAAUUAUUUAUGCACUAUUUCCAAUUACUUGUGAUUUCCUUUAAUUCUUAAAGAGCACCUUAUCAUUUUGUAGAAUUUCUCGGUGUUCAUUACUGGUUAGCCUAGUUGAAGUGAUUUCAACCUUGAUUGGGAAAUUGAUAGUGAUAAUCCGUGCACAUGAUCGUGCUACAGAUUCAUACGAGUAAUAAGAGGAGUUUUAAUAUUCAAUUCAAGUCCAACAUUUUUUCAAUUCGAUUACUAUUAGGAAGUUCAGCUUGAUGAAUCAUCCCUUCCAAGAACUUGUUUUUUUCCUUCUGUUCAAACCUCAAUUGUUAGUUUUAAUUGAAUUAAUAGAAUCAUUAGAAACCCUGUCCAAAUUGUUAAGUCUAGACCAUGUUGAUAAGUUUGAGUAAAAGUAUAACGAGAGAAAUCUUUGGACACAUACGACACUUGUGUUGUCGAGAUAAUUGUCAAGUUAUUUUGGCGACCAAGAUGCCUCCGUGGCACUCUUUCGACCCGCGGACAACUUCAACGCAAAGGAAUGGAGGUUAGCGACACCUGCAGUCAGCUACCCUCGGAACCACCUUUGAACAACCUCAAAGUAACAAACCAUCGAUUAUCCGUAACCCCAAAGUGUUCAAUUAGACUACCCAACACUACAACAAAAUUUAACAUAUAUCGCAGGCGGCUGAUCGUAGAUACGUGCUCCCGCAACCACCAUCAAACUCUAACUCUCCAUCAGACUUCAUACUCCAUUACUACAAGUUAUCUAGGCGUGGGAAUAGCCAGCAAUGGUUUUGCUUUCUGCAAACUGAUCCCAAACUUCUCUUCCAUAUCCAAACUCUCCGGCUCGACUCCAUCCUCCAACUUCCAAUUAAACCAAUGAACUAAGGAACCUAACAUCAUAUGCAACAUCCUCAUUGCCAGUGGCAAUCCAGGACAGAUCCUUCUUCCACCGCCGAAUGGUAUCAACUCAAAACUAUUCCCUCUAACAUCAACCUCUGAUUCCAUGAACCUCUCGGGCAUGAACGACUUCGAAUCGCUCCAUAUGGUCGAAUCUCUACCAAUAGCCCAUGCAUUCACCAUAAUUUGUGCUCCCUUUGGCACGGUGAACCCGGACACUUCCACGUCGGCUCUUGCCUUGCGAGGAAGAAGGAGGGGAACCGAUGGGUGUAGCCUAAAUGUCUCCUUAAUUAUUGCUUGUAGAUAAGGUAACCGAAGGAUGUCAGAUUCUUGAAGAUGUUUGUCUUUUCCAAUAACUCGAUCGAGUUCUUCCCUUGCUUUAGCAAAUGUGUUUGGAUUGCGGAGCAACUCUGCCAUUGCCCAUUCCAACGUGCUUGAACUUGUAUCGGUACCGGCUACAAAUAGAACCUAUUAAUUUUAAAAAAGCUUAUUAAAUAAUUAAAAUGGUUAAGUGGAUAAUUGAUCCGUAAUGAUUACAUCACUAUUGACAACAACAAUAAAAAACAUUUAAAAAAUAUCUUUUUAUUUUCAUUUGACUAUUAUUCGAAGAGGUUAACAUAAUGAAAUCUCAAGUUUUAGUCAUUCUCAACAUGCAUAUUAAAUAUUAGCUAAUUUGAAAAAAUUUAGUUUUCAUGUCAAAAUUGGUCAAUUUACGUGUGUUAUACUAUGAAAAUUUGACCGUUUUCACAAGAAAAUUUCAAAAAUUUUAAAUUGGCUAAUAUUUGACAUGCAUGUUGAAAAUGAUUAAAAAUCAAGUUUCAUUAUGAACACCAAUAACCAAACCAUAAAAUCUAUUAACUUAAUAAUCGAUCUGUAAUGACAACCCUACAAAUCAUAUUUGCGAUGUUGUCGUCUAAAAUAGGGAUAAUACACAAAUAAGCCCUUUUACUAUUACAAAUUAACAUCUAAUUAAGCCCCCUUACUAUAUUUUGUUCAAACCAAAACCCUAUACUUUGCUCCGGUUAAUUUCAUGUCAUUGGAGUUCGGUUUUUAUGCAUAAAAAAUGGACUCCAAUGACGGGAAAUUAACUGGGGACUUUGUUGUUAGUCGGGGCAAAGAGUAGGGGCUUGAUUCGAAUGAAAUAUUUUAAGCGGGAUUAGAUGUUAACUUCUAAUAGUAGUGGCGAUUAUUUAGAUAUAAUCCCUAAAAAAAUACAAGGAUAGACGACAAAUAACAAUUAUUAAAAUAGAUAUGAAGAGAUCAGGUCAAAUAAAGAGAGCUCACCAAGAACAAGUGCUUGAUGAGAUCUAGAUCCAUGGAAGCCUCUGCAUUCUCUUGAUCAACAAUAUCCAGCAACGUAUCCAUCAUGUCAUUGCACGUUACAUACGCCUCGGACUUUCGAUUCUUCAACCGUUCGUCGAUUACCCUUCCGAACAAAUUCAACACCUUACCGAAAUGAGUCCUCAUUCGCCGAUGUAUCCCCUGCAAAUCCAACUUACCCAAUACAGGAAAAUAGUCUCCCAAGUUCGGCUUCCCAGCUUCAUCCAUUAUACUCCUCGCGACCUCCUUAAACUCCGUUGCAUCCUUCGACCUUUCGUCCGUUAGAUCCAAUGAAAGCACAGUCAUCGACAGAGAGCUAAAAGUCGUCCUGAACGCCACCUCCCCAAUAUCAACCGCUUUCCCCUUACAGGCAUUUUGUCGAACACCUUCCAAGAGCUCAUGAAUCCUCUUCUCCCUGGACUCCUGGUUCAAAUCCAACUUCUGGGUGGUGAAUAGGUACGUGUUGCAUACUUUCCGGAGGUUCCUCCACUUGGGUCCCACGGGGAGCCAAGGCAGGCCGUAUUCGUGGUGGGUGUGGGGGCGGGUGGCGUGGUUGGGGGCGCGGAUGGCCAAGAUGAGAUGGCGGUCGGAGAGGAUCUGGUCAUGCUUUUGGAGGAUUUGUUUGGCCAUCGGUGGAGAAGAAGCAACAAUUGUUGUGACUUGGCCGAGUUUCAGGCUCAUUAAGGGACCGUGAAUAGAGGCAAGAUGGGCUAAGGAUCGGUGAGGUUUGUCGCCUAGAUUGUGAAGGUUACCUAUGAUCGGAAGGCAGGGAGGGCCCGGCGGGAGAGUGACCGGAGUUUGGUUUGACUGGAACCGGAGAAGGAUUGCCAAGGUUGUGAGGAGGCAGAGUAAGCAGGUGAUCAUCAGUAGUAGCUCCAUUUUCUGAGGAUGGUUUUGAAUUGAUCGCCGAACAAACUUUGUUUAUAUAUUAAACACAAAAUUAUUAUAUUAAUACGUUACUGCCAUUUUCCGUGUUGACUAUAUUCACGUGGAUUUGAUGGAUUCUGCUGCUCAUGCAAGAUGAGUCUGCUGAUUAUUAUUUGGUUUUUUUUAUCAACGAAUCGAUUUUAUUAGAAAAAGGAGGAAGUAUAAGAAAGUAAAUCUCAAAUUUUGAAAUGAUUAUCUAUACAUGUUCCGAUCCAAAAAGAAUUAGUAAAUGCAGCUGAAAUCAAAGUUAAAAAAAGCCUAAAUAUCAAACUCACAUGUCAAUAGCGAGAAAUUUGUUGUUUUACUAUACAAUUUUAGCACAAAUAUCACAUUUUAUUUUUAUGUUGAUUAUUAAUUAUUCACGCGCAUAAUUUUAUAUUGUCUUUCUCGCUCUUAUUAGCCUAACAAAAUUAUCACGCAUUUUUAUGAGGUAACAUUGAUGAAACAAAAUACUUCUUCCUUCUCAAUAUCUUCGGCCAAGUGUCGCAACUCACUGUCGAGAAGCCGUAGCAAGUAUAUGAUGAGUAGUAACUGGUCCAGGUUUUUCAAACGUCUUUAUGUCUACGACAUAAUCUUUAAGCACAACUUAUUUUAUUUAACUAAUAACAACACAACGAAAAUGUAUUUUUCUGUACGUCAACUAAAUAUUACGCUUAAAAAAAUGUAUUCGUAAAUUAAUUAUUCAAUUUAUAAAUUUUAAUUCAAAUCCGGUUCAAUGUACAUUUCGAUUAUAAAUCCGUCAUGAUAUAGACUGAUACGAUGGGUAAAGUCGUCAUGUAGUGUUCUGCGUGCAUAACGGCCAAUAUAUCUUGUAAACAACGUAACAAAAAUUUCACCGUAACCAGAAGAAAUACCGACACACUUAAACAGGGGCGGAGCUAGUGCGUGGCACCCCUCCGGCCGCCGGGUGAAAUAUAAAUUUAUAACUACAUUUUACAAUCUUUAAUCCGUAAAAGUUAAACAACACGCAACUAGAGAAGUUGUAUGUUGCUUACCGGGUCAUUACCGGGUCAUUACAAGAUAGAAAGUAAUACAUAUUCGAAAAGUAGUAGAUAUAUAGCGAAAUUCAUACCCUUAUUUCCAUUUUCCAUAUAUAUAUGUGUAUUAUAUGAGUGCGGGGACAACAAGUAAAGGUUUAGCUUUCUUCAAAGUGACUCCAAACUCCUCUUCCAUAUCCAAACUCAUCGGAUCGACUCCAUUUUCGAGCUUCCAAUCAAACCAAUGAACUAAUGAACCCAGCAUCAGAUGCAACAUUCUCGUUGCCAAUGGCAAUCCAGGACAAAUCCUUCUUCCGCCUCCGAAUGGUAUCAGUUCGAAACCAUUCCCUCUAACAUCAAUCACCGAUUCCAUGAAUCUCUCUGGCACGAAUGAAUCCGGAUUUUCCCAUAUGGUUGGAUCUCUACCAAUAGCCCAUGCAUUCACUAGGAUUUGUGCUCCUUUAGGCACGGUGAAUCCGCAAAUUUCCACGUCAGUUCCUGCCUUUCUAGGAACUAGAAAGGGAACAGCCGGGUGCAACCUAAAUGUCUCUUUGAUUACUGCUUGUAAGAAAGGUAACCGUGCGAUAUCAGAUUCUUGAAGAUGAUUGCCUUUUCCAAUGACUUCGUUCAGUUCCUUCCUUACUUUAGCAAAUGCGUUGGGAUUGCGGAGCAGUUCAACCAUGGCCCAUUCUAACGUGCUUGAUGUUGUAUCAGUUCCAGCAACAAAUAAAUCCUGAUAAACGAGUACAAAACAGGUGAUGAAAGAAAACAUAUUACUAUUGGUUCGACAAUAAACAUGUCGAUCAUGUUUGGUUUUUGGUGUUUUUAGUUUGUUUAAAUGCAGGAAGCUAUGGAAUUGAUAUCAAGGUAGUAUGGAAGAGAUAAAAAGGCUCACCAAGAACAAGUGUUUGAUGACAUUUAUAUCCAUGGAAGCCUCAAGAUUUCCUUCAGCGAUGUCGAGGAGCGUAUCCAACAUGUCAUUAUCCGUUACAUACGCCUCUGAUUUUCGCUUCUUCAAUCUUUUCUCGAUUAACCUUUCGAAUAAAUUCAUUAUCUUCGUCGAAUGACUUUUCAUCCUCCUCUCUAUCCCCUGCAAAUCCAGAAACCCAAGAAUUGGGAAAAAAUCUCCCAAAUUGGGCUUACCGGCUUCAUCGAUUGAACCCCUCGUAGCUUCCUUGAAUUCCACAACGUCCCUCGAUCCCUCAUCUGCCGUCAAAUCCAACGACAUAACCAUCAUCGACAUAGCACUGAGACUCGCCCUGAACGCUGCUCCUCCAAUAUCCACCGCCUUUCUCUCUGAGGCAUUUUUUCGAACACCUUUGAGGAACUCCUGAAUUUUUUCUCUCCGGAGGUCCUGGUUGGAAUCCAACUUCUGGGCAGUGAAGAGAUAAGUGUUGCAUACUUUUCUGAGGUUCCUCCACUUAGGUCCCACAGGGAGCAACGACAUACCACACUCAUGGUGACCGUUGUUACAGAAGGCGCGGCUGAGCUGCCGGUAGGAUAGGACUUGAUCGUGCUUUUGGAGGAUUUCUUUGGCUACAGCAGGAGAGGAAGCGACGAUUGUAGUAAUUUGGCCGAGCUUGAGGCUCAUUAAGGGACCAUGAAUCUUGGCGAGAUGGGCUAGAGAUUGGUGGGGUUUUUCGCCCAGGUUGUGGAGGUUACCUAUGAUUGGAAGGCGGGAAGGGCCCGGUGGGAGAUUGGACGGAGUUUUGUCGGAGAGGAAGCGGAGGAGGAGGAUUGUUAAGGUGGAGAGGAGGCAGAGCAAGCAGGUGAUGAUGAAUAACAAAUCCAUUUUUGCUACUGGUACAAGUUUCAACUGUCAACCCUGCAACGUACACAAUCAGACAACUACUUUGUUAUAUAGAGAAGGGUGAAAAUGCUAUUGAUAUGAGAACUCUUUUUUUUAUCAAUCCAAUAAUCAAUUUAAUGAUUUAAAAUUAUUUUUGUUAAAUUUAAUCUGAUAAUUAAAAUUUUAUUAGGUAUAUUAUGAAAAUUUUAAACAAUUUUUUUUCUUUUCAACUUUUCUUUCUCUCUUCUUUUUCUCCUCCUCUCACAUAAACUAAAUAUAAUAAUGACAUAACAAUAACGUAACGUAGAUAUAACAAUUAACAUAUAAAGUCGAUAUAAUGAGCCUACUAAAAUGACAUAAUUAAAACGCAUAACAGACUAGUAAAAUGUAUAUAUCACCGACAUAAAAGAGUGGUAAAUUGGACAUAACGAUGAUGAAUUCAACUACUCCUAAGAUGGACGUAACAACGACAUAAUGUGCCUGUAAAAUGGCGACAUAACAAGCUCGUACAACGACCACACUCAUGUGACUUUCUAAUUUUUUUGUGUCGGCACUACCCUCAUUCAAGUCAAUUUAUUUGACUCGUUUUCAAUCGUUGGAUGAAAAUUGACCUAUAAAUUAUCUAAUUCAAUGACCUACGAUCUGUUGAAAUGAUCCAACAAAAAGGUUCCUGAAUCAAUAGCCGUCGAGAGAAAUUAACGAUAUUCAACAACGGAAAACGGAGAAAAGUAAAAGAAGAGGAAAACAUGGAGGGAAGAAAAGUAAAAGAAGAGGAAAACAUGGAGGGAAGAAAAGUAAAAGAUAAGGAAAAAAAGAUGAGGAAAAAUAGGAGAUUGGAGAAUAAACAUUUCGUUUGAUAGUGCCUAGCUUAUUCGCCUUAGCUUAAUUGGUAUCUUUGCAAGUUCAAAGUUAGAAGUAGAAGGGAAAUUUCGGUAUUAUGCAAAAUUUACAUCGACGGUUCUUUACUAAUUUUGUAAAUAAUUAUGUUAUGUAGACGGAUAAGUUUAUGUAGCGUGCAGAAUUAGUAUAUUAAACAUAAUUUGAUAGAAAAUUAAUAGAAGGAUUUGUUUGUUAAAAAAAUUUAGAGAGUUUAGUCGAUUAAAAUUUAACAGAUAGGUGUCGAUAUAAAUUUUCGGGCUUAAGACUUAAGCCAACUAUUUGCGCCCAGUUUCAAUCGGCAGCCCACCAUUUAAAAACAAGGAGAGCCCAACAGUAAUAACAAGCCUAUACUGAGAUGAGAAGAUGAUGACCGACCGCGAUCUUCCCUCCAACGGCACACCUGCAAAUUAAACAGAUAACUAGUAAAACAGAAAUGCUGAUUUGCAGCUGCAUCCUGUGGGAAUAUGAUCAUGAUUAUAUACUCAUGGUUGAACUGUUAGAGCUGAGCUAUAUAUGUAUUUGAUGGGAACCAAGAACUUAUACGUAAAGAUUUUGAUAAGUUCUAUGUACACAGCAAAAUACUUUUGUGCUAACCUUAUUUGGACUGCAACGAAGAAGCUCCUGUGGAUCACCUAAUUAAUGGUGGUUUUGACAAACACGAAAAUUAGUUGGUGCAGUCUCAUAAAUGCAGCCUUGAAUACGUUUCGAAGCUGGGGAAGCUGCUGGUUUUCGCACUAUAAUAACAAGUGAGGACAAACAGUUAUUACUAGUCUAUCUAUCUCUUCAUGCAGCUCAUCCGUUACUUCACUUUGAUUUUGCCUUCCUUCAUUCUUUUUGUUACCUCUCUCUGUUGGCCCCCCUCUGUUUUCUCUGUACAACAAUGGAGAACAAUCAUAGCAGUUAUCAAUCAGAGUCGUCGUCGCUGUCUCAAAGAAUCCCAACUUUCAAUAUUCCUCGUCUCUCCUCCGACUCCCCAACCAGUACUUAAAUUCUCUGUGUUUUCUUUUCCCUCUUCAUUUCUGGUUUUUGUUUUUCGUUCUGACUUGUGGCAGUUACUUAACCAGUUGGACUGGGACUAGGACUCAUGACUGGCAGUGGCAGCAAAGAUGAAGAUGAUCAUGAUCAUGAUAUUACGAAUCUGCAGUUGGGGAACUCGAGAUUGGGGGUAGUGUUCACAGUGUCGCAGAUUCAAGAGCUGCAGUUGCAGUGGAUGAUCUACAAGUAUAUAGAGGCAGGAUUAAGAGUUCCACAGAGUCUCCUUGUCCCUAUCUGGAAUAGCUUACAUUCAGCUGUACCUUUGAUCAACACCCCAACCUUGUCCCUAUCUUGUAAGCAAAACUAGCCAUUUCCAGCCCCACCCGAAUAACCGACUCAAUUCUGACCAGAUUUUUAUGAUGAUUUAUUAGUAGGGACGCAGUGGAGGGAGAUGAGCAGGUACAAAAAAGGGGUGGAAUUGGAUGACGAACCAGGAAGGUGCAGAAGAACUGAUGGCAAGAAAUGGAGGUGCAGCAAGGAAUCCCUCCCUGAUCAUAAGUACUGCCAGAAGCACAUGCACCGCGGCCGUCUCAACCGCAACCGUUCAAGAAAGCCUGUGGAAUAAUUCCAAUAAAAUCGGUGUCUUUUAUCUGUUGAUUCUAUACAAUUUGAACAACUUCAAUCCUGACUCAAAAGUCCAGCAGACUUUGAAUUUGACAACUUUUUCAAGGUUUGGCCCUUUUUUCUUACAUAUCAAAACAUAUACAAAGAGAUAAAAAAAUUAUAAGAGAACUGAGAUUGAAACAAGCGAUUCUGGCUGUGUACUAUAAGUUAGAUGCCUGUCCUGUACCCACACUCUGCCUGCUGUGUAUGGAUGGAGUUUGUAUUCAUCAACAACUUGCAACUUCAUCCUGAUAUGGAAUUCUGCCUCCCGUGCCUUCACCCUGCUGUGUAUGGAUGGAGUUUUUUCUUCCCGUUUUUGCCAGACUGCACAAGAAUCGUAAGCCUACGAUAACAGAGGUUCCUCUGGCAGUGUUUUGAGCCGUCUCUUAGCGUAGAGAGUGAAAAACACUGCGGUAGUUGCUGUGCAACAGAAACCAAUGACAUUGAAGGCGAUCUGUGGGGCUGAGAGAUUGUGAUGUUCUUUUGAAGCAUCUGCCAGGGUCAAUAUGAUGAUCCCACUGCAUCAGACAGAUUGGAUUAAUACAGAUCAUAUUAUGAAAUUAUUCCAUCAAUUGAAAGCAUCGCAAAUCUUUCUCAGGGCCAAAUAUUCAGGCCAGUAAUGACAGGUUGAUUUAUAUAUCUUAAGUUUAGGGUGGUUAGCUAGCCAACUAAUAAGAUCCCCAUAAAAUUAAUAUUCCCAUCCCAACCUAGCUACUCUUACCAAAGCUUUGGCCAACCGUCCUAGACAGAUAUUUCACCUGAAUGUGACAUUUCAUACAGCCUAGAAUUGAUACUAUACCGCCAAUAAAUCCACGAUAAACUUAGGAAAGGUAAACCAUCUAAUGAAUACUUGAUGUGCACAUGGACAUUGGGAUGAACACUCAGCUGUAACUUCCUCCUAGAUCCCAAUAUAUCUAGGUUAUCAAGGUGAACAUUGACAACAAAACAAAUACUGUGAUGGCUAAAUAUUUUCGAUGCAUCUACCCGAUCAGUCUGCUCAGUACUAGAAAUGGCUAUGGCAAAGAUUCAGGCAUAUAAACAAAGAAGGAAAGCCAGGGUCUUUCUGCAGAAAGAAAAUCAAUUAAUCAGAUAGAGAGUUCUUACGUAUAGAGUGUCAAAAAAGUGUCUGGCGCCGUACCCACCAACGACCCUAGCAGAUAAGGGCCAUACUUGACAUGAGUUGCAACGGCACAGUAAUUAUACAGGACGUAAGGAAAUGGCGAAAUUCUUAUAAGCGCCACUGCACGAAACUGAUGGAACCAAUUUCCUUCACCUGCUGCUCUCAGUAUGGCAGCCUGCUUUGGAUACUUCUCUAACUGCACCUGCAUCGGCAUUGAGGGUACCAAAUAACAUGUUUAAGACGAAAAAUGCACUGAUGAAUGGAAACCAAUUCGAUAUUAGAGCAAGUUUGGUACCCGAAUUUUAUGCAGGAACAGAUUUCCAAUACAAAAUGGAAGUGAGAUUCCAACUGCCAAGGCGACGGUGAUCAAUAAGAAUCCGUAUCCAUAGCCAAAAGUCAUCCCAGCUAUCCACAUUGAAGGAGAAGAUGGAAGGAGCAGGAUUGGGAAUAAUGCAACUGACAGGAAGACCAGUAGCCCUAGCUGUGGAGUAGUAAACGUUGAUUUCUCCCAGUUUAUAAUAGGAAUAAUUUCCUGUACACGCAGUAUUCUUAGUCAAGACCAACAAAAAGGUUGAAAGAAACAUGGAACUUCUUCCACAGCUGACAAUACAAAUGAAAUUAUUAAAGAAAGGUGUCCUGCUGAAAAUGAUCAUCUAGACUCCAAGUCAGUACAAAUGAAGCCUCAUAGUCAUCCAUGAUAAUUGUAAAAAGCAAAAAAUUAUGGCAAAAUCAAGCAGGAAUUUUGAUACUUAACAAAAAUAGAAAGCUGGGGAACUCAGAGAAGUUGCUGCUAAAAUCCACCAGUAACAACAUACAAAGAGCCUAAUUAGAGAACGGCAUGAACAAACAAGAAUCAGCACCAGAAAAGAAAAAACAGUGCAUAGAGAUCCUUGGCUGCAGAAAGCAAAAUGAAAUGAAAAGAGUGAAAUCUUACGUUUUCGAUGAAGAAGGGGCCAACCCAUCUGAAAACAACGAAAGCCACACCACCCACAACAGCCAACAGAGUUACGAGCCUGACCCAAUACCAAACAACACACCAUCUCAACUUCCAGCAGAAGAAACUACACCCUGGUUUCUCAAGAAACCCUUCUUCUUCAUCAGCAUCAGCAUCGUCCCCUCUCAAUCUCAUGUACCCGCUCUUAUCAACAUCAUCAUCGUCAUCCACUCUCAUCCUCAGCUCAGAGACCAAGCUGUCAUCUUCAUUUCUAUACGUCAUCGAAAGAAGAAAAAAAGAAAUCCCCCAAAAUUUUGUUCAGAACCCUAACAGAAAGAGGGGAAAUCUGCGGAAAUGGAACUUGUUUGUGUGUCGGUGCAGUAUUGCUGGUUCAAUGUGGGAUCAAGAUACAGCAGAACAAAGAAGAUGAGGAUGAGAGGGAGAAAGGAAGAGGACGAGAGAUCAAUGGAGGUAUGAAUGAAGAGACGGAGAAGGAGAAGGCUGUGUUUCAAAGGAGGAUCCUUUUUCUUAUUUAUUAAUAAUUAAUUUUUCUCAUCUUCCCCAUUGAUGUCAGCCAAGCUUCCUCUUCUCUCUCCAGCUCGACACCUCCUCCGUGGCCUCACCCUCGAGUUUUCAGAUAUUUUAUUUCAUUUCAACAAACUACUAUUUAUAACGGUAAUGUAACCUUAACGGCUGAUUAUAAUUCUGACGAUAAAUUUUAUUAACCUUGUAAGCGGGAAAAUAAGUAACCUUUUUGCGGUUGACAGGGCUAAGUAAAACGACGAUGGAGUUGGUUAGUCAAGACAACGACGGAACCUGGAAAUACAUAAGAUUCUACUGAAAUAAUCUUAAUGAUUUUUGGGCAGGAUGGCGAAAGUAACCAAGAGACAAUUUAUUUUGAGGCAUCAGGGAAUACUUGGUUGUUCAAUCCUUGCUGUUAUACUUUCUGAACAUUUCAUAAUCGAAAUAAAUGAACUUCUCUAAAUACUCAAAGUUUCAUAUCCGAGGCGAGUUUUCAAGAAAGAGAGGAUGAUGUGGUGGAAUAAAGAAAGAAUAUGUUAUAAAUUAAAGAAGAAAAAUUAAUAAUAACGUUGGAGGAUAUUUAGAAACAUCAAAAAAAUAUGACACCAACAAGUCUGAACAACAUGUUCUGCUAGGAGAAAAAUUCACUGAUAACAACUCGUCUGGAGAAUCGGCCCCCCUCAUCGUCUCUGAUUUUUUUGGUUCGGACUACACCGACUUUUUCCUGCUUUAUUAGUUUCGAUUGCAUUUUUUUUAUUAGUUUUUUCAGGUAUUAAUGUUUGGAUCGUCAACCUCUGUUCUAGGUUAUUUUGAUUUUGAAAUAAAUGGAAGUACGAACGUGCUAACUUCUGCUAACUCUUUAUAAGUGUGUGAUUCAUCUGUUAUAAAUGGUAAUAAUUAUGUGUUCAUAUAUCAACUCUAAUCAAUCCAUAUUGGUUGCAUAUACAAAAGCGAAAUCUUAAUCAUGGAAUCAUAGUUCAUUAAAUGAAACAUAUUUAGACUAAUUGCUCGUAACUGUUGAACAAACGGCAUUUAUCUUAUCUUAAUUUUGUCUCCUUUAUUAAACUCUCAACAUACUUACUCGAAUUCCAUAAAAAAAAUCUCUAUCAUUUAGUUACAUCAGGUCCAUCGAAAAAUAAAAAUAAAAUCACAUAAAUCAAACAUCACUUUAGAAUUAUCUUUUUAUAAAUAGAUGACACAAUUAAACGAGAUCGAUAACAUUUCUACUUCUCAUGAUCUACUCCACCAUGAACAAUGGCUUGCUUGCUACUGAGGAUUUCUCCGGCAACUGUCGAAUCAACUGGCUGAAUUUCGUAUUAUCCACACAUGUGCUGCAAAGCGUCGUGGUCACUAGCUGGCAGUCGGUUUCAACGAUGGCCUUCACUGCUCGAGCCUCCUCCUCCUCUGUCGUAGUAAUUCCAGCCUCUAUGCAUCAGAUAGUGCAGCAACUGGGCCACUCGUCAUGGACGACCACCCCUACUCCAUGACUGGACUCUUGCUCAAAGAUAGCAAUGUCAACGUUGCACUUAACAAUCCCAUAUAUGUUGAGUGUUGACAAAUUAGAAGCUGUUCCUUUGGGACAUUCACAUGACGUGGCGUCAAAGCUGCAUUUUCAGUCUUGUUUAUCUUUGUUUAGUUGUCGUGACUCAACACGAUCGAGUAAAUGAAGUAUGAUGAAUGUUUUGAUCGACAUCAGCCCCUUAAUCUAACGGUCCGUGAAAAAGGGGAUUUUUUAGUAUUUUCCAAAGUAUUUAUACGCGUCGUUUUGAUGAGAUAUGUAUUUGGAGUAGAAUUAUGUUAUAUUCGAGAAUGUGAUAUUUAUGAAGUGUAAAGUGUCAAGUGUGCCGUAGGAAUUAUCAUAUUUUGGUUAAUGAGUUAUUCGAUGUGGUAUUUGAUAACGAAAAAUAUUACAUUCUCGAAAUAUUGCAGUAUUUCAAAAUUUUAGUUUUAUUUUGGUUGUGAUGAGAUAUUUGAAAUAACACGAAAAUGAAUUAUUUGAUAUAUCAUAAUGUAAAACACCAUAAAUUUUAUAUUUAGAUAAUACAAUACGAGUUAUUUUGACUCAAAUAUUUCAAAACGAAUAUACUUUAAUUGGCCAAAACAACUCUCCAAACAACAAGUUGUUGGGAGAAACUUCAAAUUUCCUGAUUGAGAAUUGCUGUGAAGUAUCAAAUGAAGGAGACAUCCCAUGUGGUGUAUUACUCUUGUUCCAGUAUGAUUCUGAUUCCCCAUGCUCGAAAUUUAAACCGAAAUCGAAAUUGAAACAAAGGUUUUUAUGAACUAAAUUCAACCAGCCUAAUCGAUAUCGAAAACUCAAAAGACUCGCAAACGAAAUUUCCCACGUGUGGCAAAUCUGGUUAAUGCCGGCGGCUGUCACCAACUACCCCUAUGAACGAAGAUCUCCCUGCUCAUCUACGCAAACGCAAUCGGCAGGAAAGGUUGGCAGAUACAGUGGACUUUCUUCACUUUCACUGUUUGACUCUCUUUUGAUUCAUCCAUGACCCUUACUGCCCGGUGGUAUCUGCAACCUCAAACCUUCCACAAGCCUCCGUAUCCACGUCAACAAUACACUACCCACUUCCCCAAAUGUAGCAAUCAACUCUUCCCUGCUUUCCCUCGCAGUUCCCUCGUCAAGUUUGCAGGUAAAGCUCCACCCUUUGCACAUUCGUUCGUUCCCUUUGAUUCUUCUCAAUCGACAGUCUUUUAUGUGCUCUUCUUACCAAUACCAGAUUUGACUUAUGUUGGAGUCUCAAUAAUCAUGCCCUCAUUUGCAAGGUGAUAAGCUCGUGCUUAGUGUAUUGUAUUAUCCCAAUGUUGUCCAUGAAUCGAAAUAGCUCAUCCCAUUAUAAUGUUUUUGUGAGGUUUUUUUCUUGUUGGCAGCUGAAAGUUCGAGACUUUUGGUGAUCAAAUGUGUUUCUGAUAAGUUAUCGGGAUCCUUUGAGCCGGAUUCCGGAAAUGGCGAUCAAAGUCAGGUAUCAAUCGUUCAGCUUUUGUUAGUCUUAUUUAGGCUGUUUAGUUACUCCAAGUCUAGUGGUGCUCAAAUUUUGGAUAUGCUUAGCAAUUGCUAAAGCCCUUAUGAUUGGUUUAGUUGUGUUCAUUCAACGAGCAUCUCGUACUGUGUUUGAAUUGUUACCGUUCUCUUUCAGACGAUUGAUAAGAGAAAAGGGUCUCUUGCCGAUAUUCUUAAGCAAGCAAAUUCGCUACUGCCGCAUGUAGUCCUUGCUAGUACCUUGGUGGCACUUGUCUAUCCGCCUUCUUUCACCUGGUUCACCACCAGGUUUGUUUUCUUUGAUCAAAAUCAUUUCAGUGAGCUUUUGUAAGUGAAUGAAUCUUCCACUGAAAGUUACAGAUUUGUUUCAGGUACUAUGCUCCUGCAUUAGGGUUCUUAAUGUUUGCAGUUGGACUUAACUCGAACGAAAAGGACUUUGUUGAAGCAUUCAGCAGGCCAACAGCCAUCUUGGCUGGUUACAUUGGUCAAUUUGUGGUGAAGCCUAUUCUUGGCUAUUUAUUCGGCAUACUUUCAGUUUCAACGUUUGGCCUUCCCACUGCGAUCGGUGAGCUACAUAUAAUAAUAUAAUGGCUUCUUUGGACCUCAAAGUCCUAUGUCGAUUUUCCUCAAACAGUUUGUUCAUUUUUUAUACUAGGUGCUGGGAUUAUGUUGGUAUCUUGUGUAAGCGGGGCUCAAUUUUCGAACUAUGCUACUUUUCUUACUGAUCCAUCUCUGGUUCCUCUAAGCAUAGUCAUGACUUCAUUGUCCACUGCAACAGCAGUGUUCGUAACGCCUUUACUAUCUCUCUUACUCGUCGGCAAGAGACUCCCUGUCGAUGUAAAAGGUAUGGUGGCCAGCAUCAUGCAGAUUGUAGUUGCUCCUAUUGCUGCAGGCUUGUUUCUGAACAGGUGAAUGGUACUUCCUUUUAUUUAAUCAAGUUUGUCCAAGAUGUGUUCUUUCCUCAACCAUUUAUCUUGUCGCUCUAAACCAUCAGGUUCUUUCCACCGAUAUCAAGUGCUAUUCGGCCAUUUUUGCCUCCUCUCUCCGUGAUCGUAACAGCAUGCUGUGUCGGAGCACCUCUCGCGAUCAAUGUGGAGUCGGUCAUGUCCCCAUUUGGUGUAACCAUAUUGUCACUCAUAAUCGCAUUUCACGUGUCGGCAUUUGUUAUUGGGUAUACCUUUACUGGUUUCACCUUCAACAAUGCGUCGGAUUUGAAGCCCCUGCAAAGAACCAUAUCAUAUGAGACGGGUAGAUUGAAAAUUUUCUAUAUGUAGUCUGAUCAUUUCGAGAUGAAAUGGAAUAUAUCUGGUAUAUGCAGGAAUGCAGAGUAGUCUACUGGCCCUUGCACUUGCUAACAAGUUUUUCAAAGAUCCGUUAGUUGUGGUGCCUCCGGCUAUCUCUGUAAGUUAUCGAAUUCCUGCUUUUCUCUUAUUAUAUCCUCAUCCAUCGCCGCAACAUCGUUGAAAUGAAUGGAAUCAACCUUGCAGACGGUAAUCAUGUCUCUGAUGGGAUUCUCCCUGGUGAUGAUUUGGGGUAAGAAGAAAGAACGACUGUAGAGGUGGAAUAUAUAAACAAAUAGCGCAUGAAGUGCAGCUUCAUUACUGCUGUUCGUUUCUUCACCUGACACAGAUGAAUGUGUGGCAGUGGAACUGAGAUGUAAUGAAAGAUCAUAGAAAAUGUCGGCUUGUCGACCAUUUUAGCCAACGAUGUAAUAUCAUGUAGUGUGCACAAGGCUACUUCCUAUUCCAAUCUUAAUGAGGUCAUCGGUCAAAUUUGUGAAGCAGUUACGUUAAAUAAAACCAAUAUAAUAUUAACUUUUUGGAAGUGAAAUCCGUAAAGUAACGCAGUUAGUUGCCGCUGGCAUCCUGGAUGUGUAACGAUUAACGGCUGGCGACCUGAAGAUGUAACGAUUAACGACAUUCUUGCCUUAUCUAUCUUCUGAUAAACCCAUAAGCUACAAAACCUGGCAUUCUUUUUGGCGCGACAUAAGAACAUUAUUUAGCAUCCUUCCAUCCGGAAAAGAAGGAUCAAACGCUCGAAAUCAAUGGCCUUCACUGCAACAACAACUGCCUUAUCAAUCUUCUCUUCCAAUUCCAAACCGUUCCCUUCUCAUAAAUCUUCCCUUACCCUUCUCGAUUCUCCUCCUCCUUCAUCUAUCUGUACUCCGACCUCUCUUCGAACUCGACCACUUGCCACCCUAAACUCCGCCAAAUGCGGCGUCGCCGGUCUAGUUGGAGCCGGUCUGUUUCUGACCGCUAUCGGACCCGCCUUUGCCGUCAGCCUACCGUUGGUGGGUGAGCUCGCGGAACCCGCCAACGCCCUCUCUUUGCCCACGUGGGCAGUCCACGUUUCCAGUGUCGUCGAGUGGUUGGAUCUUCGGUUUUCUGCAUUCCUGUUGUGUUGAAAUUUUCACUUUCUCUAAUUUUUUUAACUCCGUGGCUUUUCCCAUUUUGAUAGGGUCACAGCAAUGGCUCUGGUGUGGCAGUACGGGGAAAAAUCUGGGUUUGAAACCUGGAAGGGACUCUCUUGGGGGAUGGUUAGUUAAAGUUUCCUUAUUUACAGCUGGAAUUCGUGGGUUUUGAGCUAGCUGAUAAUAGUGAAUUGGGAUCAGGUACCUUUACUUGGUGGAGCUAUGUGUGCAUGCACAUGGCAUUUCUUCUACAAUGCCGAGUCUCUAGAGGUAAUCGAAUGGCUGUCUUUACUCUGUUCCAACUCAGUAAAAAGACAUUGAAAUUGGCUCUGGAGAAUUUGCUGAUAAGUUAAAUGACUACGUAUUAGGUACUGGUGGCUAUUCAAGCUGCAUUGACAGUUGUUGGUAAUGCAACAAUGUGCUUUGCUGCAUACCGUAUUUUUAGAGCAUCACAGGAAGGCGCUAAGGAUCUUUGAACGCUCACGUCAAGUUCUAGUAGUCGUCCAACAACAGGAUAUUGAGUUCCUUCUUCCAGGUGAUGAUAUCUGGAUAUAGUUGAUGUGAUGAAGUAAAUGUUUCUUUAUGUUUAUAUGCUUAUGGCUUCUGUUUAGAUUUGGUUACCAGUUAUCAAGCUUUUAUCAUUUUCAGGGAUCGUGACGAACCUGGUGAUAUGUCUUUUGGGUAGAAUGAGGAAGUUUUCAAUGGUAAAUAGAAUGUUGAUUAGUUUCUUGUCGUAGCAAAGUGGUUACUUGCAUCUGAAGGUCAAGCUACAGGAAAGAGUUGAGCUACAGUCUCCAGUGGUGUAAAUUGACCAUCAUAAGUGAGUCUGUCCAUCAAGUAUGCUGAUAUUCUCUUAAUUAUCGUGGUUAACAAUUGCAAAACCAUUGCCUCCAUGGCUGACUUUCUAUGUUUCCUUUCACACUUCAUGCGGCUGGUUAUGCCACUUGUUUGAAAUAGUGCUUAAUAUUUGACUCGGUCGAUUGUAUAUGAUCAUGCAUCUUGAAUUCCUUCAACUUGCCUACGGCAAUUGCUCUGUUUGACGGUUGUUUGUUUCAACAUGCAAUCAAUGAAAGAUUUGACCUUGUGAAAUAGAUGAGCAAUUUUACUGAUUAUCAGGAUCAGUUUAUUCUUGUAUGUCCUGGUUGUAUGCUUAGCGGCUUAUCCUAUUCUUGAUAAGCCUUCCUACGCAAGUUUCAGAGGGAAUUUAAGAUCUUUUGCGAGACCAAAUGUAAUGAUCAGACAAAGUUUCAUUCUUCUGAAACCCCCAUAAGAACCCAAGUAACAUAAGCUUACAUCUAUUGUCAAAACAUAUUGUCAAGGGCUUAGCUUCUAAGAUGAUCGUAUAGAACAGAAUUCAUUUUACCAGCAUGGAGCUCUAGUCAUGUUGGCUUUUCUCAAGGGUAGGCAUUCAGACUUACAAUAGAACUGGUUCCAUGUAUAUAUGUGAGACAUUAGACAUCUGAAUGGUGAAGGUUUCUUGUAGACAAGGAACUAGAGAGUGGGCUUCGUUUCAAUCCACUUAUGACUUGCGCUACAUUACAAUUUAGCAUAAACAUAAAUGUCAUAACCAUCAAAACUAAUAUUCUUGACGAUCAAUACUGAGCUAGAACAGGGGAGUGGCUGAAUAGAAAUGUAGAAUUGUUUUUGUGCUGUUUCUAAUAUUUGUACAGAAGAAACAGAGCCGCAGAGAAGCGAUCGAAAUGAGGGAACUUCUCUUGGAACUCCCUCAUCAAGGCUAAAUUCUCUCUGUGAAGAAGGUAUGCUUUCUGCCUCAGCUUCUCAUUUUCUUCUAAGAUGGUUUGGUUUUCCAAGUAUAGCUUCAAAUUCUUAAUCUCCAUAUCCUUCUCCCCAGUUCCCUCACCACACCUUCUCCUGUUUCUGCCAAAAGAGAAAGAAAUUAGCCUCAGUAACAUCUAAAAACAAAAGAAUUGAAAAGAUGCAAUCAUUUUACACACCUGGUGAGCCCAAUGACUUGAAGUCUAGGCUUCUUGGGAUGUUGUUGCCUUCUUUUUGAAGUCUCCAGAACAGAAACAGUGGACCUGUCUUCUCUGAUCAUACACAUUAUGUGCAAUUGCUAACAAAGUGGGAGAGAAAUGGAAGGUUGGGAGAGAAAGUAUGGGGAUUUAGAGCUCCUAUAAAUAUAGGAAUGAAGAAAAAGAUGGGUUGUGACUUGUGAGUGUAUUGAUUAGGCAGAGGUAGUGGGCUGAUGGUGUGUGCAUUUGAGAUAGAGAGAGAGAGCUCCUUCUUGUCCAUGGCAAUGAUUGCAGAUUGGAUUCAUUCAAGAAAUAUAAGAGACGAAAAGUCCUGAAUGAUGAUGAUGAUGGUUUUCUAUAUUGGUAACUCGUGCCAAGUUGGUACUCUCUGAGAGGGUAGAAUAGAAUCAUCACCAGCAUCACCACACCAGUCUUGCUGCUACUGGAAUUCUGGGAAAAUGGUAAACUGUCUUUUUAACUAAUACUCUUCAAUGGAGAUGGAGUUUUUCUAUGAUGUUGGUUAAGACUGUUAUGUUUUCUUCAUUCUAGCCAGUAGGUAGAGAGGAUAACAGAAAGUCGGCAUGACUAGUGAUUGCUUCUGGAAAAGUGAAAAUGAGUACAGAAGGUUAUUCUACCAGUUGGCUGGUAGAGGGAAUGAGUGGCUUGAGUAGCUGUAGAGUGAAUUCCAUGGUUGCUUAUGGCGGCAAAACUAUGAUUGGUUGGUUUGUUGCAACUGUGAACUAUUUCCAAGUCGGUUCAUGAUUAGGUGUUUGAUGGUUGAAGAUUAUAUUAUUUUAUUUGGUAAACCUUUUUCACCGUAUGAUUUUCACACUGGAUUCAUGAAUAAUCUUGCUAAUUAAAGUACAAUGAAAUAGUAAAAUUAGAGUUUAAGUUGGGAUUUUUUAGGUUUAGUUAUUUAGUGAUCUUGAUUUAUAAUUAUAAAAUAAAAUUUUUGAUACGAUUUGAAAUUUAAGUUUAUAAUGUGAUGUUUAAGUUUCAUUAGAAUUCAUAAUUUAAAUUUUGGAUUUUGGUGUUGAAGCACUGAGCACCCGCCACAUGUACCGAAGCAAGGUGUCUUUUUUUCAUCAAUCAGUCAUGUUAGGGGACGGGCGCUUGCCGCGAAAAGGAGAUAGUUUGUCCGCUCACUCUACAAAUAAGCCUAGGCUAUCCUCAACCGUCCAUCAUCAACGACUCAGAUCUAGUUUGCACCAAAUCACUACUCCCAGCAUGACUUGUGAAAAUCAAACUCAUACCACAAUUUUCCUAUAAAAAGAGUCAUUAACCACUACAUUUAAGAUAUUGAUCUCCUAGCUAAACCAACCAUACGCCCUAGGUUGUGUGCCCACAUUGCGCUAUACACCUACCAUUAGUCAGAUCCCCACCACGCCAUCGCUUAUUCUUUUUGUCGUCGUCAUCACCUGACCUAACCUUGUUGAUUUAACUACGAAUUUUAUAUUUCAAGUUUUAACUAUUAAGAAGAGUUUGUGUCGAUCAGCUAUUACUAAAAUGCCGCACUUUGCUCCACUUAUAUUUGGUUUCUAUUCAUCACAUUUCUCAUUUGGAUAACUGCAUGUCGUCUAUAUAAUGACACAUAAGACACUUCGUUAAAGUGCAAUGUAAAGUGUUGGGCAACCAACCAAAUUGCCUUGUACCUCUACUUCUACUUGUUCAGAGUGUGGUUUGGUUUGUAUUUGUCACAAUCAACCAGGACAAGCGUGGAGACAGAGAGCAAUUCCAAUACGCAACAGUAUUACUAUCGACAAACAUCAUUGCUUACUCCAAUCAUUUCCAUCGUUGAACAGCGCAAAACCCAACCUUCUUUUGAUACAUAGCAAAUUGGAACCUUGUUGCGAUCAUCCAACAGCUAGUCUCAGAUUCGUGUUCUUCAUAUACUUAGUCGGUCAUAUAACGGAAUCAUUUAUUUAGUGACAUGUUUAAUUUUUAGAUAUUUUUUAAAAAUAUUAUUAUUAGUCCUCACUUUCUAAAUUAAUGAUUAAGAUUGUAUAUUUAUUAUCUUCUUAUUUUCACAAAAAAUUUAUCUGAACCCAAUAAAUAAAAAUAAAAUUUUUUGUUGUUAGGCCUAUCCUCGUGCUCGUUACAAAACCCACACACCUAUCCAAAUUUUCUAUUUAAAUUUACCAUUUUUUUCGAUGUGAAGAAAGUAAAAGGUAGCAUUUGUUUGUGGUGUGAAUAAAUGGUGAAUGUAUAUAAAUAAAUGUAAAGAUGUGUAAAUAAUUAAUAAUCAAUAUAAAAAAUACAACAUUUAAACGUAAAUAGUGAGAGUAAGACAACAAACUCCUCUUUAAUAAAAGAUAUAAAUUCUUAUCAUACAUGGUCAUCUACAUAAUUCUAUCAUGUUUAUUUCCCUUCAAUGUAUAUGCAUGCACCCUAGGUAGGGUUUGUUCUCGAAAUCGACGUAGCCUAAAUUUCAUAAUGCACGAUCAGUCAAUUUUUGGGUUACGUCUUAUUUUUGAAAGGAAAUUUCAAAAAUUCAUCAGACGACCAUAUUACAUAUCUUCGUUCUUAAGUAUAUAGAGAGUUUGUACAUGUAUACAUAACUCUGUACUCACUUUUUCUUAUAAACGAGACACCUCUGUGUACACAAAAUUCAUUUUUAUAACGAAACAAUCAUAUCAGAUAUUCGUCUUCAGAUUAUUCGUCGGUUAGAUAAUAAAGUCACCCGUUCAAAAAAAUGAGAUUCCUCAGUGUACACAAAAUUCAUCUCUACCCUUCAAUCUUAACUUUUAAUAAAAGGGAUAAAAUUAACCGUCCAGAUUGUACUUGAUGCAUCAAAGAAUUCCCUUCUUGGAAGACAACCUGCUCUCCGCGGAAAUCGACUGGCUGCCUAUGUUUACACGGAACUGAUGUGGACCAUUACAGUUUGGAUCUCAUCCGUCAAUCGACAAAGUGUACAUCAUUGGACAGCUCUCAUCAAGGGAUCCACGAUAACACUAUGGUGCGCGCUCCACCACAGCCGGACACUGAAAAGGACAAAUAUGGAAAAUCGAGAAAGAAAAGAAGAAAAUCGUGGAAGCGUGGGGGGUUUUACAUUCGGAAUCAACAUAAUAAACCGGAGGCUCGCCCAGAAAACGAGAGACAGAGAGAGAUAGUUUCAGAGAUAGAGGUGCGGUGGUGGUGCUGCCUCCUCCCCGGUAAUCCUUUUAUCCUCCCUCAACAAAAUCAAAUUUCUCGCCGCUCCUCUUCCCGCUUAUUCUCUCCGGAUUCCUUUUCCCUUGCUCGUCCUGCGGCGAUUUCAGCCGAUCCGUUACUUCAAUAUUUUAACCGAGGUACGGUGAGAUCUCCGUCUCUCUGUGGUUUAGGGUUUUGCUUCCUUUUUAUCGUUAGCUUCUCAGUUAUCAACUAUCGUCGUAUAUAACUUGUCCGCCGCCUGCAUCGGGAUAAUAAUCCGGCGAGAGGGAGAGAGAUUAAAGGGAUAAUUACGUUCAUUUUGGUGAGCUGGAAUCCAAUUUAUUAUUGGUCUAAUAGCUCGGAGUUCCCAACUUUAUCUUAGAUUUCCGAUAAUACCCCCGCUGAAAACAGAACUCUUCCGAAGGGUGAAAUAGUAAUAUGACAAGGUUCUUGCUUGCUAAGGAAGAACGAUUAACCGACAAGGCAGCGUUAUUUAUAUAUAUAUUAAUAAUUAUUAACAAACUGAUUUCACAAUUUCAAUCGGAUUGGAAACAUAAACACGGAACUAGAAAGGAGAGAGACGCAAUUCUCUCUCUUUCUGAUAGACAAACUUCACCUGGAAGGGGAUUCCUUUUCCUUUGAAAACCCUAACAAUCGCUUUUCUGUUUUGAUUCCUUUGAAGCCUGAAGGGAUUUCUCGAGAUGGGUUCGCAGCAAAACGACGGCACGAGCUUCCCACAAUCGGAGCCGAUUCUCUGCGUCAACGGGUGCGGCUUCUUCGGAUCGGCGUCGAACAUGAACCUCUGCUCCAAGUGCUACCGUGACCUGCGGGUGACGGAGGAGCAAGCGGCGUCGGCGAAGGCUGUUAUGGAGAAGACCCUCUGCUUCAAAUCGAAUAAGGCGGAGGCAGUCGCAGCUGAUGUUGUUGCCGUCUCGAAAUCCGCUGUGGCUGAGGCGAUUGCGACGGAGAAGGCGGUGCUUGAAGGGUCUUCGUCAUCAUCGUCGGCGGCGGUGGCGGUUGAUGUGGUGAAGGCGGCGAACAGGUGUUUGACCUGCAAUAAGAGGGUUGGAUUCACGGGGUUUAAGUGCAAGUGCGGCAGCACUUUCUGCGGUUCUCAUAGGUACCCGGAGAACCACGAUUGCGACUUUGAUUUCAAGCAAGCUGGGAGGAACGCAAUCGCCAAGGCCAAUCCUGUCGUGAAGGCGGAUAAGGUCGAUAGGUUCUGAUGAUGAUGAAUGGAUAUGCUCGUGAAUUGAUGAUUUGGUUUGGAACAAGUUCUUUCUUCUUUUCCUUUCUGGACGUUUUUACUUUCUGUGUACCAAAUUUUAGUGAUUAGUAAUCCUAGUUUGUUAGGUGGGUUUGGGAUUGUGGUGGGUUUGGCUGCACGAUUAUGAAAUUUGUGGGGGUUUGGGAUAAGAGGAGGAUGAUUCCAUAAUAAUAGUUCAUCAAUGGAUUGUUAUUUGCUGAAGAACAAAAUGGAAGGAACCCGGUUCUGUGUUGAACUCGAUUGCUUUGAUGAUAAAGCUCUGCUCUUUCUUCGAUGUUUGGAUUGUAUGUACUGUCUGUGUAUAUGGAUGAUGGAUUGUGAUCCUGGGUGUUUGAUUCAUGUGUCUUGAGUUUGGAUUCUGUGUCUUGGUGGUUGAAUGGUUCAAUCUGAUACACGAUUGCGUAUUGACUAGUUUGUUGGAAUAAUCAACAGAAUGGUUCCAAGACAACUUGUAAUAUCUUGACUAUGUGUUCUCCGUGAUUGAUUUAUGCAUAUGAAUUCAUUCAGCAUGUGUUAGCUAGUUCAGAUUAGCUUAUCGCAUCUGGUGCAAACCAUGAAUGGUACAAAUGUUGGAUUUCGAUGAACAAGAAGACUGGCUGUGCUCUCAAAACUUCUAUACUUAGUUCUGUGAAGAUGUCAUGCCUACUACUAACUGCUGUUGCUACCAUUUACCCUCUCCAUUGCCUUGGUUGCCUGACUGUUCCAGUCUAGGAAACAGGUGAAGAUAGAGAGAAGAGAUGCUUGAACCAGAGACCCUGCAACUAUUCCUAUCCAGAAUCCAGUACUUCUCAGAUGAGCUGCAAAUCCAAGGGAUAGUCCCAGGGGAAGCCCAACCAAGUAGAAUGCUCCUAUGUUCAUUAACACUCCAGCUCUCUGCCACCCACAACCUGUUGCUGACCCUGCAAUUUCAAACAGGUUUUAGAUCGUUAGUACUUUUUACUUUCUAUCACAGUUUAUGGCCUUCACGGUGUGAGUAAAGACCCACCAGAGAGGACUCCUUGGAGGCUGUCCAUGACGAUGAAUACGCAGAUUAGAGGAAUGAUGGUUGAAAUGUGCUUCACAACUUGAGGGUCGUUGCUGUAAGCAUAACCCACCACAUCUCUUGCAAAGAACAGAGCAAUACUCACUAUCGAUGAUUCCACCACUGCAACAAACACCGCCACCACUACUGCUAAUCUCGCUGAUCGCGGGUUCCCUGCUCCUAGCUCGUUCGCUACCCGGGUACUAUAAUUCAUUCACCACAGAGGUUGGUGGGUGAUUCGAAUGUAUUUUAGAAAUUUAAAUGAAAACAUGAUGACAAUUAAGUACUUCAAAUUACCUGACUGCAACUCCUAGACUCAGUGGGAUUGUCAAGUGCAACGUAGUCAUUGUCAGACUGUUAAAUCGAGAUACAAACCCCAAAUAACAUAUCAGAAACCAAAGAAUUGUAGAUAUGGGACUUUACAAUAUGAAUCAUAGUUACAUACCUCACCGAUAGAACGGAUGUCUGCAAUCGAGGAUUGGGAAGAUGGCUGGAAAGUAGAGUCAGUACCUCCAUAGACCACCAUUUCAAGCUGAAAAUGUGCAAAGAAAUUGUACAUCAAUGCAAAUAAUUACACACCACUUCAGGCUGAAAGGAGUAUUGUUUCAGUCUAUUACCAAACCAUAACAGCAGCAGGCAACCCAAGUCGGAGAAACUCAGGUAUACAUCCAAAAGCACUCCACGUAAACGGCGCACGAGUCUCCUUAAACUUUCCGGAAAACUUCACGUAAAGCGCAAGCGCCGCCGCGUUCAGCCACGUGGACAUCCCGAACGCCACUGCCACGCUGGCGUCCCCCAUCCUCAGCUUAAACGCGAGGAUCCAGCUCAUCAGCGCGUGCAGACAAAACGCCAUCGUGGAAGCCAGAAGCAUGGGGACCACCACACUCUGUGCUUGCAAGAACCUCGUCAGCGGGCCCACCACAGCCGUCCCCACCAGCCCGAUAACGGACCAAAGACAAAAGUCUCGCGCCCCGUCAGCAACGACCGGGUCCUGGCCCGUAACCCGGAGAAGCCGGCCCGUGAAGGCCCAAAGCAGGCAGAUUGGAGGGCACAUCAGGAAUAAGGAGAUGAUGCCGCUGUAAGCGUAGGUACCGAGCUUCUUGUACUGACCGGCGCCGUAAGCCUGGCCGCAGAGGGUGGACAGCCCGCCGGUCAUCCCGUAGAGGACGCUGUAGCCGGUGACGUUGGUGAGGGCGGUGGCGAUCCCAACGGUGGUGAGCGCCAGCUGGCUGAUGUGCCCCACUAUUACGAUGGACACUGUUUGCUGUAGGUAUUGAAGUGCCAUUACGGCGAUCAUGGGGCCUGCAAUGCGGGCGAUUCGCUUUAGUUCUUCGGCGAAGUCCUUGCGCGAUGUCGUCGCGAAGAUGUUCGCUCCUUGCUCUUCGGCAUCGAUCACAUUGACCAUCUUCGUAUGGACCAAAGUCGGCGGGAAAUUGGGUUUUUGAGGAUGUAAAAUCAGUGCAUAUAUUUGUUGGGUCUGAGCACGAAAUGGACCGUAACUCCACUUCGAUUCAUGCUGUUUUCAUUUAUUGGGAUAAGUGAUUCAUGCUGUCUUUUGUUUAUGAUUUCGUUGGCUAUUCUUAUAAUUAGUCUUUCAAGUUAGGUUUAGGAUUGGUCAACAGUAUUCAUUUUAGAAUGUUACACAACUUGUUUGGUCGUCCCUGCAGCCUAGCUAGGACAUAUAUGCACAAACAAUGCUCAAUAGCAUCUCCGGUUAUACAAACAUUUGUUGGUUUGACAACUUAAAUAUAAGAUGGAAUUAUUAAUAUUUUCUCAUUCGUUAUUUAUUAAGAAUGUUUUUUUUGACAAAAAAUCAUAUCACUUAUAUUCCUUAUUAAAGUUAUAGCAACGUGAGGCAUAUAGGAAGUCGCAUUGGAAGUGCAGUACUCAUCAACAAGGCUAACAUGAAUCGCGGGUUUUUUAAUAGCAAAUACAUCAAUCCUUUCUUUCCCACAAACGAACACUCCAAUAGAGAUUCAGACUAAAAAUAAAAAAUAAGGACACUAACAAUCACCAACAAAAACACAAACUAGAAACAAAGAAAAAGUUGAAGUUAUAAAUAAAACUAGAAAAUAAAUCUAGCAAACUUGAAUGCGAUUAGCAACAUCCCUAUUUGAACUUCUAAGGGAGGCUAGGACCUUAGCCGCUCCAAGUCUCAGCCUCAGUGAACCGGACCACUCGCCCUUGGCUGACCGGCAGGUAACACAGGGAUGAUGUCCUGGUCAUACUUCUUGGAAGGGGGUGGAGGUGCAUCAACGAUGGUGGUAAUCGGCAUAGCAACAGCAACGAUGGCGACGUUGGCGGUGCUAGAGAUGUUGGUGACGAUGGCAACGUUGGCGGUGAUGGAGACGUUGGUGAUGAUGAUGGCAACGUUGGAAGCAAACGGAUGUAAGGCGGUCAUGGUGGUUGUGGUGAGUACGGGGCGCGGCUAGAGUUUCAUGGAGGGGGAAGGGUUUUUCUUAUGAGAGGUAACAAGGCUACUUCUUUUUUAUGAGAACAACGAGGCAAUUUUUUUCCUGCGGAAAGUAACUUUUAACAAAAAUCUAAAUGAAAUUAAAAAAAUGAAAAAAAUCAAAGAAAUUGAAGACAACUACGGCAACUAGAGUUUAUUUGUUAGGAAUGUUAAAUACAAGAGAAUUAAUUUAGGAGACGCUAGUGAUUAACAAAUGUUGGUGGGAUGAAUACACUUGUAAACUUAAAUUGGAAAAGAAUCAAGCAAGCGUCAGGUCGUAUCCAGCUCGGUUGGUCCACUUACUCUCUUUGAAUGUAUUCUUCAAAGUAAACUUGUCGCUCUCAAAUCUAAUGCACAAUCUCAAGUGACACAAGCUAAGUACCAUGCUCUUUUAAUUUUUUUUUUUAAAGGAUAAAUGCAGUUUUUAUUGCUAGUAUAAUUACUUUGGGAAAUUGGUGAGUACAACCAUUUAAUAAUGCCAUGUGACCAUGCUCGGAUAAAUUUAGAGGGAGUAUUGGAUGGUUUGGAUUGAAUUUAACGAUAAAAUCAACCCACCUAUUAAUUGGGUGGAUUGGAUUGGAUUUAACGAUAAAAUCAACAUCUAUUUAAGGUAUGUUAUCUUCCAUCCUUAUGAACCUUUAUAUGCAUUCUCAAAGCUAAACAAUACACUUCAUUAAAGCAAAAAAAUUAUUAUCCAAAAAACUCGAAGUGAAUGAAAGGUUUUUAAGAUAAUUGCAUAGGAAGGUUAGAGAUAAUAAGGAAAUUGUAACUCUCGCCGAUUAGUAUAGUGAAUUGGUGGGUUAAACGAACAACCCAUUACGUAAUCCAAACCCACCCACUAGAUAAACAAUCCGAAACCCACCUAUAUUAUCCACCCACUCAUGAACAGAUCGAUUUAAGUUACAACAAACGGGUUUGGAUAAAUUUGAUGGAUAACCCGAUUCAAUACUCACCAUAAACUUACAACUGUGCGUUUAUCAACUGUGGUGAACCACAGGCCCAAUACUUGGGGUUGCAGAAACAAAGUUGGCCCUUUUGUAGUCAUACAAGUUUCGUACUUCUUUUUCCGAUAUAUUAACGAGUUAACAUGCUCCUACAAUAAAUUUAAUAAUGAUGUAAAAGUUAGAAACAAAAUUUUUGAAAAAAAGAGAAAAAUAUUAUUUCCUCCAAAAUUUUGGUUUCCUGCUCGUGUAAUUAAAUUUUUGUUCCAAAAUUACCUCACUCAAAUAAAUUCAUUUUAUUUAUUUUUAACCGAUGAAUAAAAAUUGGCCCAAAAAUAAUUUAAUUCAACGAUUAAAAUUUGUCCGAUACACCCCUCGGAUCAAUAUCAACGUUGUUGGUUACCAGCCCCAGGGCAAGAAGAGAGACUUUCCCAGCUGGUGCUAUGACUAAAGAAUAGAUGGAGUUAUUAAGUGGGGUGAGUUUACUUUGAAUUCGAGAGAAGUAGAGCUAGGAAAUCUAUAAAAAAAAAAUGUAGUCGUACGUAGAGCAGGUUUCAAUAAUUUGAUGGACAUAAAUCAAUGUCCAUACGCCACCUAUCUAUCUAGCCAUAUGGGACAAACUCUGAGCCUAGAGGUUUUAAUUGUAGCAUGCAUAACAUCGGCUAACCCUUUUCAAUGAUUUUGCUUUUAAGAAUAUUUUAGUUUAUUGCGAUUAGUCCCGUCUGUGAGUCCUUGAGUAUGAUCUUCGGGGUUCAGGAAAUCACGAAAGUGAGAGCUGAGUGUAUUUCUAAAAACAAACCAAUACGAAAUGAGAAGUUAAUUGGGUGGACUAGUCAGAAGGAUGUUGAAGAUAUUAUUAACACCGACGAAUCGGUUAUCCAACCUCAUGGAAUUAUAGCUGAUGGCGGUGUCAUCAGGACCCCAUAAUGUGGUUGCCUGACAGCCUUUGCAAGUAAUUUGGGUAUCUAUACUAUCACUCAAGCCGAGCUCUAUGCAGCUAUUCAUGACCUCCGUCUUGCAUGAGAUGGUGAAUACAAAAAAGUUAACCUUCAAGUGGACUCAUCAGCUGUAGUUUCCUUUGUUAAUAAGGAUCUCCUUGGCGAUACCAGCACGCAGUGAACAUUUGUGAACUAAGACUUCUUCUUCGUCUCAGUUCACAAAUGUUCGCUGAGUCUGGGCCAGUUGUACGGCAUCGUUUCCUGUCAUUAAGUGUUGUGAUUUGAUUGGAGGAAGCUUGAACCGCUUUCCUGUCCGUACUAGGUUUCCUCCUUGCCGUCGAGUUGUGGGAGGAAGUGCGGCUUUUGAAUUUUCUGUUCGUCGCUUGGGAUAUUGGGCGAGGAUCCGUAGUAUUGGUAGUCGACUUAGGUAUAGCAGCAAUAAGUUGGGCCACCUCCUCUCAUCCUCGGAUUCCCGCAAGUAUUUGGCUACCAGUAAAGCCUUAGUAUUCCUCGGUACGAAUAGAAUCAUCCCAUUCCCGAGUGAUUAGCUUUGCCGGUGUCGUGAACAGAAGGUCACAGUAUUUAUCUGUGUCCCAUUGUGCCACAUAUAUAACAGAAGCGUUCCAAUCGUUCGUAUUUGAAUAAGCACUUAACGGUUUCAUCAUUAUGUAGAACGACUUUCUUCCCUCGACGGAGCGGUUUGUUGGCAUCCAACUCCACCUGAACACACAUAAACUGAUUCGUCCACUAAUUUUUGUUGUUUGCAGGAUCAUAAUCAAGGUAUCAUCUACCUGCAUAGUCCCCCAAGAUGCGUCCAACAGCUUCAGAGAAAUACUCAAAGGGUAGUUUAUGCACUUGAAUCCAGAAUGGGACUCAAUUCAACGGAACCUGUUUGGGGUCUUCACCUAUUUGUAGCUCGUGUAGAAAUAGAAGGCUACGAUCAUGGUCGUCCUUCCUUCAUGAUCCGUCGCAGAUCGACUCCAUGGUGGAAUCGGAAUAGGUAUCGGCCGUCGCCAAGCUCCUUGACCAUCAUCGCACGACCUGGUUUUCACGCAAGAGCCAUGGUACUCUUCAUCCUGGAGAGAUUGACUUCUCAAUGUCCCCAAAUUUUGCCGACAAUACAUAGUGGGUAUUUAUGCAGCGGCGCUUUCGGAGUUACCUCCCUGAGGGACACACCUUCGUCGUCGAUGUCGUCCAGGGAGAGGUCUCGUAAGCCUACAAGCUCGGUGCCGGCUUUGAUGUCUUCGGCUACGAUUUCCUGCUCGGUCGUCGGCGAUUCCAGGAUCGUGCCUUCCAUGGUAGCAGGCAUGGUGCACGGAGCGGUUUGGUUCGGUUUGUUUGGUAUGAGCUGGGGGAAGGGAUCGCUGGUGCGAUGAGAUAAUGAUUGUAUGGGGAUGGAAGGCAUGGACGGGAGGCGUGGAGGAUGAAGUAUGGAGGCCGACUGCGACGGCGAGAUCGAACCCAAAAUCCUUCCAGAAAACCCUAGCUGAGGGGAGUUUUUUAUUCUAAUCGUUUUCUUAUUAUUUUUAGAACAUUUCACUCCCAUUUGGCUUGCAUUUAAUCACAUGUCGUAGCUAGAAUUGUAAAAAAAUGCAGAGAUCCCAAUUUAAUUAUAUUACAGUACUGAAAGCCACGAAUCUGCAAUGGGGUUUUCCAAAAGAUUUGAACAACAUUCACAAGCUACCCCAUCUUUCUCUGUCGUCUCUGAACCUCCCACCUUCUCUGUAACUAAACAUGGUAGAAAAUGGUAGAAAAACAUUCGUGGUGAUGUUUUAGUAAAGCAAGUUAUUUUAAAAAAGUGAAUGUGCCACCUGCGAUUGUUUUUCAUAACUAAGUAAUAAUAAAUAAGAAUAUUGAUCUAAAAUUAUGAUUAACAUAUAUCGAAUACGGAGCUGAAACAUCAAACAUUAAAUCAGAUAUAAACAUAUACCUAAAUACCGAAAUUGCUUUGAGCCGUAGACUCCGAACACCCCUUACAUCCGCCCAUGAAAUGAAGGGACGAGAGAGGAAUUCAUUGAAGGGGCAUGCAUUAAGUUUGCCAUUCCCCAGUAACAUUUGACCCUUUGGGGGCAUGGUUGGUUCCUAGAACUUGUCACCCACCUUUGACCUUAUCAACUGCAGUCACCCAAAAAUUUAUUGUCUUCAAUUACUAUGACCCCUUUAUCACCGACCACUCCUCUCUCCUUCCUCUUCAAUGUCUUUUUUUUCGUUUCUAAUUGUUUAAUUUUGAUGGGUUCUUUAGGUUUAAAUAUUUUUUUUGACCUGUCGAAUUAUUUCGGCAGUGAUGGAAUUAGGGUGGACCAACCUAGGUCAUCGAGUACCGACAAGAAUUCUGAUCCGAAAAUAAUGAAAUCUUAUGUAAAUUUUCGAAAUUCAAAUCUUAUUUGGAGAGCCAUAAAUGGCACGGUUUGGUACAAGUGGUGUCGCCACCAUGUUGACAAACGAAGACGGAAUGCUGGAGAUCUUGCGCGAAACAGAUUUGCCGUGAUGCUCAUAUUCUGAUGACAUAGUUUCUUUGUUGAUUACAUAGUAUUAUGCUCCAGUUCUCAUAAUUAGUUGUGAACAGACUUUUGUAUGAACUUUGACCGGUGGAGUGUUGCUCUUUUCGACGCACUCUGUAUGAGAUGACCAUAUAUAAUACUGCACAUUUAUCCCAAAAAUAAAAUUUAUCGAGUUCUUAUAAUCUUUAAACUCGAAAUCCCACAUAAAAUCUCAUGUUGUCUUGAUUCCGUCAUUGCUUAAUCGAAAGAAUAGUGGACAUAUAUAAUUCUACAACUAAGACUAUCAAAAUUUAAUCAUUCUUGACUCGAGAUAUAAAGGGUGAUAUUUCAAAACAACGAGACGUUUCAAAUAAACUUUUUUAUCAUCAAAUAUCAUAUCUCAAUUAUAAUCCAUUAGCUAAAUAAAAUAAUUUUUAUUCUAAAAUACUAUAUAUACAUAAUUAAAAUAACUCAUUUAAACAAUCCACGUACAGUUUUCAUAAUCAAUAUAUGAAUGUUGCUAGAUCUUUUGUUGAACACAAGUUACCAAUGGAGCCAAUGCAAGUAGUAAGUCUAACCUUGUUGGAAGACAAAUUAAAAUGUUCAAGUUAGAAUCAAGAAGCCUACUCUACGUAGUCAAAAUACACCUACCCUCCUUAUCAUCAUCAUCAUUAUCAUGCUACAUUGACUCAAUUGACAUGUUCAUAUAUAGUCAUUCAUGUGUGCUAGCUAGCUAGCUAGGACCAUAUGUUUAGCUUAUACAAAUAUUAAUUAAGAAGAUGAUCAAUUUGACAUGUUCUCUGUGCAUAUGAUAUGUGUUUUCUGCAGUACAGAUUGAGUAAAUCUAAUGGUUGAGACAUACAAUAACGUCAUGAGACUAACAAUAUAGUAACAUGUGAAAUAUCGUUCACUACUGGUCAUCAUAGAGUAACAUUGAAGUAACAUGUCAAUGACAAUGGACUAAAACAAGACUUAACGCUAGAUAACAUUUAACUAGCAUGGUCAGACUAAUUAACAACAUAGAGACAUGUGGAAUAGUACCGUUCAUUAUCAUCAUAUAAUAACAUCGGGGUAACAUGCGAGUGACAAUGAACUAAAACAAAACUAACACUGAAAUAAUACAACACUAAUCAACACGUUGGCAGUGAUGGAAAAUAACUAAAUAAAAAGAAAAAUAACAAGAGCCUUAGAUAUAUAUACUUGAAUCAAUCGUAAACCGUAUGAUGUGCAUUCUUUUCAAAAACCAGAUCAGAUAUCAAGUCUAGUGUGCGGUUCGAUUACUUAAAUGGUCGAACCGACAUUUCCGAAAACUAAUUAAUCACCACCAACAUUAACAUUCAUACAGAUUAAUCACAAUCGACAUCAUCAGGUGCAAUCCAGUGCAGGAGAAACUAAUUGUAUCAAAUUAAACAGAAGAUAUUGCAGGCAGCACUAAUUAAUUAAAAAUCUUCCAAUUAGCUACAAAUCAAUCAACUUACUACGUCAGGCAGUUGACUUCUAUGAUGAUCGCCGAUUAGUAAGGAGGACGGCCGCCGUUACUACCCCAGAAGGCAUCGGCGGGCAAUUGAUUCAUCAAAUUUGGCGGCAACCCGUGGAACAUCGGAUCACCUGACCCGCCUCCCAUACCCGCCUGCUGCUGUUGCUGUUGCGGUACAGUUCCGGGUGACCCGAUCGCCUGACCCGCUCCCGCCAUAUGCUGCUGCGGUGGGUCCUCCUGAUAUUCCANNNNNNNNNNNNNNNNNNNNNNNNNNNNNNNNNNNNNNNNNNNNNNNNNNNNNNNNNNNNNNNNNNNNNNNNNNNNNNNNNNNNNNNNNNNNNNNNNNNNNNNNNNNNNNNNNNNNNNNNNNNNNNNNNNNNNNNNNNNNNNNNNNNNNNNNNNNNNNNNNNNNNNNNNNNNNNNNNNNNNNNNNNNNNNNNNNNNNNNNNNNNNNNNNNNNNNNNNNNNNNNNNNNNNNNNNNNNNNNNNNNNNNNNNNNNNNNNNNNNNNNNNNNNNNNNNNNNNNNNNNNNNNNNNNNNNNNNNNNNNNNNNNNNNNNNNNNNNNNNNNNNNNNNNNNNNNNNNNNNNNNNNNNNNNNNNNNNNNNNNNNNNNNNNNNNNNNNNNNNNNNNNNNNNNNNNNNNNCUGGUGGGGGUCGUUAACGCCUGUCCUGCCGCUCUUCUCGUCAUCAGAGUUGUGUUGUUGCUGUUGCUGGUGGUGAUGGUGGGAGAAUUGCUGGGGGAGGAGAUGGUGGAAAUCUCUGGUGUGGAAUGGAGGCGGGAGGGAAUUAUCGUGGGCCGUCACCGGAUCCAUUUUUUUUUCUUUAAAACAAAAAGGACAACUCUCUGCUUCUUCUUCUUCUUCUUAAUUUCUUUCUCACUCCGACUAUUUGACUAUUUCUUCCUGGUUUUUUUUUACCUUUUGGCUCGGCUGGAUUGUAGGAAUCUACCAUGUUUUAAUUUGUUUAUAAGGUAUUUAGGAUUUUCUUUUCUUUUUCAAACUAUCAAGAUCGGAUACAAGGGGCUUAAUCGAAAUGAUCAAAGUUGGUUUGUCAAAAUUUUCACGAUCAACCUUGAUAGUUGUUUCAUUACUCGUGCAGAAAUGACGACGGGCAUCGUCAAGGGCUUUGAGCUGGCAGGGUCUUUAAGAACCCGACGAUUCUCUGUCCAAUUGGAUUCCAUAGCUGAACUUGCAAUUCUUUAUAAGUCAGUCUUCUUUUGACCAUCAACAUACUAUCUUGUUCUUCAGUUUCACGAGCUCUGCAAUCGUAACAGGGAGAUCGAUGUCCCCCACACAUACCACAAAUCCAAUUGUGCAGCGGAUUACUUGCAAUUAAGGAAUGAUAAUAUCGAAGAUUCCACUAAAUAGGAGGUAUAAUUAUUCUAACAAAGUAUGUAACAGAUAGUAAUUAGAAGUAAUGUUACGACAUAUUCUGUGAGUGAUAAUUCUGCCCAAAUAUGUGUGGUAGUGGACUGAAGUAAUCGGGCAACUUCAGCCAAAUCAAUGUGGAUGGUGAUGGUGGUAGAGAAUCGUUGAGUGGCGGCUACAAGGAUAAUAUGUCGGAUUGCUAAGAACUUUAGGCUAAGUGGAGUUCCUCUAGUGAUAGAGUGUGUCUGAUGAUUGUGAGAUUUAGAGUUUGAAUUCAAUAUACCUUAUAAAAUAAAUAUUAAUAAUAUANNNNNNNNNNNNNNNNNNNNNNNNNNNNNNNNNNNNNNNNNNNNNNNNNNNGUACACACCUAAGGUUUCCACAAGCAAGUUGUGGAUUCCAUUGAGAGGUUUCAUGGUGUUAUUUGAGGUCUUCGAGAAAGGCAAGGAAAAGCAUUUUUCAGCCAGCCUAAGCUAGCUAGGGUUUAUAUUAUUUUGUUAUUAGCUAGUUUGAUUUUUUAAUAANNNNNNNNNNNNNNNNNNNNNNNNNNNNNNNNNNNNNNNNNNNNNNNNNNNNNNNNNNNNNNNNNNNNNNNNNNNNNNNNNNNNNNNNNNNNNNNNNNNNNNNNNNNNNNNNNNNNNNNNNNNNNNNNNNNNNNNNNNNNNNNNNNNNNNNNNNNNNNNNNNNNNNNNNNNNNNNNNNNNNNNNNNNNNNNNNNNNNNNNNNNNNNNNNNNNNNNNNNNNNNNNNNNNNNNNNNNNNNNNNNNNNNNNNNNNNNNNNNNNNNNNNNNNNNNNNNNNNNNNNNNNNNNNNNNNNNNNNNNNNNNNNNNNNNNNNNNNNNNNNNNNNNNNNNNNNNNNNNNNNNNNNNNNNNNNNNNNNNNNNNNNNNNNNNNNNNNNNNNNNNNNNNNNNNNNNNNNNNNNNNNNNNNNNNNNNNNNNNNNNNNNNNNNNNNNNNNNNNNNNNNNNNNNNNNNNNNNNNNNNNNNNNNNNNNNNNNNNNNNNNNNNNNNNNNNNNNNNNNNNNNNNNNNNNNNNNNNNNNNNNNNNNNNNNNNNNNNNNNNNNNNNNNNNNNNNNNNNNNNNNNNNNNNNNNNNNNNNNNNNNNNNNNNNNNNNNNNNNNNNNNNNNNNNNNNNNNNNNNNNNNNNNNNNNNNNNNNNUAUGAAAGUGGUGGAUGAGAUAUUUUCAUUAGACUAACAAUCAUUGAGUUUUGUAGAAUCCAAGGAAAAGUACUAGAGAUAUCGUCAAAGUCGAAAAACGGUGUUUGAGAUAUUUUUGAAAAAAGAUGAGUAAAUAGAUUAAUUUUAGUUUUAUAUAUUCACAGAUCAUUGUAUUCUAUUUUUUAUAUAACUAGUACAAUGCAUUUUUAUGUAUUUAAUAAUUAAACUAGUGGCUGAAUCAAGAUGAUAUGGAUCUAGGCGUGAAUUAUAAGAAAAAGUCAAUGAGAUAUAUGCAUAAAAAAGUCAAUGAAUCAUAUCAUACAAGGCAAUCGAGAUUGAACCAUAUAUGGUAUAAAAAUUGACCUAAUUUUUUUGUACGUAAUGAGGCAAUUGUUUUGUCAUUUUAUUAAUGCUGAAAUUUCAGAAUUUGAAAAUAGACUUACAUUAUUUAAGUAUUAAUAAAUUUAAUUAAGAGGUAUAUUUUCGAUAUGAGUUUACAAGCUGGACAGAAGAAAGCUACAACCAUCGACUCUGUCAGAAGAGCAAACCCGAAAAAAACAAAACGAAUCGAUGGAAACAGGCUUAGUUCAAACAUGACCCGAAAAAUAGAAUUACACUAUGCUCUACCGCUUUAUUUAUCAAAUACAUACAUAUUAAUUAUAUGACUUCGGGGUUAGGAAGUUAUAAAGCUGUAGACCCGCGUAGACACAAUGUCGGGGUUCUAAAUUUUCAUAGGGACCCCCCGGAAUUCUUUCCAACGCCUGUUGAAUAAUUUUUAUGGAUUGGGCCUUGGAAAGUUUUAGUAUAAACAGGAGGGAUUCGCAAAUCCUCCAGACGUAGGGCUCGCAGGGCUUUAAACACGACAUGCUGUUUUUUUCCAUUCAUUCCUUUCAGGAUCAGUCGCGGUCUUACAAACUAUACCNNNNNNNNNNNNNNNNNNNNNNNNNNNNNNNNNNNNNNNNNNNNNNNNNNNNNNNNNNNNNNNNNNNNNNNNNNNNNNNNNNNNNNNNNNNNNNNNNNNNNNNNNNNNNNNNNNNNNNNNNNNNNNNNNNNNNNNNNAAAAUGGUCGACUUACCCCAAUGUAAUUAUAUUUAUUUAGCACACCGUUGUCAAGAUGAACGUUAAUGUGUUGAGAAAAACACAUUCUUCUUAACCCGAAAUGGUUGGGGAGAGGAAAGGUUUACUUACCUUUACCACUGAAUAUGAUCAAGUGUUUCCAUCAACAAGUUAUAUUUGCUGAUAGUUUUACUUGAGCCAUUGCGGUAAAAUUUAUCCUCAAAAGUUAAUUUGAAAAAGAUAUAUUUAAUGAUGUGAUAUUCAAUUGAUACGUAACGCAUUAAUUUGGACCAUCAAAUCAUAUUGAACCGAAUUAAAAUGGCUGACUAACAAUAUUUAUCAGUAAAUCGCUUAACCAAAUUUAACUGUGUAAUAAUAGAAAAUAAUUAGUGAGGGAAGCGACAAAUUAAGGAGGGGGGCGUACCCACGUGAAAAUGUAAUGACUUUACUCACCCUCUUAAUUCUUAUAUAUUACUCUCACUAAUCUUGUCUUUAAUUUUGAAUCUGUUUCUGUCUUUACCUUUUCUUUUCUUUCUUAAAGCUUGUUUUUUUCCUUUUUUUUUAUCGGAAGAAAUUAAGAUAUAUAGUGAAUAUAAAUAAAAAUUAAAAAUCGAUCUAAAUUAUGAGAUCAACCCGCUACAACAUAGGAGAUAUAAAAAGAGCAUGUCACACCAUUUAAAAAAAACAAUUCUAUCAACUGAUUGGCAAACAACUUGCAUCUGGAGUCGAGAGCAUCCCGCUAUAAAGGCACCACUUGCCAUAUACCGUACUCCGCUAAAACAAACGGGUAGGAACCAUCUCAACAUCCUCUUUAAAAUCCACCUGCAAAAUGAAGAACCAAAACAACGCUCGCAUGCAUCGUGUAUGGUUGGAGCUCAAAAUCAUAGAAGUCAAAGAAGUCUAGAUAUGUCAGCCCUACCCUGCUCACACUUCAAAUGACCAACCCCGCCAUCCGAAAUCAAAACCACCUCAACCACAUUGAUUUUGAGUCCGGACAUCGAAAACAUCCCAAUCAAUCAGUCAGUGACCCCCACACCACAUUUUUCAUUGCUCCUAUGCCAUUUCUGUUUUUGGACAUGUAAAUUUCAAUCAUAUUGCAUCGUGUCAUUAUCGUAAUAAAGAUGGAAAACAGCUUAAUUCACAUAAUCGUAUCAAGGUCGGUUUCAGUCGCAUCACCUAUCAUACACUUAAACCAUCAUUGCCGAUAGUCAUUAAUAAUACAAUCAUGCAAAAAUACACAUCAACGCCGGGCAUACACGUUUGGCCGCCGGGGGAGCCAUUAUCCCAAAACGUCCAUCAGUUCCUUAUUUCCUAUUCAAAGGUUCGUCCGCAGAUAUUUCGGCGGGCAAGUAAUAGAGUCUUUUAUUUAAUAAUUCAAAUGACCCUUAGAUAUUUUUAAAAAAUGUCGUCGAUAAUCUUCACACAGUGAUUAUACAUUUUUUGAUAUUUUACUGCUAUUUUUCGUCGGCCCAAAAAGCCUAUUUAUUAAAAAAAAUCAUGCAACAAUACAGAAAUUGAUCACGACCAAGCGGAGUUCUGGGGUGUAAAAGGUGCUGACAAGGAGGGAUGAUGGGCCGGGCUUCAAAUCCAACAAUUUAAGUGUCUCCAUGUUACAGGCUUACAUAAACAGGCUUAAUUAACCCAUGUUAUCUGGCCCAAUCAUUGGUCCAUAAUAUGAUUUUUCUAUACUGUAGGCUUCUAUAUCCGUGGAAAAUCGUACCGAAUUAAUCCAAAUGUUUCAUGGGCUUUCUGAUGUCAAGGAUUAUUACUUAUUUUUAGAGUUUGAUAAUAUCAUUCAUAUCCACGUUUAUUCAACACUAUUGGAUUAAUUUUGCUAAUAUCUAUAUUAAACGAGUUAUGGAGGUGGGUAUAAGGUAUAUCUGCUAAAAAUGAGCGGAGAUGGAUCGAAAAUAAAUUUAGGUAUCGCACUCCAAUAUUACAUCAUUUGGAUAUGAAGCAAUUUCAAUUGAUUCUCACUAAUUCGUCCUCUCAUUUUUCUCUAUUAUCUCUGGUUUAGCUUCAAACAAUUUACUUUUGGUAUGAUAAUAUUUCACCAAAUUGGUCAUUCUCUCUCGUGUGAAUCAAAUGGAUCAACACAUCCUUUUGGCUCUUUUUCGCCAUGGAAGAGUUUUUUUUAAUGUUAAGUCAGUCAUUCAUUCCAUCAAACCUUAAAAAUUUAUUAUAUGAGUGAAUCAGUCAUUUGAAAAGACCAGAUUCCUGAUCGAGACAGUAAUCCAAUUUACGAGCGAGUUGAGAGAACAAAUAGUGAAAACAACUUGUAUCCUAAAAUUGAGGCAAAGGGACGAUUGCAUCGGAAAAAAGAGAGCUGCACAUUCCCACGACCACGAUAGAUCACGUCGGGUGAGGCAAUUCACCAAGGUCUAACAGCCAGAGAAGAUGCCAAUCGAGCCCGGAGAGGAGAUAGCCAAAGAGAUAGCUCCGUGAAAAGCGCGUGCCUCUACAACAAUCGGAGACGAACAAACGAUCCAUCUGGUGCUAUUAGAAAUGUUCCCCUCACUAGUCAUAAUGAUUAAGGAAAGUGGCCAGAUAAAAAUUCGAUAUAAUCAAUCAAUUAGAUAUUUAUCACACAUAUAUCUACAUAAUCGCUUUGAUGAUAAAAGUCAUAAUUAAUCAUCGAAUAGAAAAAAAUGCUUAAUAGGAACUUUUAAAUGAAAUAAAAACUUUGAGUGAUUAGCAUGAAAUCAAUUUGUAUAACUCCUCCUCCACUUUUUCUUUUCAUUUAAAUAAUUUUCCAACCCCUAUUGGGUUCUUUUAUUUAUUUACUGAUUUUGUAUACAGACGUGAAAUGCAAGCGCCACUCUCUCUGUAGCUAUUAAUUUAUGCUUUUCAAUAUUGUUCAAAUUUGUCCUAUUUAUUAUUGCAUUUUUUUUUAAAUCAUUAAAAAGUUAGGUCGGGUUACCGACCAAAAUAGGUUCACCCCAUUCCCACGUCAAGGACAAAGUUUAAGUAAAAUAAAAUACUUUAAAGAGAUGGGCAUUUUAAUUAUAAAAUACAUAUUGCUUACCACAAGCAUUUACUCAAAAAAAUCGUGAUAAUUUUGUUCUUUUCUUCAAGGUGAAAGUAAAGUAAAUAUAUAAUUAUUNNNNNNNNNNNNNNNNNNNNNNNNNNNNNNNNNNNNNNNNNNNNNNNNNNNNNNNNNNNNNNNNNNNNNNNNUUAAUUGAUUCUUGUUUUGGAAGAUGAAAGUGAGUAAUUACGUUGUCUGAUGUUAAAAUUAAUUAUUGUUGUGACGGAGUCAUUAUUGUAGGAGAGUGGUGCAUUUUAAUAAAUUAUUAUUCAUAUAAAUUCAUGAUNNNNNNNNNNNNNNNNNNNNNNNNNNNNNNNNNNNNNNNNNNNNNNNNNNNNNNNNNNNNNNNNNNNNNNNNNNNNNNNNNNNNNNNNNNNNNNNNNNNNNNNNNNNNNNNNNNNNNNNNNNNNNNNNNNNNNNNNNNNNNNNNNNNNNNNNNNNNNNNNNNNNNNNNNNNNNNNNNNNNNNNNNNNNNNNNNNNNNNNNNNNNNNNNNNNNNNNNNNNNNNNNNNNNNNNNNNNNNNNNNNNNNNNNNNNNNNNNNNNNNNNNNNNNNNNNNNNNNNNNNNNNNNNNNNNNNNNNNNNNNNNNNNNNNNNNNNNNNNNNNNNNNNNNNNNNNNNNNNNNNNNNNNNNNNNNNNNNNNNNNNNNNNNNNNNNNNNNNNNNNNNNNNNNNNNNNNNNNNNNNNNNNNNNNNNNNNNNNNNNNNNNNNNNNNNNNNNNNNNNNNNNNNNNNNNNNNNNNNNNNNNNNNNNNNNNNNNNNNNNNNNNNNNNNNNNNNNNNNNNNNNNNNNNNNNNNNNNNNNNNNNNNNNNNNNNNNNNNNNNNNNNNNNNNNNNNNNNNNNNNNNNNNNNNNNNNNNNNNNNNNNNNNNNNNNNNNNNNNNNNNNNNNNNNNNNNNNNNNNNNNNNNNNNNNNNNNNNNNNNNNNNNNNNNNNNNNNNNNNNNNNNNNNNNNNNNNNNNNNNNNNNNNNNNNNNNNNNNNNNNNNNNNNNNNNNNNNNNNNNNNNNNNNNNNNNNNNNNNNNNNNNNNNNNNNNNNNNNNNNNNNNNNNNNNNNNNNNNNNNNNNNNNNNNNNNNNNNNNNNNNNNNNNNNNNNNNNNNNNNNNNNNNNNNNNNNNNNNNNNNNNNNNNNNNNNNNNNNNNNNNNNNNNNNNNNNNNNNNNNNNCACCCCCCCACCCCACCCCUCCCGCCCCCGCGGCGCUUCCACAGCCGCAUGUAUCGGCCGGAGUUCUGCCGGCGACCUUGAUUCCCGGGAAGAAAAAGCGAGGCCGGCCAAGAAAGUACCGCCCAGAUGGGAGUGCCGCCAAGCCACUGUCGCCGAAACCCAUCUCCUCUGCAGCUCCGGCACCGCCACCUGUUAUCGAUUUCUCCGCCGAGAAGCGCCCUAAGGUGGAGCCGAUCGCCAAAAAGUAUGAACCGCCUGCGGAUAAGUUUGGUGAGUUGACAAAAAUCUUUCGCUUGUUUGUGGAUAAAUUUCGAACUUUUGGUGUUUGUUCGGAAGUGGGUUUUUUAUGGAAAAAUUUGUUAGGCGUACGGAAUUGAAGUUCGUUAGCUAGUAGCAGCCGUCCUUUCUUAUCUAUUGACAACUUUAUUUGUGGGGACGUAAAAGGAUGGAUAUCCAUCAAGUUGUGAUCUUUGAUUGAGAGAGUUUGUGGGAAGGUACUGUUGAUUUUGGUGGCCUCUUCUGCUACCGUGACAGAGUUGCAGAAGGGGCUGAUAAGAGGUGAAAAAGCUUCAUGCUUUUCUGGUUCUGGUGACUCAUGAUGACAUAAAACAUCAUAUGCGGUUCUCUCUUUUGUUGAUUAUGUUUCGGGUUGUUGGUUUCGGUUUGUUCUUUCCACCCGUAGACCUUGGUCUUUGACCGCCUGUGUUGGUCAAGUUUGCUUAAAUAGUCGCGCUUUUCCAUGGUUUGGCGGUUUGGUCUUUCCUAGUAAGAAAGUUGUGAACUUUUGAGAAUGGUGUUUGAAUUUUGAUGUUGAUUUUGUAUCAGAACAUGCACCUGUGGGGGAGUGGGUCUCAUGCUCUGUUGGCGCUAAUUUCACUCCUCAUAUCAUCACUGUAAAUGCUGGAGAGGUAAUUCUGCUGCUGCUGCUCUGAAACAUGAUUUGCUUGCAAUCUCAUUCUGCAUGUAAAAUCUGGAUUUUGAAAUAUGAGAUAAUGACCGAUUUAGGAUAUGUUUUGCGUGUGAUGACUUUUGCGAUUCAUGAUCCUAGAGUUUGUUAAGAGUUGGUUAUGACUUUGGUCUGGUUCAUCAUACUUAGGAUGUUACGAUGAAGAUCAUAUCGUUCUCUCAACAAGGACCUCGGGCCAUAUGCAUACUUUCUGCCAAUGGUAUAAUCUCCAAUGUCACGCUGCAUCAGCCUGAUUCUUCUGGAGGUACACUAACUUACGAGGUAAUAGUUUCUUCGUUCCUUAACAUCGCCUUUUACUAUGACGCACAUGGGUUUACUUCGCUAUCGUCGUUGAUUCAAUUGUCGCAGUUGACAGAACAAUUUGCAGGUUGUUUGGUCUUGAACUAUGCAAAACUGACCUCUUCCUAUCGAAUUUCAUUCAUCCAGGGUCGGUUUGAAAUAUUAUCGUUGUCUGGUUCAUUCAUGCCUAGUGAAAGCGAAGGGACAAGGAGCAGAACCGGUGGGAUGAGCAUCUCGUUGGCAAGUCCAGAUGGACGCGUCGUGGGUGGUGGCAUCGCUGGUCUAUUAAUAGCUGCGAGUCCAGUACAGGUUUUGCUUCUUCAUGUUCUUUCCCAUUUGCUCAUUCUGAUCUUUUUGCUUUCUUUGAACACUUUUUAACUUCUGCUCUGGGGAAUCAGGUUGUGGUGGGCAGCUUUCUCGCCGGGAACCAGCACGAACAGAACCCGAAGAAGCAUAAUAAGCACGAUUCCUUUACCAUCACAACCACAUCGGCGACUCACGUAUCUAUUGCUGAUCCAACAUCCGCAGUCACAUCUUCCUCGUUCCGGGGAGAUACUUGGUCUGCAGUCCCAACAGAUUCGAGAAAUAAUAAAAGUGAGAUUAACAUGACUACUGUACAUGCAGGGUGAGCAAACUAAAAACCAUGGAGGUUCCCAGUAUUUACUUACUACUACUGCUACUACUUCCCGCUCGAAGACCAAGUCAUAAGAGAGUUGGUGUAGGAUCAUUGGGAUUCUCACCGCUUAUGUUUUUGUUUGAUAUUCUUCUUACAUGUCUUUGUUGUGUCUUGUCAGCGUUACUUUUGUCUGUAUGUGGGAAAGUUGACUUCUUUUUUCUUUGUUUUUUAUGAAGACAUUUGUUGUUCUUGUUAGAUAUAGAAAAAGGGUUUUAGUGAUUAGCACGUUAGAUAGUGUGAGGCUGCUGAUUACUGUCUCAUUGUACAAUCUAUGCACAAAAUUCAGAUCUGAAUGCAUCCUUUGGUUGAUGGAAUCUAUGUUAAAACAUUCAAUACAAUAACCAACCAAAAAUAUACCAAAACAUUCAAAGCACACUCACUGAAUCUGUUCUUCUCCUCACGGGUACAACUAUGUGCUAAAAAUCGAGCUCUGAAAAUUUUCGGUAAAUCUGACAACUGCAGGCUUUUUCGUUUUAAUGAUAACCAGGAGGCGAUGACCAAGGUGAGCUGUUUUGGUUGUCAACUACGUCGUUAACUAUACUUUGAGGUCGGACUAUUUUGUCUAUGAUGCCAUAGUCCAUGGCCUCAUGAGAUUUCAAGACUAGACCCCCUCUCUUCAUGUCCUGUUCAAUCUGCACAGACACGGAUAUUUACAUACACUGCAUGCAAAAGGAAUCCAGAAACGAACGAGGCAGUAGCCAGAUAGGUCCACAAAAUGAAUGAGACGUAUGAGACUACAAGUUUCCUGACCUUCUCAACUGGCUGUCCGGUGUUCUUCGAGAACUCCUGGUAAAGAUAAUUCUUGAUUCUAACAAGUUCAUCUCUCUCGGCCUUCAUUGCAUCUGCCUGAAAGUAGAAGUCGUCAAAGUCGGAGUUAUAUAUUAGCAAAAAUAUAUUCUUUUAGUGGCCUGCUUCCAUUUAAAGUUUGCAUAGCAACAUUUGUACCUCGCCACGAGCUGCCCCAGCAGGAGCUUCUAGCGUCAGCCUACAGUUAGGCAUUCCUGAUCGAUAUCCCUAUUACAAGAGAAAAAGUGAUUCAGCUAACAUACAAAUUUCAAGGGCGUACAUGAUUUUAAAUGUAAGGCUCGUAAAGGAUCCAAUUAUUGAUCAAUGGGCAACAUCAUGUUCCGCAGUUAUCCAUAAGAUCAAGUAUGCUCUCAUGCGACAUGGAAAAUAUUACACAAGGAAACUAACCAAUGUGUAGCUAUCAAAGUUGGUUACAUCAAUCAGGAUAGUACAAAGCAAUAGCAACGUAAUAUCCAAUUCCGAGUCUGCAGUUAUUCCCAAAAUCUUCUAAAUGGACCCAAGUACUUCCUUCCUGCUUAUAUGUGCACAACAAAGUUGCACCCUGAAACCUUAGAGACUUUGUAUUUAAGCCUUGGGGUCAACAAUUAUCUAGAAAAAGUCACUGAAUCCUCCCCUAGCACAUACACAGAUAUGCAACGGAUGCUUCGAUUUUUCAAAAGUAAGGCACAAUGAAGAUACUAUAUCACGAGAAGAACAUAUGGUGGUGCUGGUAAGAAUUUUGCCAGUUAACAAGAAAUCUUACUUUGUCUCCAGCUGCAAUCAUAAAAGUUGCCAUAUUAUACGAAUACCCUAUGCAGUGGGUACCAAUAGGACUGCUCAAGGCCUUCAUAGCAUCGUAGAUAAUUAAGCUGGGACUAAGCUGCGCACACAAGAAUGCACUCUUAGCUGAAAACACACAGAAGAGCAGUGUUAUAUACCAUAUUGAGGAUAAAAGGUUAACAUAAACUUACAUCUCCACCAGGGCCAUUAAAGUAGAAAUACAUUCUCUUGGUAUCGUCGACGCUAUCAAGAUACAACAUUACCCCCAAUAAUUUGUUGCUGUAUUGUGUAUUGAUCGCCCGAGGGACAAAGAUUAUUCUCCUCCUUUGCUGCAGCAAAUGAUUUUUGGUAAGGUUUUGAGUCAUAGAAGAAAAUGGUUUUGAACCAUCUAAACCAGAGGAAACUCAUCGUCAGAUGAUGUGGUCAACUACUGUAAACUGUGUUACACUAUCAGCCAUCAAAUUUAAGGUCAAACAUCUUUACUACAAUGGAAUUAAUCGGUACACAAACAACUUACAAGGGCUGUAUACACAUCAACAUAUUGCACAGAAUUCUCCCCAGGAGUUUUACUGAGUACGCGUGGUGUACCACCGAAACUCAUUUCGAUUGCUGCUGGCUGUUUGGAGUUUCGAAUCCUGCAGAAAAAAGGCAUAACCCAAAUGAAUAAAGUAGCUGUCUUUACAACCAACAGCCCUAUACUAAAGAUUUACCCGCGGCGGCUUCGACGGAAGAAAUCUGCAGUGGAAUUGGGUGAUAUGGCACCAUAGAGACCUGCAAUUUGAAAGCACAAAGCAAUCACGACAAUGAAGAAGUUUAACGAAUUAGAGAGAGAGAUAGGGAGAGCGAGUGAGGAGAAUAGAACUUGAAGAUUGAGCCUUUAAUCCAGAGCAAAGCUUUGUUCCGAGGCUGAAUACAAAAAAAACAAAGAGGAUUCAAUCCUUAGGAUACGAGGGGAUUAUAAUUUGCAAACAUUGCCAAAUGUUUAGCUUUGGACCUGAGAGAAGGUUGAUGAAGGUUAGUAUUCAGCGUGGACGCCAUUGUUGAUGGAGUUUUCGACAGCUGAGUAGCGAGUUUUACAAGUCUUCUGGGGUUCAAGGAUUAGAAAUGGGGGGGGAUUUGAUUGAAGGUGGCAUAUACUAGUACUAUGCUGGUUCCAGUAUCACAGUAAGACUCAGCCCAAUAGCUAAGGGUACAUGGGUUAGAUUUCACUCAAUAAUUUUACAGUGGAUCAUGUGUUUAAGGGCUUGGCCCUUGUGUUUUUUUAAGAACGAAUUUAAACUGUGCCUCUUCCUUCUACGGCGAUGUCGGCUGCUGUUCUUCUCCUCUUUCUUUCGAGAAUGGAGGAAUGAAUGCAAGAGGAACUAAUGAACAAUUAGAGUAUUUUUUUCCCGGCUAGGCAACAAUUUAUUGAGCAACUCCCGUCUAACACCUUUUUGAACCUUGGAUGAAUCUAAUCCACCAAGCGAGGAGCAAACCCAACACUGUCAUCAAUCAGAAAAGGAAAAACCAAUCAACCUGACCUAAUCUUUUCCCAUGUCAAUAUUAGAUGGUGCAUCAAUUCACGAGCCAAAAUAAUGUUAUAUUUUUAACAUCAAUUAACAUUCUUCACAGUUGCAGGUCAGCGAACCUCUAUCGUUGGUCAUUGGGACCUCACGAUGUUAAUAAUCGAGAUUAUGGAAUCCAAUAACAUGUUAUAGUAUCAUGUAAGGUAUAGGCUCACCGGAGGUGGAUGUGACAACAUCAUUGUAAAGCGACAUGAGAUUAUGGUAGUGAGAACGAGGUGAUUCAAAAGUACACAACUUGAUGUACGAACUUUCUGAUGUUGUAGAACCGGUUGAUUCAAAGCACACAACUCUGAACGUAGAGUACUCUAAGAAGGCAAAUGCGAUAUUUGAUUUUGGCCGACUAUAUCGCAAUAUCUCUGCUGAAUUUCGAGCACACUUUGGGUACACAUUCAGGCAUUCUCUUACCAAUAUUCACUCACCAUUGUGGGGAAACCAUCUUGAACGGCUGCAAUGUUGAUUUCUGCUGCACUUCCUGCAUGGCUGACCAAAUUAUAGGCCUAAUCUGUAAAGUAACAGUUCAGAAUUCCAGCAAACUUCUGCAAAAUUGGGAGUAAAUAGCCGACAAAAAGAAAGAAUCCAGUUGGUUUAUGGGAACAGUACAAGGUAGAAAAGAAGCAGAGAUUUUGAUGAUGUAAAAGCUAAAGCCUUCAGACUGUAUUGAGUAGUGGGUUUGAUUACAUUAAGGGGAUGUAAUUGGAGCCCAGUUCAGUAAAUCGAGCUACAACAACCACACCUCACCCUUUUCAAAUCUCCGUUCUUUCACAAUCAUCAUCAGGCUUGCCAAUAAAAGAGGGUUCAUCACAAGGUUGAUGAGAACCAAGAUUCCUGCAAUUUGCAGGACGAAUCAUAGGCAAAGUGUAAAGAUAGAAACUUUAGACACUGUAUACAUAGGCAAAUGAGCUUUCAACCAGAAAUACUGAAGAAAAGCAAGUGAAGCUGCGUCUGAAUCUUGAUGAAAACCACAAGCAUCUUAGACAGCAUCAAGAAAAGGUAAGAGCUUUGCCGUUCGUAGAAGCAAAUUUAGAAUCCAGAAGUCAAAAACUAAGCUGAAAUUAUAUUUCCCACAAGCUGAAAGAAGAGCAAUCUACUAUCUAAUCUUAGCCAAACAAACUCCCGAACCAUUUUUGUCAAAAAAAGCUAUAAGCUGUUUAUAAUCAACAUAGAUAAGACAAAUGAUCAUCCUGGAACUCCCCCCAUUAUCUCAGUUACACAAACUUCUUCUACCUCAUUCAAUUCAAGGCAGAAAAUGUAUGGACUCUAUAUCUCCUGUGAAUAUUCCGCAACUUAGUCCAUGUCGAAGGGUACAAUUACGCAAUUUAGUCCAUGCUGAAGAGUACAAUUGCGCAACUCAGUCCAUGUCGUGAUCUUCCAAUGCCGUCAAGAUCAUCCUACAGCCACCAAACAAUGUCAAUCCAAAAUUCAACUAAAUGAAUAUCAUCUGAUGAGACCAAGAAAAUCAAAGCAGCGUCAACAUACCAGAAUAUUGCUAGAAAAAGGAGGACGAUGAGGUAGAACAAUUUAUAGAGCCGCUGCUUCUUUUCGGCAUGGAGCAAGUUGAAAACCUCAGUAACAUCUAUCAGAUGUUGUUUUCGAGUGUAUCUAAAUCACAUGAACACAAAGACUAGUAAGGUAAACUAGUCUUGAAGUAUCAAUUACAGGAAGCAGAACACAAAAUAUCUACAAGUUACUACAUACACACAAAAGGGAACAGGAAGCUUGAGGGAAAGAAAACCACAAAUUGCAACAAUAAACUGGACGAUAACAGAAAGAGCAAGCUGAAACGAUAACAGUAGUGACUAAGAAAUAGCAUCAGAUAUUCAGAUUAGUUCAGUAAUUCAGUUAAUAACCUAUCUAAGUUUUAGCUUCAAUAUGAAUGAUAAUUAACCAGAUGAUUAUCUACGCAUGAAUGUUCUAUAGGAGUGCUCAAAGGAACAAAUACCACUCGAACAUAUACAAAGAAAAAUGGCUAACUUACAGCCUGACGUUGUAGUAGAGGUAAGGAGCACACAAGAGAGCCAUACACCAAUGCCCUGUGAGAAGGUAAAACAAGCACAAAGCUCCUUCCGUGAUAUACUCUGGCAAAAUCACUUUGUUUACCCUCGAUGAAGAGUCAUAUGGAUUGAUGUAAUCGAACUCCAAAUCUGCCAAGCACAUCAGCUGCCAGCACAAGCCCAUAAUAAACACAAAAGAAAUAAGAACUAGAACUCGCCCACAUUACAAGUAAAUACAUAAUUCAUAAAACAUGGUCUAAUUAUUCUGAGUAACCGCUUCAAGCAAGCUAUCAAGGCUACAGAAGAAGUUCUUUCUAGACCAAUAACCCUCUCAUGGAGAAGAAGAUGAGAAAUCGAGUCAAGUUUCCAACUUUCAUCUAGAACUAGAACAAAGAUGAACAACGAAAAAAUGACAACAUUUGAGUAGUAAUUCAAUCAAUAGAGCGGGGGAUAGGGGAGAAUAUAAACCUGGAAGACGAUGAUGACGAGUAGGGCAAUAAGGAAAAAGAAGGAGAUUAGCCAUACGUAUAGAUCUCCCAUGCUCCUUCUACCCUACUCUGCCUUUCUCUUUAUCUCUUCUGUUCUUCUUCUUCUUCCUCCUCCUCAACAAUUGGGUUGACGGAGGUGCGCGAGAUUAAGCUUGCCGGCGAUGCCUCCUGGCUUAUUGUGGUCGGCUCUUCUCGAUCUCUCUUCCCAUCUUCAAUCCGACACUGUAUAUUUCGUUUCUGUCCGCUGGUCUCUGGCUUUCUUUUCUUCCUUUAUUUUCUGAAAUUACUUUUUUUUUUCGUUACGAGGGAGGGAACAUGAGUCUUAAUAAUUAACUAGUAACCAAUAUUAUAAUUUCGAGAGGUGGAGAGUUACUAAGUUCAUUAAAAUUAAAAUUUUAGUUUAUUUUAAAAUAAUUAUAAAAAGGUAACCAAUUUGAAAAUCUUAAAUACUAAAAAUAAGUAUAUUACAUUAUNNNNNNNNNNNNNNNNNNNNNNNNNNNNNNNNUUUUUUUUAAAUCGUCAUAAGAAGGUUUUUCAUCGUCAGAUCUUCAAAAAUAAUUUGAACCGUCUAAAAAUAAUCAAAAGCAAAAUCAUAUGAGAAAUACAUAGGCAUUUGUGGUUCCCCUAUGGCUUUAAAUUUAUUUUAAUUUUAAUAGUUUAUUUUUUAUUUUUUUAUUUUUUCUAAGACACACACAGAGGGAAAGAAGAGUAUGAUCGAUUGCUAAAUGUAUUUAAUUAUUUAAAUAUCUCAUUCAAAUAAUCUGUAAAGUUUAAAAAAGAAACUAAAGAUAAGAUAGUAUAAAGGCUUUUUUGUUAAGAAAAGGGAACAAAACAAAUAUCUUGAGAUGAAGAAAUAAAAAGUCUUGCAGUCACCGUUGAAUCCAUGAAAAUGAAAGUAGGUGUGGCGCCGAUAUAUACAACAACGAAUAUGGCCUAUCCGACAGCCUUGAACUCAAACGUUAAUGGCUCUGUGAUGUCGGGAAACACUUUGACCCGAGGCGACGAGCACAUGGUUAGUUGCAUUCUGGAGUUCCAAACCUAUGGUCCUCUGGCUUAACGGUCAAGCAGCUGCAUCCACAUGUAUCUUCGAAGGGCGGACACUUGUAGCAACCACCUGCAAAACGUUUCAAGUUGGUGACUCCAUCCAACUACUCCCAGGCAAAAUUCCUAAUCGCUUCUCUCUGACAGCUUUUCUCAGACAUCUAACAUCACCCCAUUUCCCAGCUGAUGCAUAUAUGUUAGCAAGAAGAGAAUAAUACGCAGCUGUAUUGGGUUCCAACUCAAGGCAAUGGUUAGCUGCAAUCUCUCCAAUCUCCACAUUGUUAUGUACUUUACAAGCAAGAAGCAAAGCUCCCCACACCUCUGCACGAGGCUGCAUUGGCAUGGUCUUUAUCAUCUCAUAUGCCUCUUCUAAUCUUCCCGCUCUACCAAAGAGAUCGACCAUGAUCGCGUAAUGGUCGUUUGAAGGCAUCAGAUCGUGGCCCUUCAUCACGUGAAAGCAUUUGUAGCCUUCUUCGACCAUACCGGAGUGGCAGUAUCCACUUAAAAGCCCUGUAAAUGUGGCUAAGUUGGGUGGCACUCGAGCUUCCUCCAUUGCUUCGAACAACUUGAUGGCUUCGUUGAUUUUGCCGUUCAUUCCAAACCCAGAUAUCAUUGCGCUAUAAGCAACCACAUCUUUCUUGUUUAGCCUGAUAAACAUUUCUUUUGCUUUCUCGAUGUUUCCACAUUUCGCAUACAGGUCGAUCAGUGCAGUAUUCAAUUGAUCAUCUGUAUCAAUUCCGACAUUCCUUAUAUACGACUCCUCGAUCCAUGACCCGAAUGUCAAGUCCCCAACUUGCGAGCAAGCAGAGAUAACACUAACCAGAGUGAUCUUAUCAGGAUGGAUAUGUACCUGAGUUUUCAGCAUCUGGUUGAACAACUGAAGAGCCUCCUGUGGUCUGCUAUUCUUAACAAGACAGGAAAUCAUGGCAUUGAAUGACAAAAGAUCUUUCUUAGCAAGAUUCCGAAACAACUCCUUGGCAGAGUCAACAUCUCCGCAUUUUGAGUAGCCAGAUAUCAUCGUAAUCCACGAGAUAUUAUUCCUUUGGGGCAUUUCAUCAAAGUAGCUUCUUGCUGUCUCGAUCUCACCCCAAUCAACUAGUCCAGAAAUCAUUGCAUUCCAGGACGCUAAAUUUCUUUCAGGCAUCUGUUGAAAUAUAACAGAAGCUUCGUCUAUAUUCCCCACCCCAGCAUAUCCAGAUAACAUCGAAUUCCACGACACAACAUCUUUCUCCGGAAUCUGAUCAAACACCCUUUUGGCUUCAUCUAAGUUCCCGGACUUCAAAUACCCUGACAGAAUCGAAUUCCACGACACCACAUUUUUAUCUGCUAUCUCAUCAAAAGCCUUUUGUGCAGUGUCCAUUGCACCCAGUUUUGAAUAAAGAUCAACAAGGGCUGUUUGUACAUAGACACAGCUGCCAAACCCGUACUUGUAAGCUUGAGCAUGAAUCGAACAGCCAGCAGUCGCAUAUGAGAUCCUACCACAAGCCCUCAACGUAGAACAUACAGCAAUUGUACUAUGACAAAGUCCAAGUCUCAACAUUUCAACGUAGAGACAAAAUGAAUCCUUGAACUGACCUUUCUGGGAGAAGUACCUAAUUGCGCAGCUCCACGAGAAGGCAUCUGGAUUACUUGAAAGGUAAAGCAAGCCCCGAACAUAUUGUGCAAGACUUGUGGAGUAGUUGGUGGCUGAGAGUAGGAUUUGGCGUAUCAAAAGUGGUUCAAGAUAAUGGAGUCUGCUGAUAAUCAUACAUCCAUGGAUUUGUUUCGCCUGAUGAACAGUGACAUGUUUACUCAGUAAGGUUUCCAAUUUAUGAACCAACAUUCUAGUGUAACCUCAAACAAAACCUAGCUGGUAUGGCACCAUUAGCAUACUCCUAAGUUCAUCAAAAGGGUAAUGGAUUUCAACCUUUCCAUUGAAGAAAAAUUUAACAGGAAUUACUUCCUUUCUACUUGGCGACUCAGCAGGCAAGAAUUGAGCAGAGAAGGAUGUAAGAGAGGAAAAACUUCAGAUGAAUGUCCAUAGAAAAUCAAUACAAGAGUUGGGGUUGCGCAAAAUCAUGAACUACUCAAACCGAGAUAUCGAAUAUAUAAAACAUCAAAUUGAGCAAAUGGGCUCAAUCGACGAACGGCAGAAGAACUAACUGUGGGAAAGAAACUAGCUUUCAAGUUUCAAAUGUUUUCAUCAUCGAGAGGUUUCUACAGCUAGGAGUAUUCAAUUCAAACUAAUGGACAGCUACGAAGUAUAAACGAAGAAGAGCAAGGAGAUUUACUUACCCAAAAGCUAUGAAGAUGAAACCGUACGGACUUUCGUUACCGGGAGUCGACGGCGGUUGGCUAGCUGCGGACGGCAGGCAGGAGGAAGGGCCGCCGAGCCGAGCCGGGAAAAGACAAAUCCGAUGCAUAUUGGGCCUCACCAAGAACAAAGCUCGAUAAAUAAACACAGCCCAUUAACAGAAGCCCGAUAUUUAUUAGGCCUUGUGGUGGAUUUCCGGGUUCGACUCCCGGCAGUGGAAGGGAUUCUUUUUGCUUGAUGAAGGAAUUUCUUCUGUUCUGUUAUUAGUUUAGGUGCCUAUGCCUAACUAUUUAUCUCCUUCUUUUUACGAAUCAAACAUGAUGUUCUCAUUCAUAAAUUAAACAUUUGAGUAAUUACACUGAUACAACUGCGAGGCACUUUCUAAUAAGAAGAAGCAUGUAACUAAUAGUAUUUCGCAUUCUUAAUCUUCAUGACCAUGAUCGGAUCUAGACUCGAUAAACUAGAUCAAUAUCACUGCUACCCCAAUUCUAGAUGAAAACCAAAAGUAUGACAAAACAAGACGAACGUUUUUGUAAACCAAAUCAACAAUUCAAACAAUAUAACAAACUAAGAAGGAACGGAGAGGGAUACAUCGCCCAUGGUGGAUUGACCGGUGAUCCACUUAGACGAUAUUUUUAGAAGACUAGGUGAGUCGCCUCGAGCUGACUCGCCUGUACUUCAAAUCUAUACGGAUCCAGCGAUUUCAGUGGAGCAACAGUGGUGAUGCGGCCGGUUGUCGUCAGGGUCAUCUCCGUCUUCUUCCCCGAUCUCGGCAUUCCCUCCGAUAUGCAAAAAUCCCACGACGGCCCCGAGGACAAAGCUAAAACCCUAGUUUGGACAAAACAACUAUAAUAUAGUUUAAGAUGUUUUAUGCGUAUUCUCUUGAAAACUUGACUAUAUAUCUACUGUAAAUUCCUACUUGACUUACUAACCCAGCUUGUGAAAGUAAACUAGCCAAGCUAUAUAUGUCCAAAUAACAUAUAUAGUCAAGUGCUACAAGGAUGUAAUGCUCACUUUCUGCUAAGUCGUCGGCCCGCUGCAGCUCUUCUCCUAUCCUUCAAUCAAGGUCAGAUUACACUUCAAUGAUUUCGGCAGAGAAUUCUGAUUCUUUUUUGUUAACUUUGAAUUUGUAAUUCUUUCAAUUUCAGAUGGUCGGAAUUCGUACCGGUCUGCCUCUGCCGUCGGGAUGGGAGAUUCUGUCACAAUUGCUGGUUUACUUCAUGAUUGAGGAUUAUACGAAUUACUGGAUCCAUAGGCUGCUUCAUUGUAACUGGGGGUACGAGAACAUUCACAAGGUUCAUCACGAAUACGUAGCUCCGAUUGCGUUUGCUGCAACGUAUGCUCACUGGGCUGAGAUUCUGAUCCUCGGCAUCCCGACUUUCUUGGGUCCGGCUACGGUUCCUGGACACAUUAUCACAUUUUGGCUGUGGAUCUCUCUCAGGCAGAUGGAAGCCAUUGAAACCCACAGCGGGUAUGGUGAUUAAUGACGUUAAUAAUAUUUGCAUAUGCACAGUAGUAAUGAAUUAUCUUUGCAGAUAUGACUUUCCUUGGAGUCUUAACAAAUACAUCCCAUUCUAUGGUGGAGCGGAGUACCACGAUUACCAUCACUACGUUGGAGGGCAAAGCCAGAGCAAUUUCGCAUCGGUCUUCACCUACUGUGAUUACAUCUAUGGAACUGACAAGGUGAGGAAUUUUCCAUUUUGAAUCAAGUGAAGGAGUAAAUAUACUGAUCUUGUGUUGUUGGUUUCGCGUAGGGAUAUCGAUAUUAGAAGAAGAUCCUGCAGAGAGUACGAAUGCGAACCCCUGUUUGUUUUAUCGAAUUGAUAAACAUGAUUUAGUUUUUCUGAUGUUGGUUUUGGGUUUUAUGAUGAUAUCAGAUGCAAGAGGAAGAGGGAGGCUUAAAGUUGGAGUAGAUUGUAAUGCAGAGCUGCUUUAAGUAGAAUAGAAGGAGUUGGUGUUUCUCUGAAACAGAGUUUUCUCUCUGUUUUCUAUAUGGAACCAACUAACAUGGAUCGGCGGAUACAAUGGGGGCCUCCCUCAAGCUGCUGCCGAGCCCAUUUUCCGAUUUUGAACACGUAAUUUUUCUUAUAUUUUAUAGGUUGAUUAUUAUAUUUUCUAUAUAUAACUUAGUGUUUCUUCAUUUUUAUACAAUUCGACCUAAUAUAUCAAACCAUUUUAGAUCCAUCGUUAGGAAGUGUUUUCAGAAGUUUCGCACAAAAAGUUCUUAUCCAUAUGCGAAGUUAUCCUAGUUUGGAGUGAUGUAUGGACUGAAGUGUUCAGUUUUUGUUAAUAUGAUACUUGUGUUAUCCGGAAGGGAAUUUAUUUAGUAUUUAAUCUAUUCAGUAUUUACCCCAGCUGAAGAAGAAGCUUAGUAUGUUUAUGUCAAAAAACGUUUUUGAGUGUCAUAAAAAAAAAAGCACGUCUAGCUCAGUUGGUACAGCGCAAGGCCAUUGACAUUGACUUCGUGGUUGUGGGUUCAAGCUCCAUGGUGGGUGACAUUUUUUAUUUUUUCCCCUCCCAAUUAGCUUGUUAGUUAAGUGGCGGCAGAAACUGUAUUUAGAAGAGCGAAUUAAAAUAUAAUUUUUCUUAAUAACGUUGCAAAAGAAAUAAAACUUUAAUCUCAUAAUUUUUCCUCAAUUAAAUUAACCAACAAAUGAGUAGAAUACAAGAAUUAAUCUAACCUCUUCAUUUUGACGAAGUUUAUAAGUACUUGCAUAAACUCCAGAUGGUUGGAAUUCGGGCAGACCUAAAGUUGCCGACACGAUGGGAAAUUGCGGCGCAGAUUCUCGUAUACUUCAUCGUCGAGAAUUACGUGAGCUACUGGAUACACAUGGGUCUUCAUUGUAGAUGGUUAUACAAGAAGGUUCAUGAGGUUCAUCACGAAUGCACUGCUCCGGUUGCGAUUGAUGCGGUGUACGGUCACUGGAUUGAUACGAUGGUGCUCGGACUCCCUUCUUUUGUGGGGCCGGAACACGUGGUAACCCUUUGGUUGUGGUUUUCUGCACGCCAGCUGGAGGCACUCGGAACCCACUGCGGGUACGUACGUGAGUUAGAAUAUAUGCAUGCAUGUUGUGGUUUUGCAUGUUACGUAGGUAAGCAUUCCUAAUUUGCUUUUAACUGUCACUUUUAAGUAUGAUAUAAUUGUUGGCUACCUUACGAGCUUAAUUUUGCAGGUUAUGAGAAAUAAUUUUCAUUUUUUAAUGAAAAAAAAUAAUGGUUAUUACGUAAGUAUUAUGUAACGCCUUUUAUUUUUACGUGUAACAUAUUUAAUUUUAUCUGUUAUGUAAUAAAUAAUUAUUUUUAUAUAAGGAAUAAAUAUCGAUAUGUAAGCCUUAUGUAACAUGUUUAAUUUUGUCUAAUGUGUAUAUACAUGACCUAAUGUGUAUAACUAGAAAGAUCAUUAAAUUAAUAGUUGACCGAGUCUUGACUGGAAAACAACCAGAAUUCUUCGAGGGAUAUCCUUCCAAGUUGAGCCUAGAGAACUAAAUUAAUGAGCCGGCCCAGAAAUUCGGCCCACAAAAUUUUUGUGUGUGUGAAAGUUUAGCCCAACAUUUGGCUGGCUGAAAUGUUCUCAUUUGAUUGGUCUUAUAAACACCGUAUUGCUGAUUUCCAUUCCGUCCCGUUUGUUAAAGACGGACACUGGACACUUUUAUAAUAUUUAUUUAUUAUAUUUUAUUUUGUAUUGAUUGAAAUAUUUACUAAAAUAUUAUCGUUUGGUUGCGUCUUAUAGAACUUCACAAGUAGAGUAUAAUUUUAUUUAUUUUCGGCAGUACAUCAAUAUCAUCAUAAAACCCUAAAUCCUAAAUUUUCAAAAUGGUACAUAUUUACGAAUCGUUAGUGGUUUGAUCAGAAACCAAAAGACACAAUAAUUUUGCUUUCAGACUAUUAGGUAUCUUUUCCAGAGCAUCAUUUCAUUUAGGGGGUGGGACUGGGACUUAACAAUCAGUGUAUUAUUUCUCACCUUUUUCUAUAUAUAAUCUGUACACGUGUCGCAGAUCAAUUGGAAAUUAUUAUGUAUAUUUCAAACAUAUAAAAUUAAAAUGACAAAUAGGCUCCCAUUUGACUACCGGCAAGUAGGUAAUUAAGUUGGAAGAUAUUAUUCCUUAGGCAUAAUUUUGUGGAAACGGUUGUGUCUUCUUUGAUCAGAUUUGCAUACGGUUUUUUUAUUGAAUCGUUAAGGUUCGAAAAAUAAUAAAAGUGAGAUUGAAAAUUUGUAUUGGACAUAACAACACCGGACAUGAAGCCCCCGUCAGUUGCCAAUCGACCGGGGAGAUUGUAGCAUAUGUUACCAUCAACAAUGUCAAUUUAGGUCGUGUACAAUAAUGAGACUCAAUUUAGGGUGAAACAUGGGUUUCCGGCGAAUAUAUCUUGAGUUGGAUUCAUCUAUAACAAUCUCGAGUAUUUAUAAGGUUUUAGACACUAGACUUGUAUCCACAAAACUCGAUGGCUCUUGCAAAAGGAUUAGAAUGUGCUUAUUUCACAUAUGUUUCGAGUUGAUAACCGACUAGCUUGCUCACUUUGGACACAUGGGACGUUCUUUCUAAAAAAAUAUUUGUUACCCUGAUUCAAUAAUUAUUUUACUCAUACCUACUUUGCCCUUAUUUACCACCACAAACCGUAACGUUACGAAAAAUCCAGAAUACAAAGAAACGACGGUCAACAAAUCAAGUUAAUUAACCAAACCGAAAGCUGAGGAAUCAUUCAACUGUAUUGUAUUAAUUAAAUUAUUAAAAGCAACAAAGUGGUUUUGUCUUUGGAGAAGGGACCCGUGCCGGAGGCACCGAGGCAGUGCGAAUUGGACUCAGGACCCAGGAGUAACCAACUCCACAAUCCAUCUUAUUAUCGAUUGUUUAAUGUUGAAUCGUAUAGAAGUUAAAAAUAUAUUAAAUUAUAUAUAAAAAAUAUAUUAACCAACCUAUAAAUAUAAGAAAAACUACAUAAUAUCAAUGCUCGGAAAUGAAAACUAUUCGCCCCACACGAGGUUUCUGAAUAAGUGAUUGUCUGAUAAUGAGCAAGAAAUAUACGUCUUUCCGCUAAACAGAGUGCAUUGAACUCAUAAUUCAUUAGAAACUUUUUAUGAAUGUCAACUAAGGAUCGUAAGUAAAUUGCUCCCGGCUCUUCAAUCAUUUGAUAACCGGAGUCAUUCUUUGAUAAAUGAUCACUAUGAGUCAGACUCAAUAGAAUUUGAUCAAUCCUUUUUUCUGUCGUUAAGGUGACGAAAUGACGGAAUAAAUCUCUUUCUUUAUCCUCAACCAACUCACUGGUCGCGAUAAAGGAUUCUAUUGGAUCAUCAAUCCAAUCACUGUUUUUUUUUUUUUUUUUUUUUUGAAAACAAACGAGUCCAAUGUCAAACCAAAGACCAGUUCUUGUCAUCCAACUUCUUCAGUCAAAAUUAUAAACCUUUUAACACAAAAACUUUGAAAUUCACACUUUAUUUCUUGUGUUCUUAAGUGGGUGUCAAACAAUGAGUUGGACCAAAAAUGCUUUAAUUAUAUAUAUGAGAAAAAUUGAGCCAUAAAAUGCUAGAAAUACAUAUGAAGUUUUGAAGUCUAAUCUGUUCAAAUGGAAUUAUUAAAGUGGUAGAACGUAUGUUUGAUGAUUCUGAAUUUUAAGAUUUGAAUUUAGUAUACUUUACAAAAUGAACACUUAAUAUAAUAUCUAUUUCCUUUAUAUUGACCAAAAUUUUUGUCUAUUUCGAAAAAAAAUCUACUCCACAAAAUUUAAAAAACCCAUAAAAGAUGAACUAAAAACAAUUAUAUAUUAGAGUAAAGAUUUUAAAAUAAAAAUAGAUAAACAAAGUGAAUGUAGGUUUGGACAAAAGUGGCUGAAUAUUAUGCUGGUAAUUGGUUGUUCUUUCCAUCAUCUAUGUGUUACCGAUUUUAUAAUUAGUAUUAACACUUGGUAGGUGACAGUUGGAUAUUGACUAUAUACCGUACGGCCUAUCCCAUCACGAACUUGUUAUCUACGUAUAAUCGACGUGAAGCUAUAGCAAUAUGAUGCAAGCAUGUAGCUAUUUCAACACAUACAUAGGGAUCGUUUGAAGAUGGUGAAGUUAGCGACGGGGUACCAAUGCUCGAACCAGAGACUGGUUGUCUGUGUGGCAACCACAUAACGAAUCAGCCCAGGUUCGCUUGGUUCAACACACAUACACUGCACUGUGUUUUUUAAAAUAAAAAAGACACUACUUAUAUUAUCAAUGCUUUUGGCCAAAGAUGCUCGUCUUGUCAAACGAACUUUUAGGAGGACUACUACUCAUAACGGGUAAAGCACGUUAGCACAAAGAGUUAGCAAAAGUAAACCCAUUUGUGGUACCCGUCAUCCCAAAUAAAGGAAACCUUGAACGGAGACUUACAAUCUAGACACUAAAAACUAUCCGAUUAGAGAACCAAGAAAUAAAUAAAUGUUCAAAUAGAAAUAAAUGUUGUCCAGGCAUGCCGGUGUCAGUUUUUUGGGUGUUCAUGGAUACCCUCCAACAUCGCCGCCUGUUCUUCCUUAAAAAAACCUUAGCACGAGCCUGUCACCAAGAAAGGAUGCUUGGGUUGCCGUAGUAGCUAGUGCGAGGGAGUACAAUGGUUGGCGGCGACAAAAAAAAACUAUAUAAAUAUGAGAUAGAGCAAAGGCGGGGAUUCAAUGGUAAUGGAGAAGCAAAAAGGCAAAGAGCGAAUCUCGACAAUAAAGAUAAAAAUCAAUACUUAUGCAACCUAUCAAUACAUAGACUACACAUGUUAACAACACUACAUGAAUUGUAUGAACUUUGAACAAUGAUGAUGAGUUCCCACACUACUCAAUUGCAAUCGAGAAAUAACAAGGCAAUGAAGUUCAAAGUAGUCAACCAAAAAAAUACAAAAAAUGUGAAAAACGUAUGGCUAUUGUGUCUCCUCCUACCAAAUAGGAUCUUUUCCUUCUUUAGCAAUCACUCUAACCAAUCCCCUUUUUCCUAUUUUUGUUUUUGAAAAAUACACAUUUGUAUACCUAAAUUAUGUGAAAUUUAUGUCGUAACCAUAUACUAAAUUUUAACCCUUUANNNNNNNNNNNNNNNNNNNNNNNNNNNNNNNNNNNNNNNNNNNNNNUACCCUUUUGUAAAUUUUUUCAUUUAAAUUUUAUUCAAUAUGAUAAUUGUACAUAUCACAUAAACUUAUCUAUACACGUGGCGAAAUUGAAUUUUGUAUAUUUAUUNNNNNNNNNNNNNNNNNNNNNNNNNNNNNNNNNNNNNNNNNNNNNNNNNNNNNNNNNNNNNNNNNNNNNNNNNNNNNNNNNNNNNNNNNNNNNNNNNNNNNNNNNNNNNNNNNNNNNNNNNNNNNNNNNNNNNNNNNNNNNNNNNNNAAUUUUAUAUAGUUUAAUAUGUUAAAAUUUAGUAUAAAUGCCGAUAUAAAUUUUACAUGACGCUCUUCCGAUCUGAGUAUCCAAAUUUACAAAAAUGAAUGUGCAUUCCUCUCUCUAUGUUGCUCUGCUACCUACUCUUGGAUUAAAUCCCAAUUUGAAUAAUAAAUAGAUAAAUGAAAACAAGUGCAAUUUGGAAUAUUAUAUUUGGACUAUCCGUAUAAUAAUAAUAAUAAUAAUAUAGUACUAUGAAAUGGAAGCCAAUAGCAGACAUGAGAAAUAAUUGCAAUAAUAAAUAAUAUGAUAAAAUGGAUAGAAUCUCACACACACUUUGAUUAAAUAAUAAAUAAUAAUUUUUCUGGGUUGGUUGGCAGCAGAAACUCCAAUGGAUGGUUGUUUGUCUCUUGUCUUGGUCAGAUAGCAGCAUAUAUAGCAGAAGCCACACCUGAAGUUGAGUCCAGUUUCAGUCUAACUUCUAACUUUCAUUUUUUAUUUCAUACAUUUAAUUAAUUAUAUAUAUGAAAUUAUAUCUUCAUUAAAUUCCUUUAUUUUCCUUUUUUGCCCAUUUUCUGAACCAACCCACAUGAAAAAGCAAGUCACAAAUGGAAACCUAUCCCAUUCAACUUGGAGAGUAUGAAAUCAACGAAAAAGACCAACUACAUACAUCAAAGCAAUCAACUUUUGUUUUCACAAAUUUUGAAUCUGCUAAAAAUACUUGUAUAUAGUUGAUGUAUCCAAAAUUGUCCGGGGAAGACGAAGGUUGCAAUUUCGUGAUGGCUUUAUCGAUUUUGUCGGGAGCAUUGUUUCGGCAGGAUAUAUGAUGGCUAUAGGCGGGAUAUUUUAGCUUUUAUUGACUAGAGCUGAAAUGAAGGGGAUGGAACGAGAUUGGAAUAUAAGAAUUCGACAAUUGAACAUUCAAAUGGACUCACAGUGUGUUAUCACUCUGUUACAAAACACUGACAACGGUGAACAUCAGCAUGUCAACUUUAUGGCAAGAUCUCAUAAUCUAUUUCGAAAGGAUUGAAUGAUUGGUUCUUGAUGAAGCUAAUCAUGUCUAUAUAAAUGUGAUUAGUAAUAGGUUUAUGUUUAUACUUUAUAUAGUUGAUGAAAAACAGUAGAAAAAAGACAAGAAAACCCCCUGCUCUACAAGGUCCAAAAAAAAGAAAACUCACAACAAAUUAUGUUUUGAAAAAAAAAAUCAAGAAAUAAAAUAUAAAGAUUAAAUAAAAAUAAAGGUAAAAGGGGAAAAUAAUAAAGGCGAAGGAACAUGAAAAGGAUGCCAAAACUAGAAUCCUUUUUAAUUAUUACGGAGCGUGAAGUUCACUCAUCCAAUCACCAUGGAGUGACAGCCAUAUUGUCAGUGUUGAUUUCGUACGUCGGACUGUGGUCUUACUCCACUGUAGCAGUCUCCAUCAACCAUAACUCCUUCCCCUCCCCCCACGCGCAGCCAACAUCCGCGUGAGAGCUCAUGCCUCCUUCUUCUUCGUCUUCUUUGAACUACUGCUUAAAGAAACGCAAUUUGCGCUUCCCUUUCUCUUUCUCUCUCCUGUCUUUGAAUUUUCUAGUUUUCCCCACACAGAAACGUUUCCAAAGCUCGAGACUUUACAGAUCACCACCGGCCUCCAUGGACAACGCUCGCCGGACGAGCAACACUGGGCGGAACCCACCGACGGCCUUCCCCAGCUGAAUGCACUCAAAAUAAGGGGGAGAAAAAAGGGAACAUAAACGUUACAAAAGCUCGUACCUUUUAUCAAUAAACAUACGAAGUCGUCCAAUUGUCAGAUUUUCCCCCCCUUCUUUAUUUUGCAAUAAUGGCGGCGACCAGUAACAACGCAGCCUCCGCCGCCGCGGGGGACGAGAGGGGGGGGAAGGGGGGGGCACGGCGGCGAAGGCGGCGCAGAAGAGGUACGAAGGGCUUGUGAUGGUCAGGAACAAGGCGAUAAAGGGGAAAGGGGCGUGGUAUUGGGCUCACUUGGAGCCGUUACUUGUACACAACGCCGAUACCGGACUCCCCAAAGCGGUCAAGCUCCGGUGCUCCUUAUGCGACGCCGUUUUCUCCGCCUCCAACCCAUCCCGCACGGCCUCCGAGCACCUCAAGCGCGGGACUUGCUCCAAUUUCAACGCCUCCAUUCCAAAACCCAUUUCCUCAAUCUCCCCUUCUCCUCCUCCGUCGUCGUCAACAUUCAGCAGGAAGCGCUCUGCCGUUUCUUCUCCAAGUCCGCUCACCGUCGUCGAUCCAUCGCGGUUCUCCGGCGAGGCAGCGGCCCCAUUACCGCACCAGCACCAUCACCAGCAUUUGGUGCUCUCCGGCGGGAAAGACGAUUUGGGCCAUCUGGCAAUGUUGGAGGACAGCGUCAAGAAGCUUAAAAGCCCCAAGACUUCUCCCGGGCCGGCGCUGAGCAAGACCCAAAUCGAUUCCGCCGUCGACUAUUUAGCCGACUGGGUCUACGAAUCGUGCGGCUCUGUAUCCUUUUCCAGCCUGGAGCAUCCAAAGUUCCGAGCUUUUCUCCACCAAGUGGGUCUCCCGGCGGUUUCCAAGAGGGAUUUGGCCGGAGGGAGACUCGACGUCAAGUUCGAGGUCGCAAAAGCAGAGUGCGAAUCGAGGAUUCGAGACGCAAUGUUCUUCCAGGUUUCUUCCGACGGUUGGAAAUCCGGAGAACCCAAUUUGGUCAAUUUGGCAGUGAAUUUGCCCAACGGUACGAGUGUUUACCGUCGAGCUGUGUUCGUGACCGGUUCGGUCGGUUCGACGUAUGCAGAGGAUGUUCUGUGGGAUACAGUGAAAGGAAUCUGCGGCAAUUUCGUCCAACAAUGUGCUGGAAUCGUAGCAGACAGGUUUAAGGCCAAGGCAUUGAGGAAUUUGGAGAAUCAGCAUCACUGGAUGGUUAAUCUCUGCUGUCAACUUCAAGGGUUCAAGAGUUUGAUCAAGGAUUUAACCAAAGAGCUUCCUUUAUUCAAAUCCGUUUCCGAGAAUUGCUACAAAUUGGCAAAUGUGUUCAACAACAGAACACAGUUUAGGAAAAGCUUGAAUAAGUAUCAGUUGCAGGAGUAUGGCUACUCAGGAGGGUUGAUAAGGGUUCCGUUUUCGAAUUUUGAAUUCAUGUCUGUCUUCUCGAUGAUUGAUGAUGUGUUGAGCAAUGCCAGGGCAGUACAGUUGGUUAUCCAGCUGGACGAAUCUUUGUCCGUGGAAGAAGAAGAACCCGAAGCAAGGGAAGUCGCUGAUAUGGUCGAGGAUGUCGGGUUCUGGAAUGAACUGGAGGCGGUACAUUCGCUGGUGAAGAUAAUUACGGACAUGAUUCAAGAAAUCGAGUCCGAGAGGCCGUUGUUGGGGCAAUGCUUGCCACUCUGGGAAGGGCUGAGAGCUAAAGUGAAGGACUGGUGUUCGAAAUUCGCAAUAGGAGGAGAGGUGGGAUUGAUGGUCGAGAAAGUGAUCGAAAGGCGAUUCGAGAAGAACUAUCAUCCAGCAAUGGCUGCCGCGUACAUACUUGAUCCACUCUACUUGGUGAGGGACACAAGUGGGAAGUACUUACCACCGUUCAAGUAUUUGGCUCCAGAGCAAGAGAAAGACGUGGACAGGCUGAUAACCCGGCUGGUUUCGAGGGAGGAGGCUCACAUUGCUUUAAUGGAAUUAAUGAAAUGGAGGACUGAAGGACUUGAUCCGGUGUAUGCAAGAGCCGUGCAGAUGAAGCAGAGGGAUUCUGUUACGGGGAAGAUGAGGCUUUCAAAUCCGCAAAGCAGUCGGCUUGUCUGGGAGACUUAUCUUACCGAGUUCAAGUCGUUAGGGAAAGUUGCAGUGAGGCUGAUUUUCUUACACGCCACGGCGUGUGGGUUCAAAUGCAAUGUGAACUUGUUGAGAUUGGUUAGUAGUGGACAUGGUGGCAGCCAGUCUAGAGCGGCGAUUGACAAGGCCGAGAAGCUGGUGUUCAUCGCAGCUCAUUCGAAGCUCGAAAGAAGGCGUGACUUUUCGAGCGAUGAGGAUAAAGAUGCCGAGCUUUUGGCUAUGGGAAAUGAAGAGGAUGAUGUUCUGAAUGAAGUUCUUGCUGAUACUUCCUCACUGUAACUUUCCACUGCUCCCCUCUUCCAAAGUUCCAAUCUCUCUCUCUUUUUCCUCUUUAUCUCCAGAUUUUUUAAUUAUUAGGAUUUUAUUGAAUUCUUUCUUUGGAUUAUUUCAUUUUGGUUUUUUCUUUCUCUACUUUGUUAGUGAGGGUAGGGAACAUUCGAGGAAAAGAAAAAAAGGAUUCAGAUGUAUGAUAGUUUGCGAAACCGUAUCGGUCAAUAUCUUAUCGUGUAGCCAGCAGGUUGUAGUCGAGAGUGGUUGUAGCCCCUAAAAUCGUAUCGGUCCAUCAUACACAGGCUUUUAAGAUUCAGAAGAAGCUUAACUAAAGGUGGAAUCGGGUGCAGACUUUAUGGGAUUUGCAGGAAGCUUUAUUAUUGUUUCUUCUUCGUCUUCUUUUCUUUUUGUGCUGAUGUUGCAGAGAGGAGUUCGCCAGUCAGUAGUCUAAACUUUUUCUAGUGUUGUGAAAGAUGGUGACAGACAGUUAUCAUAUUCCAGUUUGACAUUCCAGAGUGCAGUUGUAACAGUGGAUCCCUUUUGCUUUGCUUUGAUUAUCUUAAUUAAUAGGAGUUCCUUGAACAAUAAGCAUCGCUGUUCCCUUUCUGUAACCAUCAUGGCCAUUAUUCGGUAGCUGUCUACGGCCGCGGGGUUCAGUUUCUCUUGCUAUAAGGGGACCGGCGGAUUUGUUUCUGUUAAGAUCAGUAGGUUUUGGCUUGUCCCUUUCUUAUUACUCAUUAUUAGUAAAAAAAGGUUGGAAAUCCUAUUCUUCGUGGCUGCUCGCUUUGCAUAGGAAACCAAAUAUAUUUCGACGACAUGCGUGUUGGCUUCGCUCUUACGUUUUUUCUCCUAAACUCGUUCCUCGUUUAUGUUCAAUUGUAAAUAAAUAAUCACGCUGUAUAUAAUCGAUGACCGGGGUUUGAGAUUGAUGGGCCAGCCGUCAUUGAAGAAGAAUGCAUCAUGCUUUCUACACUUAUGCUCCACAUACUUUUUUUAUUUAUGAUUCAUCCUUAUGCAAAGCCAUGCUAAUCUUCUUUCUAUUGUUCCAAUUUUAUCGGAUGUUACCGAAGAAACCACUCAUGCUCCACAUAUAUUUUAGGUGGUUGAAACUAACUGUUAAUUUUUCAUCUCUAAACGAUUUUCCCAUGUUCAACCCUUUAAUUGAUUGUCAUUGAACCCGACAUGCUCUGUUUACUUCACUUGGUCGGUCAUCAUUAGUCUUUUUGAAAGGCUGGACUAAGUGUAGUUAAGUUUUGAUAAGGAUGCCAAGUAAGCCAAGAUUAAAGGUUUGGACGUUGACCCAAUUCCACUAAUCGAAGUUAACUCUGUCUUCUUCGACGAACUCGAUUCACCUGGUUUUAUUUUGGUCACAGGGAGGAGGACGAAGAAGAUGAGGAAGAAGAAGAAGGUGGAGACCCACCAUGAAUGAAGUGGAAGUCAACUUUUUUUCCACUUGGAAUAUUGAGUCUUCGAACAAGUUAAGUUGGAAAAUGUGGCGACAGUCUUGUCAAUGUCACUGAAUGGAAUCAUAGGAUGCCCCGUAACCUGGGAACAAGACAAAUAGCUUAAAACAUUCAACAACGUAGCUAGUUUUGUUCCUUAGUUUUUGACCCGGUCAAACCAAUCACAACAAGUCUUCACGUUUUGCAACAUGUAAAACAAUAGGACCAAACUAUAUAUAUAAUAUGACUAUAAGAGGGAAGCCAACUUUGAGCAUCUAUAACGUAUUGUUUUUCGAUACGAAUUUACUGCACGAUGUAGUUGAAACAAUCUAAUUGAUGACCCGUUGAAUUUUGAAUUUAAAGUUGUUAUUAAUUGAAGUAUUCAAAAUGGUAUUGGUGCUCAAGGAUCGUUCGAUUCUCGUCAGGCGCAUGUAUGACAUUGUUAAUAGACAGAUUUUACAUAUUUGAGUAAUUUGUCUUAGUAUCCUUUAACUGCACUCUGCGACUACAAUAUCAACAGAUUCUUGUUAAAAUACUUGACAAAUCCAAUUAAACUAUGAAUUUGGAUUAAAUUUAUAUUUUUUUAUUAACUUCUGUGUUAUUUUUAAAUACUAUAUUGGGUCAAAUUUGAAAUAGCACUAAUCCGAAUAUUUAAAAUCUAAAAAAAAAUAUUGGUACUAUACUUGCUAAGGACAUGAACCGUGGGCUAGGGAUGGGUCCCCAUGAUUUGCCACGGUUGAAUCUUCGAGCUUUUCAAAGUUUCAUCUUUAAUUUUUAAUUCUAGGCUCACCAUUUGAUUGAUUAAAUAGUUAGUUCUUCAGGUAAGGUCUUUAAAGCGACUCAUAAAGAAGGUGUCAGGUAUGCCCUUGAGCGAUAAUCUAACUCCUACCAAAUCAAAUUUAUUCGAUGAGACGAAUUGUAUUGUGGUUGCGGCUAUAUAAGACAAUCCACAUGUCCAAAGGAUCGUUAGAGUUUAGGCAGUCAAUUCCUGGCGCGGUUGACUUCCAUCUAAUCCUUUGUCAAGUGGUCCAUCAAAUUUAGAUGAUAUCAGUUUGAUAUAUAAAUACUUUAACCAUUUUAAACUCGGCUUAAUACUCGAUAAUACAUCAACUAAUUUAGUAACCUUGGAUGGUGAAAAAGUAUGGAAUACCAAAAGAAGAAACACAAGUGUUUCGAGGAGAGACAUAAAUUCUUGUCGGCAAAUACCGAUUGACCACUCACCCACUAAUCAAUUUUCAUCUCUAUUAUUUUUUUCUACUGAUUUUUUAAAAAAUAUAUUUAUUUAUUUUCUAUUUUGGAUUGUAUUUGCUUUUAUAUUAUUGGAAGAGCAAAAAGGGCAAUACAUAAUGAUUAGUAUUAUUGGACGACCAAACACUCUUAUCUCUUCCUACUUUUAGUUACGUACAUACCUCAAGAAUCUUCUCCUCUCUUAUGGGAUGCGGAGUUGGUCCUUUUUUGGCUGAGAUUGCGGAGUAUCUUAUAUAUGAUUGGUGGUGUUAUUAUUGUGGAAAUUUUUGUUUAUAUGANNNNNNNNNNNNNNNNNNNNNNNNNNNNNNNNNNNNNNNNNNAGAUGUACUUGUUAGACAAUUUGUUAACGGAACUGUUCAUUCAAUGACACGACGGGUUCUUUUACGUCUCCCAGAUAAUGUGAAGACCGAUAUUUAAGUCUAGUUGUUAAUUUGUAGUUGUUAUGAACUGUUGUAUUUCAAUAAUUUGAGUUGUCGAGAAAUGGUUAAUUAUAAAUUUUAUACCAUUCACUUAUACUAAUAUUAUCUGAACGGAUCGAUUUAUUCAAUCUUUGGCAAUGAUUCUUAUGCUUCAUAGAAGGGAUAAAGUUUGACCAAAGCAUCCAUUGCAUUUGUGUAUUUUGUAUUUAUCUUGAUGAUUUUUUCCAAUUCGUUGUUUGAUUUUUUAUCCUUUUUUAAUUAAGAAAUUAUCGCAUAAAAGUUGAAUGAACAAUAAAAAAAGUGUUUGGAAUGCUUUCUGCAAACGGUUGACAAAGGAAAAANNNNNNNNNNNNNNNNNNNNNNNNNNNNNNNNNNNNNNNNNNNNNNNNNNNNNNNNNNNNNNNNGACCUAUAAAACAAAAAAAAAGACUAUCUACCCAACAAACUGCCUACCAAACCUGCAAAACUAAAGCAAAACAUUUAAAACCGCAAUCAAACCCAACAAUGUUCGGUGCAACAAAUAAACUUCGGAUAUAUAACCGACCAACAACGAUUUUAAAACUAAUAAACUGUUGAGCACGUAUCUAACCAGUCAUAUGUAAAUCGAACACCAACCAACCAACAAACUAGGACCGUGGACUAACAAUAAUACAAAUAUAAUCUUUUCAAAACCGUGGCAACUUUGAUCAACUUAUUACUUGUGAUGAUGACGAUGAUGAUCCAAUGUGUGCCUGCCCAUUUUGGUGAAAUGUCACCAUACAAAUAUCAUCAUAUACUACGAAUAUUAAUUAACUUUGCUUCCACAUGCACGUUCACCACUAGGAACUAAUUGAUUUCUUCACCUCCUCCUUGAUAAAUUUUUUUUUCCGAAUCAAGCAGCAACCAAAUAUUAAUUUUGUGCCGAGAGGCUGAAUGUUUGAACAUCAUUAAUAAACUAUGUCGAAAGUAUGUUUUUUUACAGACGAAAACGCGUGGAAAUAGAAUCGUUAAACUAGCUCGUAUGUAACCAUAUUCCUUUCCCAUCCCAUGCCUAUUAGUACUACUAAUUGUAUUAAUUAAUAUAGAUCACAUUAAUUGAGUACAAUAAUUCUCUUCGAUCGACUUUUUCUCUGUGGAAUUCGUUUACCCCCCUUUACCUUUCAUCAUGAUGAAUUAUGUUAUCUCAUUAGGUGGAUGUACUCAACUACCGAAUAAUUUUCACCAAUGUGAAAAAAGCAUUGGUGCAAGCAAGGUUAGUUAGUUUGUACAUUCUUGUGUGCUUUGUGCCAUUCAUGAUGCCAUCUUGUAUAAGGUACAACGGAAGGUGAGGGUAGGCUUGACAACGGUUCGGAUCGGUGACGGUCAGUGUAUAUUAACUGUUUCACUGUUUUAAUAACGGUUACGGUAACAAGUCAUUAAGUUUGAGAGUUCAGGUUUGAUUUUAAUACAAUCACUAUAUUUCAUCUGGUGCCGCCGAUUAUUAUUAACCAAACUAACCAACCAAAUGCUCUUUCGAUUUGUUGUUGCAAGCUGGUAUCUUUAUAACCAAUAAAGUAUUAACUAUCACGGGAGGUUAAAGGACUUUGCGGAAAUCCCAUUUUUUCAUACUCUCGACUCUAGAUGAUCGCGACUAUCUCCAAGUCUAUCUAAUGGGAUUUGACGAGACUUGUGCUCUAGAUAAAACAAUGUCGUAUUAUAAUUAGCGGUUCGGGGAUGGUUACGAUAACAGUUCGGAUACUACGACAUAUGUCCCUGCACCAUCACGGUUACAUUAUACGGGCGGCUUUCACCAGAACCGUACCUGAAACCAGUUACGAUAAAUUUUCACCGCGUUUUGGUUACAGUCGGUUUUUCGGUUUGCCUUGCCAAACCAGCUACUUGUAAUGGAGCACAAAGUUGAGGGUUGUUUAUCUAUGAAUGGGCACAAGUUUGGACAUUGGAAGAGGAUCCUUCCUUGGUGGUUUCCUUAGGUACAAAAGUUGAUACUCAAGAACCACUUACAUUUUGUACUUUUGCCUUUUGGAAAAAAAUAAAAGGAGAAAUAAAGAUAUGAUGUCUUACUAUUUUUAAACCUAACGUCAUAGUCUUUAACUACUACUAACUACUACUCUUAUACAUAAAUAUAAUAAACAACCCUUCCAAGACGGCGAGAUCAACAACACAUUGAUGUUAUAAACCUUAAUAGAGUUAUACGCCGUAGGCGGGUCUCACCUCGAGACUCUUAGGUGUCUCGGCUCGAGGAAGCUCACUCAUCAACUCACAGUCACAAUCAACCCUAUAGUCGAACCACACUAUAUUGCUCUGACCGGCCCUCCGAGCGGAGUAGUUUGUUGUUGGCAAACAUGUUUUAUUUGAUCAGAGCCCAGAGGAGGAACCAAAUCACUAAAAGAGUCGGAAUAAUUAUAAAUAUAAUUAAUUUGAAGUUUUAUUUUUUGCCCAUACAACAUUGAUAAGUGACACAAUCGUAUGUAUUAAUUGAUAUGUUCUUGGACAUGAAAAUGAGUGACAUAAACUCCAUUAAUUGUUCAUUCAUAAACCAAAUAGUUGGGGCCAGGAAUAAAUAAUAGUUGCUUUAUUCCCCCCUUUAGUUGGAUGAAUGAAUAAUAAUGAUGAUGAUUGCACAUAAAUUAAAGGGUACAACCAUCAUAAUGGUGUCUUGUUGAUGUGUGCUAAGCUUCAACCUUAAGUAGUCUAAUUAAGCAAUUAUCAUCUUAAUCGAGAAAUUAUAUUUGGCGUGUGCAAAAUUUCGAACUUAAUGUUCAACAUGCUAACUAUUAAAUAACUUGUUAGACAGUUUGUCAGAAAGUAAAAAAACCCCGCUCUUAGGGGAUGCCCCCAAUGCCGAAGAACAUGAUAUUAUGUAUGUACGACUCAUUUAAAUUAUGAAUUGGGGGCAAAAGAGAGGAAAACGAUUUUCCGCUAUUGGUGAUUGGAAAACAAAACUAUAUAAAAAAACAAGCUAUUGGUGCAUGUUAGAAAGUUAAAAAAAUAAGAAGUGGAGAUGCGGGGUAUCGAUCCCCGUACCUCUCGCAUGCUAAGCGAGCGCUCUACCAUCUGAGCUACAUCCCCAAUGAAGGUUGAAUUUACUAUACUAGCUAAUUAUUGCUAAUUAUAACUUAUAUAGGUCUGUGGAUAAGUUCAAAAGAGUCCAUAAGUCUAUGCAAUUUCUCAGCCUAAUGGAUGCCAAUUUGAUAAGUUCAUCGCCGCAGUAAGCGAGUGCAAGUCACAAACUCACAAUAACCUUUUGGCAUAAGAAUAAAUAGAUUUUCAAACGUCUAAAUGAGUUGUGGGAUGCGUUCGUUUACAUCCGGAACAGAAUCCAAAGGCUAUAUCAUCCAAAAUUAUGACCUGUUUGCAUAGAAAAUAUUACGCUACACACCAGAUAGCCGAGGAAUCAAGCAGCAACUUCCUGCUCUUUAGAAGCAAGCUGGUUCUGAAUAUGCUGAGGGACAACAUCGAACUUAGCCAACUGCAUCGUGUACGAAGCUCUCCCUUUAGUCGUUCCUCUCAAAGUACUCACGUACUGGAACAUCUCCGCCAAUGGCACAAGCGCAUCCACCACCUGCAUCCCCGCAUCAUUCAUAAUGUUUACUCAAAAAGCCUUUUGAUGCGAAAAAAAGACAGAGGAAAACAGGUGUUCAUUUGCUUUAUACCUUGAGGCCACCAGGUUUGUCUGUAAAGGUAUUAAUCUGACCUCUCCUGGAGUUGAGAUCACCAAUCACAUCCCCCAGGUGUUCCUCUGGAGUCACAACUUCAACCUUCAUUAUCGGUUCCAGCAUCUUAGGAGCGGCUUUCCUAAUCCCUUCUCUGAAGGCUCCUCUAGCGGCAAGUUGGAAGGCCAGCACACUUGAAUCGACAUCGUGGUAGGAACCAUCAACCAACACAGCACGGACAUCAACCACGGGGAAACCGGCCAAAACUCCGUUGCUCAUGCAUUCUUCAAGUCCUUUCAUCACUCCGGGAAUGUAUUCCCUAGGCACUGUUCCUCCCUUGAUCUCGCUCUUGAACUCGUACCCUGAACCGGCCUCCAUGGGCUCGAAUCGUACGGUUAUGUCAGCAAACUGUCCUUGCCCACCUGAUUGCUUCUUGUGCACAUACUUCACUUCUGCUAUUCUGCUAAUGCUCUCACGGUAGUUCACUUGUGGUGCACCAACAUUGGCUUCCACCUGAAAUAGUAUAUAAGUACAAAGUUCAUAACUUUUUUGUGUAUCUUGGCAUUAUAACAUGUAAAUUUUACAGACCUUGAAUUCUCUUUUCAGACGGUCUACGAUGAUCUCAAGAUGCAACUCUCCCAUUCCUUCAAUCACAGUCUGGUUGGUUUCGUCGUCACGCGAAAAGUGGAAAGAAGGAUCUUCCUGCGCAAGCUUGAUCAACCCUGUAGCCAUCUUGUCAAUAUCAGCCUUGGUUUUUGGUUCAAUUGCAACUUUGAUGACAGGAUCGGGGAAAUCCAUCCGUUCAAGCACAACCGUAUUAUCCACAUCGCACAAAGUUUCGCCCGUUAUGGUGUCCUUCAGUCCUGCAAGAGCAACAAUAUCUCCCGUUACGGCCACCUUAACAUCCUCUCUACUAUUUGCAUGCAUCUCGAGAAGCCUGCCAAUUCUCUCUUUCUUCCCCUUGUUUGCAUUCAAGACAUAAGAUCCAGCUGCGAGUUUUCCUGAAUACACUCUUACGAAUGUAAGGGAACCGACAAAUGGAUCGUUCAUGAUCUUAAAUGCUAGGCCGGAAAAUGGUUCGUUGUCGCUGGGGGACCUUUCGAUCGUGAUUUCAGGGUUCUCAGGAUCGGUCCCUUUCAUCGGAGGAACCUCGAUCGGGGAAGGGAGAUAGUCAACAACUGCAUCAAGCAAUGGUUGCACUCCUUUGUUUUUGAAAGCUGAGCCACACAACACCGGUACAAAGUUGCCUCCGAUAGUUCCUUUCCGGAUAAGUUUCUUUAUGGCUUCCUCAUCAGGCUCUAUUCCUUCUAGAUAGUUUUCCAUAGCUUCAUCGUCCAAAUCGACAAUGGUCUCUAUCAUCUGUGCUCGGUAAUCCUGAGCCAAUUCUUCAAGAUCAGUCGGAAUGUCUUCGUACGCAAACUUGGCACCCAAUUCUUCUCCUGACCAAACAAUAGCCUUCAUCCUCACUAGAUCAACCACACCUUUAAAGUUAUCUUCGGAACCAAUAGGAACUUGAAUAACAAGAGGUUUAGCACCCAAGUUAGUUAUGAUCAUGUCUCUAGUCCGGAAAAAGUUCGCUCCGAGCCUAUCCAUCUUAUUGACAAAGCAAAUUCUGGGAACCCCGUAUUUAUCCGCCUGCCUCCACAACAUCUCCGAUUGUGGCUCCACACCAGCAACACUGUCGAACAAGCAGAUCGCACCGUCCAAAACUCGGAGAGCACGUUCCACCUCAAGGGUGAAGUCCACAUGGCCAGGCGUGUCGAUGAUGUUGAUACGAUGCUUGUUCCAGAAGGUGGUGGUGG
rnacentral:lncRNA from 1 species